UUUUUUUUUUUUUUUUUUUGACGAUGAUAACAUUUGUAUAAACUAAUCUAAAGAGCCUGUAAAAGGAGCUAGCAUGGAGUGGAGUCUAAAGAGGCUAUAAAAGAGGCUAACAAGAAGGGGAAUCUAAAGAAGCUGUGUAAAAUAGGAUAGCAAGUAAAUAGACAUCUAAUUAGACCAAAUGCAGUUACAGCGUCUCCUUUGAAUUUUUUUCAAAUGAAAUGGGUUCGAACCCUGCCCAAUAAGGGGGCCACUUUGGCUCAGAGUUUAGUUCACUUGUUCAUUCCUCUAUAUUUCAUCGCUUUUUUUUUUGUUUUUCAUUUUGUCUGCAAAUUGUGUGUUGAAGAGCAAGGAGAGAAGCCAAUGUCGGCUUUGCUUUGAGAAGAAACUUUUUAAAAUGCUUUUAUUGUUAAAUUUAAGAAACUAACAAGAUCAUUAUGAAUUCUUUCUCCUUUAUUAUUAUUUGUCAUCAUCAUUAUUAUUAUUAUUGCGUCCAGUUUCUGAUCUUAAAGUAACCAAAAUAAAGGAACCAGAUAUUUCCAUUUUUGUGCUUCGAUAACUAUGAUAUAUUUCAGGGCUAGAUGUUCAUUUACGCGAGUAUCAAAACAUGAACCUAGAUAAUAAGUCGUGAAAUGCAGUUGCAAGCUUCACAUACGGUAAUGAAUUUUGCAGAAACAAUUGAGCUCCCUUUUCCCUUUUUUUGCAGGCAAAUAAGCAGAAGCAAUAGAAUGUGAUAAUAUAUAUAUAUUUUUUCGAGAACGAAUCUUCCAUUCCACUCACUGUUUCACUUUUUAUUAUAUUUUUAUUUUUCCUUCAUAAAAAUCAUAUUAUAAUUCCUUUUUUCUGUCUCCAUAAGAUUUCAAGAAAUAUUAACAAGGUAAUUCACGAAAUUCAACAAACUAAAAAGAGCAAAAUUAAUUGUUUAAUGAAAAUUUUGUGAAUUUUCUAUUGUAAAUUUUACUUUUCUAUUAUAUAUUAUCUUUUUAUACUGUUGCUUUUCCUUUUUAUUCUGUUAGAGUUAUUUCAAUUUAAGAAAAUAAAAAAGAAUGAAAAUAUAGUGUUUAUGCACAAAAAAUGAUAAUAUAAUAAAAAAUGAAAUAAAGAGCGGAAUAGGAAAUUGGACAAAAAAAAUCUGUUAUUGCAUUUUUUGCAUGAUUUAAAAUAAAGUUUUAAGGCAACGAGUCAAAUGUGGGUCUGCUCUGCUCCGUAGGGUCAAAUUAGGAACUUGAAAUGUUAGUACUGUAUAAUUGUAUAUGAUAGUCAAAUCACAGACGCCAAGAACACUUUAAGUGCAAGUGUAACGAAUUCCAAAAUCAAAGUUCAGAAAUCCAAGCACGAUUCUGGUCUCAUCCUGGGCUGCUUUCUAAACCUAUUAAACGUUUCCUGCGGUGUUUAUUGUCAAAAUAACUCAUCUUCCAAAAUAUAUAUCCAAAGUAAUCUAAUUUUAAAUUUUAUUACGUUUAUGAUCCUUUUUUUGUCACUUAAGCUACAUAUGUGCUAGGAUGGAGAUAGAGGCAUAUUUCAUUUCUCUUUCCCAAAUAAUGUCUUCUCCAAUUUUUUUUCUAAACCUUCCUGCAUUUUUUUGUUUAAUUAUUUUUCCUUUGUCAAACGUAAUCCUAAGAAGCCAAUAUUUAUAUUAACAACACCUAAAAAAUAUGCUUUUCAAAUCGAUAAUCUCAAGGCAAAUAAAAAUUAUUCUCUUGUCUUUUUAAGAUGUAGGAAGGAUAAUAUAAACAAAUAUGAUCACCUUGAAGUUUUUGUAAUUGCUUACAAUUUUUAUUGAAAUUUUUGAUGCAAUUUUUGUAUUUUAAAAAUUUAUUUUUUGAAAAAAUAUAUGCAGUAGGUUUGAUUCAUUUUAAGAAAUUUAGAAACCAAUAAUAGCAAGGUCAAUAAUGGCAGAAUUUAUUUUAAAUAAUUAUAAGGAAAUUAUAAAAGUUAUGCAAUCUUCUUGUGCCUCUAUAAUAAAAAAAAUUUAAAUUUUUAGUUCAUUUUGGAAACUAUAAAUUAGAUUAGAACUUUCCUUUCUUAUUAUCCUGCAUGGCAAUUAGGUUAACUAGGUGGCAACAAUAACAUCGUUAUGGGAAUAAAUUUUGAAAGUAAAUCACAUUGGGAAUAUUUUUUAGGAAGAGUGUUAUUUUGGCAAAAAACUCGUUUCCUGCGAGCCCUCUGGUUCGAGUGGUUUCUAAAUAUAAGCAGCUAACAUCCAUUGACCCGCAAAAUCCACAUCUGACUUUUAACAACUCCAGAUUUAUCUGCCCAAACUUUGAACACUGUGGCUAAGAUUAGGAUAGCAUUUGACGACUAACUCAGUACUCAAGGUUCUUGGUAAAUAAAUUAGGACUUAAAAAAGUUGAUCAAGUCUUAACUGUCCGUGACAAUUUAGCUUCAUGAUGUUGCCUACCAGAACUUUAGUUUGUUUUAUAUUGAAGGUAAGGAUAUCUUUUUACGAAGUUAGAGUACCUUUUUCCAAAAACAAUUCUAAUUUAGUGAUACUUUUCUAAUUUAAAAUAUAUAUGCACGAUCAAUGAGGCACUAUUAUUCCUUCUUUUUUUUUUUUUUGGGAAAAAAACGCCAACGAGGCCACUCCUUUUAUUUAUUAUGCUGAAAAAGAGAUCCCAAGUAUUCAACUGAAAGAAUUUUUUUCUGAUCUUCAAUCAACAUGAUGGUUUUUCCAUCUUAAUUUGUAUCUCUCUAAUUUCCACUACCUUCGCGUGUGAAAAUCAAAUGAGGGACAAAAACUCACGGUUAUUCCUAAUCUGUCAAAUGUGUGGUAGCCUGCUGACUUAUUUUGGUGGCAGCAGUCUUCGUUUCUUGAAGGGCUGAUAUUUCUUCCACUGCCUAACUUAGGUUUGCUUGAUUGAAGUUUGUUCCUAGCCGUUCUAGUAGACUAUCCCACUAACGAUGCAGGGAAUACCACGUUCUUUCCAUGCAAUUCUUGUCUAUAUAAACUCUUGUUCCUCCAUUACAUCCACCCAUCCAAAUUUCAAACUUCCUCCAACUAAUCCCUCAUUCUUUCGUUCUUCAGCUUAUAAAAUUGAAAAUUGGACCAGGGAUUGAAAUGAAGUGCGCAAAGAUUUUAGUACUACUUGCAAUGGUGAUGGCGAUGGCCUUGGCCAUUACCAUAUCAGCAGCAGAAGCAUCUAGAGACGAAUCAUUUCUUGGCAACAAGGAAGGCUCUGAAGUAGCUGAUUCCUCUGAAAUUUCUUCGUCUGAAGAUGAAGCACCAAUAUCACUUCGUGGGACUAACCGCUUCCUUCCCCAAAAAUAUAGGGCCAAAAUGACAUGCAACAAUUACCCCAGAGUAUGCCACAUAAGGGGGAGUCCUGGGCCAGAUUGCUGCAAGAAGAAAUGUGUGAAUGUUUUAAUUGACAGACUAAACUGUGGCAUGUGCGGGAAGAAAUGCAAGUACCCAGAGAUCUGCUGCAAAGGAAGGUGCGUGAAUCCAUUGUCAGAUAGGAGACACUGUGGAAGUUGCAGCAAUAAGUGCAACAAAGGUAGCUUUUGUGUUUAUGGAAUGUGCAGCUACGCAUAGAAAUCGCAGCACUGAUGCCACACAUCUCUUAUAAAGAAGACCGAAACCAUUUAUAGCUAGGCAACAUGCAUGUAAUUAACUGACCAUUGAAGCACUAUUACUUGGUCCUAAAUAUUCGUUUGUGUAUAAGGAAUAAUGAAGGAAAGCCUUCCCAUAGUCUCUCAGGUUGGUUGUCUCUUCAAUUGGUUAUUUGUUUUCAAUUUCCUAUAUGGGUAUUUCCGUUGUAAUUGCUUGCAAUUUUCAAGUCAUACGUAGAACAUUAUUUCAGAAAUUCAAAGAAAGUAUGAAAUGAUUUAUUUUUAAAUCCUGAACAUGAUCAAAAAAGGUGUUUUUACGCAAGAAUUUGGAAAAUUUAGAACUAAGCAUCCAAAAGAAGUACUUUGACGAAUCCUGACGUUAUUUGAACUCAACCAUAAUAUGAACAGCACAAACAUCUAAAAGAAUAACUUCUGAUCCAUGGUAUUAGAGUUGGGCAUUGGGUUUAAUACUAUGCAUCAAAAAUUUAUGGUAAAUUAUCUAAAAUUCUCAUUUUCUUUUUAGUUUUUACAAUAUUACAUUUUUGCCAUUUAUGAAUUUUGUUGAAUAGACAACACUUAUGGUAAAUGACCUAAAACAUUAGCCCUUAUUAGUCAUUUCAUAAUAAAAAUAAAAAUAUAAUAUAAACAAUAUACCAAUAAUCAAACUACUUGACUAGUGCUCGAGUAACACAAAUGGAUGUCUGAACUCGACUUGGUAUGUGCAUUGAUCUACUCGAGUUCGAGUUUAAACUCAAUCAAAUCGAGUUUGAGUCGAGUAUUGCUCGGGAGCAACUUGCAAGCAACUUAACUCGCUAGCAACCCUAAUCCUAGUUGGUGCUAACAAUACAACAAAAUAUUUUAUUUACAUUAACAAAUUCAAUAAACACUUUUCUCCCGAAUGAAUUCUUCUAACAAUGACAAAAUUUACUUGUUAACAAUCAACGCGAGUAAAAACAAGCAACGCAUAGUAUAUACUUUUGGUUGCGUGGCACAAGUUCAAACUCUUCUUUUUCGGGGCUUGUAGUAAUGCAUUACUCUUCUAUUUUAGAGUAAAUUUCCCUCCCAGUAACCACAUUUGGUCCAAUUGACUUUCUCCUAGUAUAGGUCACUGUAACAGAAGUAUAGAUAUUAUUGAUUGACAAAAAAAUAAUAAAAGGAAGUAAACAAAUAAAAAAAAGUAAAAAAUAAAAAUAAAAUUGACAGGUGUCGAAUCUGUGUAAUAAUAAUUACUAAAAAGUCCUAGUUACCACUACAAUUAAUUAUAGAACAAAUUCAAAUACCGGAGUAGGGACCCUAGGUGUGCAAUGGGUUACUUGAUUCACCCUAUUCCCGAAAAGUUUGCUUAGUCCGAUAUACCAAAAUUGUCUAUAAAAGUAUUAAAUUUGCGUACAAUAGCAAGUAGGGUCGAUUUCACAGGGAACGGAUAGGAAGUUGUUUCUUUCCAAAUCAAUAGAACAAAAUUGGGGGAUAUUUGAUGGAGUGAAAAUGAAAAUAAAAUAAACAAAAUUCAAAAGCUAACUCAACGAGCACAAUUUACUAAAAAUAGUAAUUAAUAAAAUUCUAUCCAAAGGAUCAAAUUUUCAGGCACGGUCCAAUUAAAUGAUCAUCGAUGCAAAGAUAUUUCAUUCAUCCGUCACUAGAUUAGUUAUAGUUAUCAACAAGUUCUGACAACCAGUUCUUCCUUACUUUUUUGUUAGUUAAGGUACAAUCAUUAACUGCUUCUAUAACUAGAAAACAACCCUAAAUACGACCGUAGGAAUUUAAUUAUCCAGUUGCAUUAAAGUUAGAAGAACCCAACCCUAACUAAUAAAUACGUUAAGAGGGUUUAUUUAAACUAGAUCUUACGUUUCCCCAACAUAAAGUUAAUUAUGGUGGUUGCCACCAAUUGUUAACUAAACAAAUAAUUACGGAUUUAAUUUAAUUAACGUGGCAGUAGGCUAAAUUAAAUUAAAUAUCCGGCCGUUGAUACUCAAUUAAUAAAAUAUCCAUGAACAAUUAAUCCAAGAAACGCACGAAUAGUAACGAAUCGGAAGAAAUAAUAAAAAUUCGAUUAGAUCUCACAGAUGUUAUGGAUCGCGCCUUCGCAUCAACCUUUGGGUAGAGGAGAAACCUAGCCGCUCCUCAUCAUAUCAAUUUCACGUGAUUUGAUUGAUUCCAUUCACACAAACAUCAAAGAAUUGGGAACGAUGAAGUAACGAAGAAAGCAAAAAGAAAAGUCUUGAUUGUCUCUAGGUUUUUUUCUUUUUAUUCAUACUGAAGCAAAGUCAAGAAAAGCGAAAGUCUAAUGGAAGUCGUACAAAAGCCAAAGUAGUGAGUAAAUUCGUCUUACAGGGAAAACAAAACUAAAGCUAAUCUUAUUAAUUUGACGUGAAUUUGGCUUUUCCUUUUUCAGCCGCCGCCAGCAGAAGAGAAACGUCAAUCAUCCGUAGGGAAGAGUUAAAGUUAAAAACUCCUAAACCCACAUGAAUCUGGCUUUUUAGCCAAUUCACCCAAAGUGGCCGCCGAAAAGAAAACAUGAAGCGUCCGUCACUACUUCCUCUUGGAAAAGGGGUUUCAAUUCCCUGCACCUCCACGGUCCACGUAAACCUGACUUCUUAAUUGCUCUUCUGCUGCUAUCAAUCUCGCGGGUCCGGCUUUUAGGUGUAUCUCCUCAAUUUCUGACGUGGACAUGUCAUGAAAUAAAGAGUCUUCUGGAAAUUUGCCUCGUGAGAGCACUUUUUAUACCAACCACCUACACUUUACGCAAAUACCAAAUAUGGGUAAAAUCUCAACACUUAGCACCGUAUGUAACCAAAAUUAUGACCAAAUAAUAGCGCAAAAUGUGCCCAAUAGUUAUUCUAUCAAAUCCCCCCACACCUAGACAAUGCUUGUCCUCAAGCAUUGCGAAGCUCAGAAAUACAAUCAAGAAGACAAAGGUCAUGCAGUAAUCUACACUAAUACAAGCAUCCCGCAUUCCUGACAACGUCGCAAAAGUUAGAACACACCGAACAGGUAGUUAUUCAAAGAGUAUGAACAGGAAUAUUCGUCACCUACAAGAGAAGAACGCUCAAAUCAACAUCACGGAAUGACAUUAUCAUAGGUUUGCAUAUUUAUCACAUCUUCACCACUCAAAAGUGAACUAAAUACACAAAUCAAAGGGACUUUAAUAGGGUUGUAAUGGGGUUUAGCUGAAAGGCGGGAUAAAAAGGUAAAGAUAUGGUGUAAUGUGUCAAGAGAAUGUCCGAAAUCUACUACAUAACCUCAUGCUUUCCCAGGAAAACUUCACAAGUAGGGCGUUUCCAUUUGCUAUUCCUACUAUGCAAGUGUCGCCAAUUUUUUUUUUUUUUUGAACAGGCGGCUUGCAAGACGUGGGCACGCCUUGUAGGCUGGAGUCUUCUAUUCACGAGCUCCUCUCUCUUUUUUUUUUUUUGAAAGAGAACGUUUUGCAAGGCGUGGGCACGCCCUAUAAGCCGGAGUCUUCUAUUCUCCAGCUUAUUGACAAUUUCUCCCCCCUUUCUAUAAAAAAUGCAGAGAAAGCUCGAGAAGGAAAGUUAAGAAAAACCUGCCCAUGUUGGAGCGCUUGUGUACAUAUAAUGGAUAUGACAUAUAUUGCAUGUAUAUGGUGUCUUUCCUUUGUUUAAGCCUAACGCAAUCUAUAGACAUGCUUGUGUUGGUAAUAGUUUGUAAUGAGUAUGUUGAAAUCCAUUGUCCCACACUGAAAGAGGAUAAAGUGCAUGUUGCCUAUAUAUGAGUCAUUGUCCUAUUCCUUUACAAACUUGUUCCAACAAUUAGUUUGGUGGGAAACUUAUUUCAAGAUAUAUAAAAUCUUGACAAGGGCACUUGGGCACUUGGGGCACCUUGGGGCUUUCUGAUAGGGUGUCAAUCAGAGGUAGUUAAUGGCGGUUGGCGGUUACAUUUUGCAGACAUAUCUGUUAAUUGGCUAACUACCUAAAUACCUAUUCAAUAAGGAUUGCAUCCUCUGAUAGUGUCUUGGACAGGUGCUUCAAUUCUUUUAAAUAGUAGGAUUUCGACAGAAUUAAAUCACUUUUACUUUUCAUUUGAUAGUUCUUAGACUUUGUUGUAUCCUAGAGGUAAUUUGUCUAAUAGAGGCAAAUAACACCUUAAGGAAAGUGCUUUCACGCCUCAAAGUUUCUGUAUUUGUCUAAGUAUAGUUUUGUUAUUUACUACAGUUUUUCUAACAAUCUUAAGGUAUUAUUCUCAACAAUGGAGUCAAGUUCUGAAUCUGCGUUCAAAGUGAUGAAUCAGGACUUCGUGAAGUUGGACAGAUUCGACAGCACUAACUUCUCCCGUUGGAAGGAUAAGAUGAUGUUUUUCCUGACGGCUUUGAAGAUUGCUUACGUUCUGGAUCCUUCUCUUCCUGAAAUUCCAGAACCUAAAGAUGGUGAUUCUGAUGAAGUCAAGGUACAACACAGAAAACGCGCAGAGGACGAGUUGCUGUGCAGAGGACACAUCAUGAACACUCUUUCUGACCGCUUGUAUGAUCUGUAUACUGCAGUCAAGUCGCCAAAGGAAAUCUGGAAUGCACUGGAAUACAAGUAUAAUACGAUGAAACAAGGUGCGGACAAAUUUUUGAUUAUGCAAUAUAGCCAAGUAUAAUACACUUCUCUUAUGGAUCAGAUUCAUGAUCUCCAAGUGAUUGUGUCUAAGUUACAUGAUCUGAAAGUGGAGAUAUCUGAAUCCUUGCAAGUUGGAGCAAUUAUAGCUAAACUUCCAACUAGUUGGAAUGACUAUAAGAAAAAGUUGCUCCAUACUACUGAAUCAUUCACUAUAGAUCAGAUUUUGAAACAUUUGCGUAUUGAAGAAGAUACCAGAAAUCUUCAAAAGAAGCAAAUAGAAUCUGAUGUCAAAGUGAAUGCUUUAAGUGAGAAGAAUUCACAGAAUUUUUCUGGUUCCAAAAGAAAGUCUCCAGAAGCAAGUACAUCUAAGGACAAGAAGAAGAAUAGAAUCUGCUAUAAGUGCGGCAAGAAGGGACAUUACAAGCGUGAGUGCAAGGCAGAUAGCAACAAAAAGCAAAAUAAAGACAAUGCCAAAAAUGCAAAUCUGGUUGAACAAGAUGUUGCUGAGAUUGUUGCAAUGAUUUCGCAUUGGAACAUUGGCAUGAUUUCUGAGUUGCAUGUGGCUGCUGCAACCAAAUCGUGUGACUGGUGGUAUGAUUCUGGUGCCACCGUGCAUGUUUGUAAUGAUAAGUCCCAAUUCAAGACUUAUGAAGAAGUUCCUGAUGGUCAUAAAGUAUUGAUGGGAAACCAUGAUACAGCAAAGGUCAUUGGCAUAGGAAGUGUAGACUUGCAGUUUACUUCCGGAAAGAAACUUAUACUGGCCAAUGUACUUCAUGUUUCAGAAAUUAGGAAAAAUCUUGUGUCGGCUGAUGCCUUAAACAAAAAGGGGUUAAAGGCUGUGAUAGAGUCUAAUAAGGUUAUCUUCUCUUUGAAUGGUGUAUUUGUUGGCAAGGGAUACUCUUGUGAUGGAAUGUUCAAGUUAUGUAUCAAUAAAAAUAAUGUUUCUGUGUAUAUUGUUGAUGCUUCAUAUUCUCUUUGGCAUGGUAGAUUAGCGCAUACUAAUCAUAAAACUUUACAGUUUAUGUCUAAACAUGGGCUGAUUUCGUUCAAAGAUAAUGUUGAAAAAAGGUGUGAAACAUGCAUACAAGCAAAAAUGACCAGAUUACCUUUUCCUAAAGUAGAAAGAAACAAUGAAUUGUUAGAUCUUGUUCAUUCUGACGUUUGUGAAUUUAAUGGGUUUCUAACAAGAGGAGGAAAUAAGUAUUUCAUCACAUUCAUUGAUGAUUAUUCAAGAUAUGUGUAUGUUUACUUGAUGAAAACGAAAGAUGAGUCAUUUCAUACGUUUAAGUGUUACAAAAAUCUGGUUGAAAAUCAACUAGGAAAGAAGAUUAAAAUUUUGAGAAGUGAUAGAGGUGGGGAAUAUUUUCCUGCUGAUUUUUCUCAAUUUUGUGAAGAAAAUGGGAUUAUACACCAAACUAGUGCACCUUAUACUCCGCAACAAAAUGGUUUGGCAGAAAGAAAAAAUAGAACUUUAGAAAAUAUGGUAAAUGCCAUGAUUAUAAGUUCUGGACUGCCUAAAAAUCUGUGGGGAGAGGCCUUACUGGCUGCUUGUCACGUACAUAAUCGAGUAACUUCGCUUAAAUCCAAAGUAUCACCAUAUGAAUUCGCUUAAAUCCAAGGUAUCACCAUAUGAAUUAUGGAAAGGUAGAAAACCAAACUUGAAGUAUUUUCGAGUUUGGGGUUGUAUAGCCUUUUAUAGAGUCCCUGAUCAUAAAAGGACAAAAUUGGGACCUCGAGCACUUAAAAGUGUGUUUGUAGGCUAUGCUGAAAAUUCAAAAGCAUAUCGAUUGCUAGAUUUAGAUUCUAACGUCAUUGUGGAAUCUAGAGAUGUCGAAUUUUUAGAAGAUAAAUUUCUUUAUAAUUCGACAAUGAGUACAGAUCCAAGCCAAGAGCCACCGCCUGUUUCCAAUGCUAGACCCUCCAAUAAUAAUAAAAGGGAUGCAGGGGACAUUCCAAGUGAAUUAAGGAGGAGUCAAAGGCAACGGAAAGAAAAACAUUUAUCCUCUGAUUUUAUAGAUUCACAAGCUAUUGUUUUCCUAGUUGAAGGCGAUAGACAGUUUCUACUUGACAAGAUUCCUGUCUUGUUAACUGUAGAAGAUGAUCCUAAAACUUUUAGUGAAGCUAUGAAAUCGAGAGAUGCAUCGUUUUGGAGAGAGGCAAUUAAUGAUGAAAUGGAUUCAUUAUUGAGUAAUAAUACUUGGAUCCUAGUUGAUUUGCCUCCGGGUUCUAAACCAAUUGGCUGUAAGUGGGUAUUUCGAAGGAAAUACGCUACUGAUGGAUCUGUACAAACUUUCAAGGCAAGAUUAGUAGCAAAAGGAUUUAGGCAAAAGGAGGGAAUCGAUUAUUUUGAUACUUAUGCACCAGUAGCUAGAAUUAUAUCUAUAAGAGUACUAUUAGCAUUGGCUUCAAUGUUUGAUUUGUGUGUACAUUAGAUGGAUGUGAAAACGGCCUUUUUAAAUGGUGACUUAAAUGAAGAAGUGUAUAUGGAUCAACCAGAAGGUUUUGUUCUACCAGGAAAUGAAAAGAAAGUUUGCAAACUAAUAAGGUCUUUGUAUGGUCUAAAACAAGCACCUAAACAGUGGCAUCAAAAGUUUGAAUCUGCUAUACUCUCUAAUGGUUUUAAAUAUAAUAAUGCUGAUAAGUGUAUUUAUUCCAAGUUUACUAGAGAGUAUGGUGUGAUAAUCUGUCUAUAUGUAAAUGACAUGCUAAUUGUUGGUACUAAUUACAAAGGCGUUGAAGAAACUAAGAAGUAUUUGUCUUCUAUAUUCAAUAUGAAAGAUCUUGGAGAAGUAGAUACUAUCUUAGGAAUUAAAGUUAAGAGAUAUAGUGGGGGCUAUUCUUUAAGUCUAUCUCAUUAUGUUGAGAAAGUUUUGAACAAGUAUCAACAUUUGAAGGUAAAAGAAGUAAGCACUCCUUAUGAUCCUAACUUUAAGUUGUUUGAAAAUUCUGGAAAGCCGAUUGCUCAAUUAGAGUAUGCUAGUGCAAUUGGUAGCCUAAUGUAUGCUACACAUUGUACUAGGCCAGAUAUUUCAUAUGCAGUUUGUAGACUCGCUAGAUACACUAAGAAUCCUGGUAUAGAGCAUUGGAAAGCUAUAGGUAGAGUGCUUGGAUACCUUAAAAGGACAAAAGAUUUAGAGCUUUCCUAUAACAAAUUUCCGGCUGUACUUGAAGGUUAUUCCGAUGCAAGUUGGGUAACCAGUGUAUGUGACAAAGUGUCUACUUCUGGAUGGAUUUUUAUGUUGGGUGGAGGAGCUAUUUCUUGGGCAUCAAAGAAACAAACAGUCAUAACUCAUUCCACCAUGGAGGCUGAAUUUGUAGCCUUAGCAGCUGCAUGCAAAGAGGCCGAAUGGCUAAGAAACUUACUGUUAGACAUCGAGUUGUGGCCAAAAUCGAUGCCAGCCAUUUCUUUGCAUUGUGAUAGCGAAGCCACUAUGUCUAGAGCGUUAAAUAGAAUAUAUAACGGCAAAUCUAGACAUAUAAGUUUAAGACAUGAAUAUGUCAGACAAUUAUUGAAUGAUGGCAUAGUCACAGUAGUGUAUGUUAGAUCAUUCAACAAUUUGGCGGAUCCAUUCACUAAAGCUCUCUCGAGAGAUGUAGUGAAAGCAACGUCAUUGGGAAUGGGGUUAAAACCCAUUGUCUAAAACCACUAGUAAUGGUAACCCAACCUCUCUUCUAGCACUAACACUAGGUGAAAGGUUUAAAGGGUAAUAACAAGUUACUAAUAAGUGGUUGUGAGCACUAGAAAUUGUAUCAUACCAUUCCAAGGUACUAGUGCAGUUUGAUACAUAAGAGGCUGAGUAUCAUACUCUUAAUGAAGUUAAAUAUGGUUUCAUAGUGCCUUGGUAAUAAAAGCUAGAAAUGUACUUCACCUAUAUGAUCAUGGGAGUGGUGCCGCUCCCAGCAAAAGUGGGGGUUUUCUUUUGUAAAUGAUCAUGAAUCUAGGAUGAAGCACACGGCCGGUAAAAGUGCUAAAAUCAUUUCGUGAACUAUUCUCCGAAAAGGUUAUAAUCUUGUGUGUGCUAUUUCUGUUUUAACUUUAAAGUUAUGGUUUAAGCAAUAUAGCCACCAUAACUUGUUAGAACAAGUGAAAUAUUUACACUAAGAGAAGGGUUUAAGUUCACAAACACCUUUCUCUAUGCAAGAUAAUAUGAGUACUGAUUUGAUUUCAUUACAAACUAAGUGGGGGAUUGUUGGUAAUAGUUUGUAAUGAGUAUGUUGAAAUCCAUUGUCCCACAUUGAAAGAGGAUAAAGUGCAUGUUGCCUAUAUAUGAGUCAUUGUCCUAUUCCUUUACAAACUUGUUCCAACAAUUAGUUUGGAGGGAAAGUUUGGUGGGAAACUUAUUUCAAGAUAUAUAAAAUCUUGACAAGGGCACUUGGGCACUUGGAUUGGCUAACUACCUAAACACCUAUUCAAUAAGGAUUGCAUCCUCUGAUAGUGUCUUGGACAGGUGCUUCAAUUCUUUUAAAUAGUAGGAUUUCGACAGAAUUAAAUCACUUUUACUUUUCAUUUGAUAGUUCUUAGACUUUGUUGUAUCCUAGAGGUAAUUUAUCUAAUAGAGGUAAAUAACACCUUAAGGAAAGUGCUUUCACACCUCAAAGUCUCUGUAUUUGUCUAAGUAUAGUUUUGUUAUUUACUACAGUUUUUCUAACAGCUUGUUGAAGAACAAAAGGAAAAUGGAUGUAAAAAUCGAUGACCAAAUUCGUAUUAUACUAAGUAGAUUUUGAGUUAUAAUGUUCCCUUCUUAUUCAAAAACUUUUCCUUUUUAACUUUGACAAAAGAAGAUCUUUUUCCUUUUAUAUUGUUGAAGGUGGCAUUAUUCUGAAGUUCAUAAAAUGACGUACGAAGUGGAUUUCUUCUAAUAAUCAUAUUUACUUUUUCAACAUAUUUGCAAAUAAUUUAGUCGUUUGAGGAGUACAGUCCUUUCUAUAUAAUGCUUCCGUUUCGCUACUUGAUGCACCUAUACGAAUAAAUGUAAUUAAGGUAAAAUCUAGGGUUAUUAUGAGUUUCAAUGUACGUAUAUAACAUAUAAGCAAGCAUAUAUCAUUUUAUUGAAAAAAUUUAAUAAUAUGACGUCACUAAGAAGCAUAAGGCUGCUAGAAGAAGACAUAAAUAAAUACUUAGAUAUUAGUUUGGUGAGUCAAAUAGAGUACCUUAAUUUGAGGGAUGAGUGAUGAAGAUUUUUUUUUAAAUAAACUUCUAAUCUUCCUGCUAGGUAUAUAUAUAAAUGCCAUGACGUUUAUAUGCAUCGCAUGAUAUAUAUGUGUGUAUAUGCGCUUUUGGCAACGAAGUCUUUAGAAAUCAAUUCAUAAUCUGCCCAAAAAGAUAAAUUAUGAUUAUUGGAUUGAAUAACAUGCAUUUUAAACAUGGGAACAUAUCCUAUUUAUUGACCCAUCCAUCUCCCAAAUUCUCAAUUUCCUCGGCAAUGGCCAAGUCUGGUGCAUUCUUCCUAGCGGUUUCAUGGACAAUCUUGAUAGAUGGAUUUUUUUUUGAGGGUUUGGUAUAUGGAUUUCAACCCCUUCAAGCUCAAAAAAUACAUAGUAUUCCUCAAAAUAAUACCAAUUCCAAAACUCAGACCCUUAAUGCAAUUGAUUCUUGUUGGAGAUCAAACCCAAAAUGGGAUUCAAAUCGCCAAGCUUUGGCUAAUUGUGCUAAAGGUUUUGGAAGUGAUGCCCUUGGAGGGAAGAAUGGUAGGAUAUAUGUUGUCACCGACCCCUCUGAUGACCCUAUAAAUCCCAAGCCAGGUACACUCAGAUUUGGUGCCAUCCAAUAUGAACCGUUAUGGAUCAUUUUUCAAAGAGACAUGGUCCUUAAGCUGGAGAACGAGCUGAUAAUGAAUAGUUACAAGACUAUAGAUGGAAGAGGAGUCAAAGUUGAGAUUGCAAAUGGACCGUGCAUCACAAUUCAAAAUGUCAGCCAUGUUAUUAUUCAUGGGAUUAGCAUCCAUAGCUGCACGCUAGGGAAACGGGGGCUGGUUCGAAGCACCCCAGAUCACGUCGGCCUCAGAUUGGGUUCUGAUGGAGAUGCAAUUACUGUAUUCACAUCUUCUCAUGUUUGGAUUGAUCACAACUAUUUAGCUAAUUGUGCGGACGGCCUCGUGGAUGUAGUCAGUGGUUCGACAUCUGUGACUAUCUCCAACAAUUACUACACUCAGCAUGAGGAGGUGACGAAUGUAGUACUUCAUGGCUUUUUUUUUUAAUUCUUUUUAAAUUUGGGUUCAAUUAUCUGAAAUUGAUGGUUUAGAAAUCGAUGAUACAUUAGAUUAAGAGUUUGAAAUUAAUGGUAUCAUCAGUUAGAUUUCAGUUGGGCUCAGCUUUUGACAUUUGUUCCCAAGGACCAUGCUAUGAGCUUACAUUGAAUAUGAUUUUCAGGUGAUGCUUUUUGGACAUCGAGAUGGCAAUAUUGAGGACCAAAUUAUGAAGGUGACCGUUGUAUUUAACCAUUUUGGUUAUGGAUUAGUUCAAAGAAUUCCAAGGUACAUUUUAGAGGGAUAAUGCGAAUAAUGCAGUCAUUUGCAAUUUCGCAGGAAGUUAUUGAUAAUUUAUCCUAUAAACCUUCCUUCCGUUUGGUAACUGAUCCACUCUCAAUGGCCCAAUGGAUUGCAUGGACAAAUCAUGUAUAGGGUUAGGGUCGGCUAUGCUCAUGUAGCAAACAAUUUCUACGAGCCGUGGCUUUUCUACGCGAUUGGUGGAAGCUCAAAUCCAACAAUACUUAGCGAGGGGAAUUACUUUAUAGCUCCAAACCGUACUGAUACCAAACAAGUACGCAAAUUACUACUUCAUAGCAACUUAUCGUUUCAACCCAAAAAAAAAACCCACUACUUCAUAGUUUUGUUUUGUAUGACAAAUGUUUUAAUAGUAAUAGAUUGACGUAAGAUUAUGCAAUUAUUUUGGUAGGUUACCAGGAGAGACAAUGCUGGUGGUCCGAACAACUGGAAGAAUUGGAAUUGGAGAUCCCUCGACGAUGUGUUUGUGAAUGGGGCUUAUUUUGUUCAGUCUGGAAAUGGAAGCUGCUACCCUAAUUAUAAUGGAUCUCAAGUAUUUACUGUGGCUUCAGGAGAUUUGGUUCCUUCUUUGACAUCGGAUGCAGGUCCCCUCAAAUGUUAUCCUGGACUGGCGUGCUGAUUUUUGAAUCGAUUACUUAGAUCAAUAGUCAUAUCAAUUAUAGGCCUUUUCUUGGCUGUGAUAUACCAUGAGUCAAAACAAAAGUUACAGUUAUGUUAAUUUGAGGGUGCAAGCAAACAGCAGCUUAGCUAGCCAUAGAAUUCAAAGAGAAUUGGUUAAGAAGUCCGUGCUUCAACCAAGAAUCAAAUAUAAUAUCACAUGCAAAUUAUCCCCAUAAAAUUAUUUCCUCCUGUCGCAUUCGCGUUCUUGAUGCAUAUACUGCAACGGACUCGAAUCAUUGAGUACUUAAUAUGAAUUAAACACUCAAGAAAAUAGUGUGUUGGUACUUGUUACAGCCCAAUUUGAAAACUAGAGUUGUAUUUUGCAUUUGAUUCACUAAUUUUUCUUUGCGUUGCUGCAUCUCAAAAGAGCGUACUGUGGCACAUCUAUUGCUACUAGACAUGCUACACAAAACCUUUCCCAGAAUUAACACUUCCAGUCAUAUACUACAUCAUGGUUUUAUGAUAGUAAACAAAAGAACAAAAUAAAAAUGGCUUUGAAUUAGCUAGAGUACCUGAAGAUGUUGCAGUAGGCAGUAGUGCUUCGUAAUCUCUAGGUCAACUUAUCUUUAUAUCUCGUGCCAUCACGUUCAUCUAAAGCUUUAGAAAAUCAAGCCGAAAUCCUCCUAAACAACUUAUUAAUCAUUUCCUGACGAAUGCUCUAAACAUGGUGACCACCUCCUUAACCAUUUCGCAGUUGACAUGCUAGCUAUUUGUUCUCCUUCCAUCUCCCAAAUUCGAUCUCUAACCUCAGCCAUGGCAAAUUCUAGUUUCUUGCUACUGCUUUCAUGGAUCUUAAUCUGUUGUUUUUCAACCUUUCAAGCUCAUAAAAUUCAUAUCACUCCAUAUAAAACUACUCCGACAAAUUUUAAUCCCAUAAGUCCAUAUUAUCCCCAAAAGAAAGCCAUGAACAUAAUUGAUUCUUGUUGGAGAUGGAACCCAAAAUGGGCUUCAAAUCGACAAGCCUUGGCUGAUUGUGCUAGAGGGUUCGGAAACGCUGCUUUAGGAGGGAAGAACGGCGCCAUAUAUGUUGUCACUGACACGUCCGAUGACCCAAUAAAUCCUAAACCAGGUACACUUCGAUAUGGCGUUACCCAAGAUAAACCCCUAUGGAUCAUUUUCCAAAGAGACAUGGUCCUCAAGCUGGAGAAUGAGCUGAUGGUGAACAGCUAUAAGACUAUUGAUGGAAGGGGUGUCAAAGUUGAGAUUGCCAAUGGACCUUGCAUCACUAUUGAAGGUGUCAGCCAUGUUAUUAUUCAUGGGAUCAGCAUACACGACUGUAAACCUGGAAAACGUGGUAUGGUCCGAAGUAGUCUGAAUCAUGUUGGAGAGAGAACGGGUUCUGAUGGAGAUGCAAUUGCUGUAUUUGCAUCUUCUAAUAUUUGGAUUGACCACUGCUAUUUGGCUCGUUGCACCGAUGGUCUUAUUGACAUAAUCCAUGCAUCAACUUCCAUUACUGUCUCAAACAAUUACUUCACUCAGCAUGACAAGGUGAUCAAGAACAUCUUUUAUCAUGAUUUUCUUUUUGCCUUUUCUAUUUAAGUACUUUAGCUGGCAUGAAAGGAAUUAAAAUAUCAUGUUAAGUAUAUGAUGAAAAGUCUGAGAAUGGGAAAGUCUAUGCUAGGGAGUCCAGUAGCUUGCCAUUUCCACCAAAAAAGAAUGGGGCCAUUCUCACUAAAAAUUCUUUAGCAUACACUUCGAAAAUGGAAUUUCAUUAAUUGAUCAUCGAUGAGUGAGAUGUUGUCGUCUGGAUGAAUUUCAGGUGAUGCUGCUUGGGCAUCAAGAUGGCUAUACUGCAGACAAAGUUAUGAAGGUGACAGUGGCAUUCAACCAUUUUGGUCCUGGAUUAGUCCAAAGGAUGCCAAGGUAGACGAGUUCCAGCCAUCCAUCAAUUCGAAGUCUUCUAAAAGCAUUUAAAUGGAUUAGUCAAUCAUUGCAUGUUUGAGAACUGAUUCAAUUUCUUGGACCCAUUGCUUGAUUUCAGGGUUAGGUACGGCUAUGCUCAUGUAGCAAACAAUAGGUAUGACCAGUGGCUUAUGUAUGCAAUUGGUGGAAGCUCAAAUCCAACAAUAUUAAGCAACGGAAAUUACUUUAUAGCUUCAAAAAAUCCCGACUCUAAACAGGUGCAGAAAAGUCUAGCUCCCCAAUUUCGUAAGUAGCUCUGUAUGAAUACAUCUACUAAAAAAAUGAUGCAAUCUGUUGUGCAAUUAUUUUGAUAGGUUACCAAAAGAGACAUUGAAGGGGGUCCAGGAGUUUGGAAGAAUUGGAAAUGGAGAACCUCUAAGGAUGUCUUUCUUAAUGGGGCUUACUUUGUUCAAUCUGGACUGGGAAGCUGCUCUCCUCUUUAUUCUGCGUCUCAAUUAUUUUCUGUUGCUUCAGGAUUCUUGGUUCCUUCUUUGACUUCGGAUGCUGGUCCUCUCAAUUGUCAUCCUGGAGAGGCAUGCUGAUUUAGACCGAUUUAAAUUUAAAAAAUCAUAUUAUUGAAAUAUUGCACCCUUUUAUUUUUCCUCCUUUAAAAGUAAGCAUCUUCUGUAAUAGACGAAAAGAACUCGGAUUGUUGUGGGAGGGUUCCAAGGAGAUUAGAAGGAGAAAAGAAUGAAAGCUUAUAGUAUGGAUUAUAAAAAUUAUGUACCACAUGCAUGGCAUUUGCUAAAUAUUACAAACCAAAUCUUUAAAGAAAAAUGAUAAUUCUUUUAUAUCUCUAAUUACUUUGUUCCAUCAAGUAUCACCUCCUUCUUUUGCUAGCCUAGCAAAAGAAAAGGAAUGACCAAUCGAGAUUCAGAAAUGUCAUGAAAAUUUGAAGUACAGUAUACAGAAUCUGGAGAAAAAAAACUAAAUAUAGAAAAUCACAAAAAAAAAAAAAGAAAAUAGGUACAACAAAAGUCAUGUGGGACUAUAUUGAUGGUGAAAAGAAUUUUUUCGAAAGCAUGCAUCCAGUAAUUUUGUGAUUCAAGUAACCCAAAAAAAAAAUUUGUGUGACUAUGAGAAUACUAAUCAAUGACAGAGAGACAGAAAAAAAGUAGAGAAAAAAUAAUCAAAAGCGAAUUAGAAAAAGGAGGUACUCGGAUAAAGAUUAAAAGAGAGGAAGUUUUUGAUGGUCAAGAAAAUGAAAAAAAAAUUCUAUUUCUUGUUUCUGUAAAAUGUGGAAAAUAUAUAAUCUUAUAAUCAUCACAUUGAACGAUGAUAAAUGUCAAACAAUCAUAGAUUUAAGAUACAACUAUCAAACUGGAGGAGUUUUAGGAAACUAAUAAACUAGAGAGGAGAAAAAAUAUAUGGGAAAGAAAGAUGAUUAUCAUGGUUUUAAGAAUUGGAGAGAGAAAAGACAGAAUUGAACUCAAAAAAUUUUAAUUCAUAAGAUCUAAACUUUAAUCAUUAGACCAAAAUAUUAUUAAUAUUUAUUGAUUGAAUCUAUCAACAGCGUAGAUAAAGAUUAGAAAAGUUGGUGCAGCUAACUCUUAUGAGGAAGGGCAAAUUCCACUCUAUCCCCUUGUGGUUUAGUAUUUUUUUACAUAACCCUCCAUGGUUUUCAAAACUAUAUAUAACCCCUUUAUGGUUUGAAUUAAAGUAUCAAAAUGACGGGAAUAAUCAUUCAUAACGGAAUCACCUAAAAUGUCAAAAAUAUCCUUAUGUAAAGUUGAACAUUAUUUAUUAAUCAAGGGGGGUUAUGUGUAUAUUUUUAAAACUAUAAGAGGAUUAUAUGGUAAAGUAUUAAAUCAUAAGGGGGUUAUAUGGUAAAAUAUAAAAAUCAUACGUAAUUAGUGUGUCAUGUAUUUAUAAGGGUAAUUUCGACAUUUUUAGAAGUUCCGUUACGAAUGACUAUUUCCGGUACUUUGACACUUUAAUCCAAAUCAUGAGGGGGUUAUGUAUAACUUUUGAAACCAUAGGGGGUUAUGUAAAAAAAUGCUAAAUCACAGGGGAUAAAAUGUAAUUUGCCCUAUGAGGACAGCCAACCUCCUCUAAAGGAGUUGGCCAAUACAUAUUUUGUGAGGUGAGAGUUCAAGAAUUCAAAUCUUGCCCCUCUCUCAUGAAAAAGUUGUUACUUAAUGUGGAUUUUUUAAGAUCCAUAUGGGUACUUAAUACAUACGGCGAUCCAUAUGGGCACUUAAUGCAUAUGUAUGGUCCGAUGGUGGUUCAGUCCCUGUCGAUUUCCGAUGAUCCUAUUGGACCACUUUCCAUAGUAUAGGUUAGAAUAGAACUAGAAGUGGGAGUAGGUAUAAAUGGUGAUAAUAGGAAAAAAAAAAAAAAAAACUCUUAUGAGGAAGAAUGAAUGUAUAGGUGAUAGGAGAUGAACAGCUUUAGGACUUUGAUACUAAAAAAUACAAAAUAAACAGAAGAAAAUAACAUGAGAGAAGUGCAUUUAUGGGCGUAAAAAAAAAAUCACUGUCAUACCAAUGAAAAAGAAAAAAACCUUUGUCGUACGAGAUAAAAUGGAAAUAAUUUGACAUAGCAAGAAGAUAUUGAAACAGAACGAAGAGUUAAAGGGGAGCGGUAAAAUUCAGGUCAUGUGAAUUCUAAAUAUGUACUUGUCACUGUCCAAUGCAUAGGUUAGUCCUUAUCUUUCAAAAUAAAAUAAGAAUUUGUGACUAGAAAUUAAUACUAAAUAUGAACUUUUAUCAAUUCAAAAGAGAUUCCAAAUUUUACCAAAGAGAAGAAGGAAAUGGAGGGAUUUGGUUUGGUUAGAUAUUAAGGACGGUAUAUAAUAUAAGUGUACAACUUACCUUCUUGCUUUUUAUUAUCCUAAGCCAUGCUCAGCUUCACUUUUCCGACUACCAGUUACUAGUCUCAUUUUCCUACCUUUGCAUGAACAUUAUUAUAUUUUAGUUUACCAAAACUAUUCCUAAUGCACAUCUGAAUGGAAAGAGAGAAUCUUAGUAGUAAUAUAUUAUGUGAAAACAUUCAUCCUCCAUUCAAAAUUGGCUAAUAUUCAAUGAUCAAGAAUUUAAAAGUCAAUAGCUUCUUCUCCUAACUAUUUUCCCCCUCGCACCCCUCCAAGGGGCAGAGGGAGAGCGGUAGGGAGCCUAAUGUAUAAACAACAUCUUUGGUGGUCAAAUAAUAUAGAAAUGCCUCAUUUCUAUACUCAAAACUUGGAUUCAUAAGAAAAGUCAAUGAAACAACCUGAAUUCGUGCAAUCACAUCUUUUGCGUCCCCUAAAUCUUCGAGAAAACAAUACCACGAGAAAGUCGUCUAAGUGAAUCGUGUGUGCCACCUUGUAAUCUUGUACACAAUUGACAUAUUACAUCUUAUAAUCGCCAGUAAAUUAUCACUUCCCAAGCCAUGGCCUCCCAGGGUUUUCAUUUGCUACUGAUCAUCAUAACCAGUCUUCUAAGCAUCACUUUCUCCACCUCCCAAGCUGCUGGCCCUAGUGCAUCUAAGCCCGCCAGAAAAGUCAUGAAUAUCAUAGACUCUUGCUGGCGAAGCAGGUCUAACUGGGCAGAUAACCGGCGUGCAUUGGCCGAUUGCGCUAUAGGCUUCGGCAAGAAUGCAAUCGGUGGAAAAUAUGGUGCAACAUAUAUCGUCACAGAUCCAUCCGAUAAUCCGGGACACCCAAAAUCGGGCACUCUUAGACACGGUGUUGUACAGACAAAACCAUUGUGGAUUAUAUUUGCUAGGGACAUGGUUAUAACUCUGAAAAAUGAGCUGAUAGUAAAUAGUUUUAAGACCAUUGAUGGGAGAGGGGUGAAAGUGGAGAUUGCUUAUGGACCAUGCAUCACAAUACAACAUGUUAGCCAUGUGAUUAUUCAUGGGGUUAGCAUUCAUGACUGUAAGCCAGGGAAGGCUGGCAUUGUCCAGAGCAGUUCAACUCACACAGGCCGCCGGGGUGGCUCGGAUGGAGAUGGCAUUGAUAUCUUCGAUUCUUCCUAUAUAUGGAUUGAUCAUUGCUUUCUUGCGAGGUGCAGCGAUGGCCUCAUUGACGUUAUCCAUGCUUCCACUGCCAUUACCAUUUCCAAUAACUAUUUUACUCAGCAUGAUAAGGUCAGCAAAAUGCUUAUAUAUUUAUACACAUAUAUUUCCAACUAGAUUUCGCUAGAAAUUACACAAUAUUUGUGAGCCUUUCAUGUAGUUUAGUUUCGUAGGUACCGCAGAUUUUCUCACAGGGUUUCAUUGGCAGGUGAUGUUAUUUGGGCACAAUGAUAAGAACACAGAAGAUAAUGCCAUAAAAGUUACGGUAGCCUUCAACCAUUUUGGUCCUGGUCUUGUGCAGAGGAUGCCAAGGUUUGGGAAUUCUUCAGUUUUAUUUUUGUCGGAAUAUAUAUGUGUAUAUAUAUAUGACUUAUGCACAUCAGUUUAACGUAUAAUCCUCUCAGGGUUAGGCUAGGUUAUGCGCACGUGGCAAAUAACAGGUACGAUAGAUGGGAGAUGUAUGCAAUUGGUGGAAGUGCCAAUCCAACCAUUUUCAGCGAAGGGAACUAUUUCAUGGCUCCGGACAGUCCUGAUGCUAAACAAGUAAGGCCAACUGAUUUCUUGGUGAGGCAAGAAUUGCCGUUGUUAGAAUCUCUUUGGAUGCUAUCUGCAUUCUAGAUGUUCUUUCACCUAAUCAGCUUGCCAAUCCAAAUUAUAUGACCAACAACAUUAAUUCACCAAUCUUGUGAUAUCACUUAAUACCUUUAGAGCAGAGAGAUCUUCUAAUCAUGUAACGCUUGCAAGAUUUAUAGUUUCUUUAAUACCUAGUAAUUACUAGCUUGAUUGAACAGGUGACGAAGAGAGAGGCUAAAAAUGGUUGGAAAAAUUGGAAAUGGAGAUCCUCCAAAGACAAAUUCAUGAAUGGAGCAUAUUUUGUUCAAUCUGGAUAUGGAAACUGUUCCCCUGGUUACAAUAGAUAUCAGAAUUUUCCGGUGGCCGAUGGUUCGUUGGUACCUGCUUUAACAGCCGAUGCAGGCCCCCUACGCUGCACUACGAAUAAAGCUUGUUAGUUGAUGUCUGCGUUAAUUCCACCAUGUAUCAUAAUUAAUUAAUCUCGAGGAGUUAGAUUUUUUUUAUGACUUCUUUAAUCAGAAGAAAGAUCCAGUCUUCAGCACCGGUUUGGACUGGCGCCUGUGCCUUGCACCAUAAUGUUGGUGCCAUUAUGAUAACCUUAAAAUUGUACACCUACAACCAGUGGCUAAAUAUUUAAGGUCUUUGAUAAAAUAAAAUAAAAUAAAUUUGAAUGCCUUACGAGGAAGCAAGUGAUUUAUGAAAUACAUAUCUAGUACCUUUUGGAAUGUUCGUGCAGACUGUUUAAAUCAUUUCCAUUUCGAAUCUUGGCAUGGCACAAUGCAACUACAGAGAUAAUAUAUAAUUUGCAUAUUCUAAUUGAUUUUAUAAAAUUCCACUGGAGGCCUGUAAAUUUAAUGCAAAACUUGAAGUUAAACUAAAUACAAAAUGGGGUACAACAACUUUAGCAGUUAGGAUACAAACUCGGUUAAAGGUUUUUUCUGCGGUAAGAUUUUAUUCAAGACAUCUAAUGAGUUAGAUAGUUACCAGUAUACAUUUUAUCAAGGUGUAAGAAACACUAUAUGAGCCGGACACCUCAGUGUGUAAGGAUGUUUCCUAUUCUGGUAAAAUGGGAUAGACAUUUGUUUAAAUUUGGGUUGAUUAAUUAUUUUUAGUUUGAAAGAUGUUUUAUGAAGGCCUCAUUUGGGGUUGCGUGCAUUUAACAAAAAAAUCACUUUUAAGUACUAAAAGUACUUAUAAAAUGUUUGGUAACUAAUUUCCCAUAAUUUAAGCUGUCCAAUUUUUGAUAAUUUAAUAGCAACUUUUAUAAAAGUAUUUGUGUCAGAAGUGCUUCUUUACAAGCUAUCACAACUCUAAACGGGGCCUAAAUCUAAUGAGCUUAAAUGCAGCUUAUAUCUGUGUUUAUUGAGUUGAAUCAGUUUGGACUUGAAGAAUUAACAAUUGCUGAAACUUGUUUAGGCUGGAUGUGAUACAGUUAAGCGUACCAUUGUUGGAUGAAUGUGAGGAUAGCUUGCCUAAGUGCUCUGUAGCUGUAUAUAUGUUUCAUCCCUACGUUUGUAGCUAUACAAAUUCUAAAUGUAUAGGCCACUUUGAAAUAAUCCAUCUAAAUGUAUAGGCCAACUCAUUCUAACAAAUCUCGAUUUUCAGGAACUGAUACAAAACAGUUCCAUGUAAAGUAACCGAAAAGAACAUUGAAGAAGUUAAAAAUCUGGGACAUUUCUAAAUUUCAAGCCACUGUGACACGAGGGAUUUGUUCAUAAGCCAAGUGUGCAUUAGAUCAUUUAAGAAACAAUGCUAAUGCGCUAAAGAAUGAUAAUACUUGAAUUCUCUUUCUGUAGAGUCUUUAAUAUUCUGCAAUUGCUGUAACAAACUAAUAAAUUCUUUUUUUUUUUGGCAACUAAUAAAUUCUUAAUUAUCCUUAAUCUUUAAGAUUAUCAUAACUGCAGGAUUUAAAAGUACGGGACAAAAGCAAUUUAAAUUAUCAGGGCACUACGUGCCAAGCUUGCAAUUUACGUUCUCCACCAGCUCCAGCUUAUAUAAGGAAUCAGAAGCUCUAGACUACAAGUGCAAGAAAAAUCAGUAAUAUUUGUUUAGAAGUAAAUUGAUCAACAUGAAUAGCAAGUCUAAAAAUGUUGAUCAUCUUCCCAAAUGCUAUUCAAUUUUCCCUUUCAUCCCAAUUUAUCAAAUCUUUUCCAUGGCACAAUCAAGUCAUUUCCUAGUGCUUUCACGGAUGCUAGCCAUCAUUUGCUGUUUCUCGACAUUCCAAGCCCUUCAGAUAAAAAGUACCUCAAAUCAGGACAUUGGUUUCAAUGCGAUCGAUACUUGUUGGAGAAAACACGGGGAUUGGGCUACCAAUCGCCAAGCCUUGGCUGAUUGUGCCAAAGGAUAUGGAGCUGGUGCCCAAGGAGGUAAAAAUGGUGCCACAUAUGUUGUCACUGACCCUUCAGACGACCCCAUCAACCCCAAAAAGGGGACACUCAGAUAUGGGGCAAUCCAGAGGGAACCUCUUUGGAUCGUCUUUCAAGGGGACAUGAACCUAAAACUGAAAGAUGUUGAAAUUUUUGUUAAUAGUUACAAGACUAUAGAUGGAAGAGGUGCUAGAGUUGAGAUUGGAAAUGGACCUUGCCUUAGAAUCAAUGAUGUGGAGCAUGUUAUUGUCCAUGGAAUCAACUUUCGUAAAUGUUUGCGUGGGAUACCUGGAUUGGUUCGGAUUGAUCCUGAUCAUCUUCUUAACACAAGUUCUAAUGGAGUACCUGACGGAGAUGGCAUUAGAAUACUUUCAUCCAGCCACGUUUGGAUUGAUCAUUGUCACUUUUCUAAUUGUGCCGAUGGUCUUCUUGACAUAUCCCAUAAAUCAACUGCCGUGACUGUGUCCAACAACUAUUUCACUCAGCAUGACAAGGUAAAAUGCCAAAAAAAUCAAAAGCCACAGAAACUAAUUAAAUAUAUGAUUCAAUAUCCAGACCAAAAUGGGAAAGUAUAAACAUUAGAAAGGUUGAUCUUGAUUUCAGCUAUUCAUAACGUUUGAUGUGAUCUCUUUACAGGCAAUGCUGUUAGGGCAUUCGGAUAAGUCUCCCCAGGAUAACAAGAUGUAUGUCACCUUGGUAUUGAACCAUUUUGCUUCUGGACUAACCCAAAGAAUUCCUAGGUAAAAUCAAGCUCUACUCAGAAUUUAUUUCAAUGGUUUUAAUUUGUAAACCGUCUAUCUAUCUAUAUAUAUAUAUAUAUAUAUAUAUAUAUAUAUUUCUUCUCAACUUGGAUGGAUUCUGGUCUUUUGAAAUAAUUACAGAGUCAGGUACGGAUAUGUUCAUGUAGCAAACAAUAAGUAUGAUGAAUGGGGAAUGUAUGCUAUCGGUGGCAGCUCGUGUCCAACAAUACUGAGCGAAGCCAACUAUUACAGAGCGAAAAAUGAUUCUGAUGCUAAACAGGUGCUCAAAUAUUGAAUAAUUGCUCUUAUAAUUUGACCAUGUCCCAUAAAUUCUAUAGCAAGAAAAUGUUUGCAUCUCAAUUAUCUAGAAUUUCCUGGGGGAUUAACAACGUCGGAGAUCUGGCAUUUUUUGACAGGUUACCAGGAGAAUUUCAAACGAUCCGGGGUGGAAAAAUUGGUCAUGGAAUUCCAAGGAUGAUGUAUUUCUUAACGGUGCAUAUUUUGUUUCAUCCGGGAAUGUUUGGACGCCUAAUUAUGCUGCAUCCCAAGCAUUUGAAUUGGCUCCAGGAGGAAGUGUACCUAUUUUGACUCUUCAUGCUGGUCCUCUCCAAUUAUAAUGAAUGUCUCCAACGUAUGAAUUCAAAGUGAUAUAAUUGAUUCCAGAUUGUGGGCUUUUGUCUUCUUUAUAUCUUGUGAUCAGCUCCCCAUUUUUGGUUUUUACUUUAUAUCAUUUUCAUGCAUUCUCGUUGCAAUAUAGAACUAUUCAAAAUAAUUCAUAACAACGUACGUCCAACUCAAGAUUAAGAUUUAAUUCUACAGCUGGGCUAACUGCAUAUUUUCUUGAUUGGAAGUGUGAUUUUAGUAAUUUUGUUAUUAACUAAACUAAAAAAAACCCCAAAAAAAAAAAAAAUACUUCACGCUUUUGAGAAAUUUACAUCGUCCAAAUGUGCAUAAUUUUAUUCCUGUGCAACUGGCUGAAGUAAUUUCGCAAAGGACAAAAUUUUUGCAAUCUGUUCCUCUCAGAAAUUCCAACAACACUAAUGCCUCUUAUUUGCUGCUUAAUGGAAUAUGGUUAUGUAGUUAAUGACUUUCCCAGAAAAAAAAAAGGGGGAAAGGAAAGAAAAAGAAAUGGGAAUAACAAGAACUCAGAAAAUGUAAGAGCACCAACAGUGCCCAGGAGCCUCAGUUAAUUAAUAGCCGCCUGUGCAAUUGUUUAGAAAGUGAAGGUCAACAUUUCGUCAAAAUCUUAGUGCUAAACUUGAAUGAUUGAGAUUCAUUCAUGUACAUAUAUAUACUCUUAACUCAUUGAGAAGAUGUACGUUUCAUAAAUUUUCUAUAGAUCCCCAUUAUCCCAACUAUGGAUGCACAGCACAGGACUUGUCAAUGGGAUCAAAUCUUAACCUUGGUUCACAACGCAAAUUGUCUCCAUACAAAUGUCAAUUUCAGAAGGCCAAUUAAGCAAAAAAACCAAUUAACAUAGUCCAAAAAAAUGAACUCUAAUUUGUACCAUGCAAUACCAAUUACUCUAUACAUGGCCUACUAUCACAGGCAUCUGAACAAUCUAAGAAAAUAACAAUCUCCUGAAACAAAAAUGGAGCCUAGAAAUGGUGGUGCAACUGUGACCAUACGCCACAACUACUAUGUAGUGUAACAACUUUGAUCGUGACUGAGACUACAAAUUCGACUUUCAACCAUGAUCCCAUUUGGAUAUUCUUAUGAAUGCAGAAGUCAUUUUAGAUAUGGAUUAAGGAUGCAAGUUAUUGAUAGAGAGCUAAUUGUGUAUUUUAUUUAUGAAUAUUUUCCUUGAUUGAAGCAAAAUGUUGUGUUAGUUGGUGGAAUCUGCUCAUAUUUUGUAUUGGGAAAAUCGUCCAAAACGUCCCUCACAUUUUGUAAAAUUACUUUUUUCGUUUUUCACUUUUAAAAGUGUAAUUUUAUGUCCCUUACAUAUUCAAAUCGGUCAAAUUUAGUCCAUAACUAGGUUUCCGAUCAUUUUUUGGCCGAAAUCCAUCACGUACAAGGCACAUGAUCAUUUUUGAAGGGUAAAUUAGUCAAAUUAUAUUUUACAUAAUCUAAUCUAUAGUUCUCCACAUUUUAUAAAACAAAAUUUUUCGUCCCCCACAUUUUAUAAAAUGAUUUUUUCAUCCCUCAUAUUUCACAAAAUGAAUUUCUCCAUCCCUCACAUUUCAAAUAUGCAAUACAUAGUUGGUCGGUUAGCAAGUCAAGCAAAAUGAGAAAAUAGAAAUUAACCCGGUUUGCAGGUUCACGGUUCAAUCCGAUUUUUGACCGGAUCUGAUCGAACUUUUUCCAACAUGGUUUUUGGCAUAACUCGGACCGGAUACUUGAUCGGUUUCUGGUUCGAUCAAUCGAACCGACCGGUCCGGUCCAAGUCUGAAAACAAUGCUGUAACCAACUAAUAAAUUUUUUUUCUUCUUUUUGGACAACUAAGAAAUUCUUAAUCAUGCUUAAUCUUGUAAUACGAACACAACAUCAGGCUUUGACAGAAUAGGACAAAAGCAAUGUAGAUCAGCGCAUUAAGUGCCAAACUCUUGAGUUUCCUCAUCUACCUGCCUCAGCUUAUUAUGAGCAAUCGUCAGCUCUAGUAUAGACUACAAGUGCAAGGAAAAUCAGUGGUAUUUACUUGAAACUAAAGUCAAUACAAGUAAAAUGUGAGAAAACGCUAAUCUCAUCCGCCGAAAAAUUCUAUUAAUUCAAUCUUCUUUUUCAUCCCAAUUCAUCAAAUUUCUGCCAUGGUAAAUUUAAGUCCUUGCCUAGUGCUUUCAUGGAUACUAGCCAUCAUGUGUUAUUUCCAUAUAAUAACUCAAGCCUACCAGACAAAAAGUACCCAAAACAUAUCCUCUUUCCCAAACUCCUAUCCAUCUGAAGUCGGCAGCGGUUUCAACGUUAUCGAUAGUUGUUGGAGAAAAGACAGCAAGUGGGCCUCCAAUCGCCAAAAAUUAGCUGAUUGUGCCAAAGGAUAUGGAGCUGAUGCCCGAGGAGGCAAAAAUGGCGCCAUAUAUGUUGUCACUGACCCUUCUGACCACCCGAUCCAUCCCAAAAAGGGGACACUCAGAUAUGGUGCAAUUCAAAAAAGACCUCUUUGGAUCAUCUUUAAACGGGACAUGAGCAUAACCUUGGAAGGUGGUGAACUUUUUAUUAGUAGCUACAAGACUAUCGAUGGAAGGGGUGCCAGGGUUGAGAUUGCAAACGGACCUUGCCUCAGACUCGAUAAUGUGAGCCAUGUUAUUAUCCAUGGGAUCACUAUUCAUAAUUGUUUGCGUGGGAGACUUGACUUGGUUCGUCGUGAUCCCGAUCAUCUUGUUAAUACAAGUACCAUUGGGCAAUCUGAUGGAGAUGGCAUUCGAGUGACUUCAUCUAGCAAAAUCUGGAUUGAUCAUUGCUACCUUUCAAAAUGUGGAGAUGGUCUUCUUGACAUAACUCAAGGAUCAGCUGCCGUCACCGUAUCCAACAACUAUUUCACACAGCAUAACAAGGUAAAAUGGACAAGUUAAAAACGGAUAUAUACAGUACAAUAUCCAGAAUAAAUUUAAUAGGAAACUCGGAAAAAAAACCAUAAAAAGGAUUUUCUUGAUUUCAGGUAGUCAUGACUUUGAUGUAAUCCCUUUACAGGUGAUGCUGUUAGGGCAUUCAAAUAUGUAUCUUAAGGACAAAAAGAUGCAUGUUACCGUGGUAUUCAACCAUUUUGCUUCUGGACUAGGCCAAAGAAUGCCAAGGUAAAAUCAAGCUCUAAUCAAAUCGCGAUCUUCGCUUCUUUUGCUUUGAAAUAUGUCUUGGUGAUUAUAAACCCAUCUUACUGUCCUUGUUUUUUUUUGUUGGACUUGUCAAUGUUUACGUAUUUGUUGAGCUCGUUAUAAAGCAUCAAAUGUUUAGUUUGUUAGAUCAAUUUAUUGCGGUGGUUAUGAACCAUCUAAUGUUCUUUUUCAAUUGAACGCCGAUUUUGUACAUGUUAAUUUUUUGGGCGCACUUAGUAGUGCCCAUUUUAAUCAAAAUAUCAAUUGUUGGUUGGUCAAAUUUUACCUAAAUAAAUUAUAAGUGCUUUUGGUUAGAAACACAUGUUUAAAAUGUGAACAUCAAUUCUUUAAAUUAACUAGCUAGGUAGCACAUAGUUCGUGAUAUGCUUGAAUGUGUUGGCAUUUUCUUUAAGCAACUUGUAACUUGAAAAUGGGGAGGAGGCUUAUAAAUUAAACCACUUGAUAUUUCUUGUUUGGUCAGAAAUUCGACGUUUUCAUGUUUAGGAUUUAUUUUUUGAUGUUCCUACAUAUUUGUCUAAAUAUUUUCUCAACUUGGAUGCAUUUUGCAACUUUUGAUAAAAUUACAGGGUUAGGUAUGGGUAUGCUCAUGUAGCAAAUAAUAAGUACGAUGAAUGGGGGUUUUAUGCUAUCGGUGGGAGCUCGCAUCCGACAAUACUGAGCGAAGGCAACCACUACACUGCACGAAAUGAUCCUCGUACUAAAGAGGUGCUUGAGUAUUCAUAUAAUUCUCUAAUAAUUUCCCAUAAAUCCACAUCCAAAAAAAAAUGUUUAUAUAUAUAUAUAUAUUUCAGUACGUUGUUUAGGGUUACUGGAGGAUGAGAUGUUUGGGUGUGGCAUUUUUGUGGCAGGUUACUAAGAGAAUAUCACAUGAUCGGAGGAGGUGGAAGAAGUGGUCAUGGAAAUCCAAGAAUGAUUUAUUUUUUAACGGGGCAUAUUUUGUUUCAUCUGGGAAAUUUUGGAGACCUAAUUAUUCUAGAUCUCAAGCAUUUAAGGUGGCUUCGGCAAAAGGAGUUCCUACUAGUUUGACUCGUGAUGCUGGUCCUCUCCGCUGUGUUGAAAAUCUUCCAUGUAGAAAUUGAAAAAAAAUGAUCAAAUAAUAGAUUCCGGAUUUUAAGCUUUUAUUUUUCCUUAUUUAAUUCAUAAUUAGAGAAUAGAAGAUGGCCCUAUUAAAGGUAUAUGCAGAGCAAACAAGGGAAAAGUUGACAGGCAACUGACAUUUAAGAAAUAUUCCUACAGCUGGGCUGACUGCGUAAUUUGUUGAUUGAGAGCGAUAGUUUAGUAAUUUUAUUAGUAUAAAAAAAUAUUUUUAAAAAAAAAAACAGAGCGAUACUUCAAGGUUUUGAGAAAUUUAUCUUAAACAAGUGUGCAUAAUUUACUUAUAUUAUAUAAAAAGGAGUUUGUGAUAAACUCAUUCUUUGACCUUCAUCCGCCUCAUUUAGGGGUCAGGAUAGGUAUUUCACACAUAGGUAAGAUGCAUCUUAAAGUUGAGUACAAAUUAUAUAUGCAAAGAAUUUGGUGGUAUGAUUACCUUUUCAUCCUAUGAGGUGUUUAAUUAGUUCUGUUGGCGAGGAUUAAUAAAGGGCAAAUUCCACUUUAUCCCCCUGUGGUUUAGCGUUUUUUCACAUAACCCCUCUAUGGUUUCAAAAACUAUACAUAACCCCCUUAUGGUUUGGAUUAAAGUGUCAAAGUAACGAAAAUAGUCACUCGUAACGGCGUCAUCUAAAAUGUCAAAAAUACCCUUAUGUAAGGCUGAAAUUUAUGUAUUAACCAAGGGGGGUUAUGUGUAUAUUUUGAAAAUCAUAAGGGGGCUAUAUGGUAAAGUAUUAAACCAUAAUGGGGUUAUAUGGUAAAAUAUAAAAAUCAUAGGGGGUUAAUGUGUCAUGUAUUUAUAAGGGUAAUUUCGACAUUUUUAGAAGUUCCGUUACGAGGGACUAUUUCCGUUACUUUGACACUUUAAUCCAAACCAUGAGGGGGUUAUGUAUAGCUUUUGAAACCAUAUGGGGGUUAUGUAAAAAAAGGGUAAACCACAGGGGGGUAAAAUAUAAUUUACCCAUUAAUAAAAGCUAGGCAAUCCAUUGUGCAAUUACUUCCACCGUUAGGUUUCCAUUACUUUAGAAUUGGGAUGCUUAUUUUCCUUCUUUUUCCGUUACUUCUCCUUAUAUUGAACUUUAUUUAUUCGUUUCCGUUACUUCAAUCUUCAUAAUACUUUACCAUUCUUCUUCCUUUACUUUAAUUUAUUUUUCCCCAAUUGAUUGUCAUAUUAAGCUUUUCAUUAGUCUGCCAGGUAUUUCUUUGUUGCUUUAAAGUUUUGGAAUUUUCUUCUACUAUAUUUUAUUACUAUGGACAAGAUUUUAAGUCUAUUUUUCUUGAUUAAUAUGUUGUAUAUUGGAUUAUCGUUAACUAGUGAGGUUGUUAAUGACUUAUUUGAUUUUGCUAAUUUGGUUGUGAAUUUCUUUGUCAAAUAGGUUGAAGAAUUUACUCAAAAUCUUGUGGAAAGGUAAAUGAAAUUGGUGAUUUUCCUUGCUUUUGUAAAUUUAUGUUUCAUUGUAAAUUUCCUUCUACACUCCUUGCGUUUAUUCUAUAUAUUCUGAUAGGCUGCAAUUUAUCUAUUUAUUUUAUUAUUAUUUUCCCCUAUUACCUGACUUGAUGUGGAUUAAUUGCUAGAUUCUACUCAUUUUUCUUAAUUUACGUAUAUUUCAGGGAGUAGAACGAAAAUAUGAUAACAGGUACCAAAUUGACAGGAAAAAAAUUCAGAUGAUAAAGCUUGUCCCAGGGGCACUUUUGGAACAGAAGAUGUCACGCCCAUUUUGGUAAUUUUCGCAAAGGAAUGACGGACGGAGGGCUCCUCUUCCUGCUGUGAGCCGCCACAAUAAAGAGAAGAAAAGAGGAUCAGAGGAGGGCUGGCUUUUACUCUUAGCUUUUCCGUCUGUAGCUUAGGAGAAAUGCUUGACUUUUCCCUUGGACCUAUUUUUAGCUUUAGAAACUCAUGGCUGUGAAGAGGAGGCAUUUUGUUAGCCUUGAGCUUUGACUUUUCCUUUUUCUUUCUUUUGAAUCCUGCGGAUGGCAGGAGCAUUGGGGAGUUGCUUCCUUUGACUUUUCUUCUUUAGCUUGAGACGAAGUGAAAACUAUGAACUUUUGUAGCUUUUAAGUUGUUCUUUUUUCUUCUUCCUUUCGUAUGAGCGGACAAGCGAGGACAGUAAAUGAUACUCUGAAACUUUGCUGUGCUUUAUUGUUUUGACCGAGUUGAACUUGGGCAUUUUCUCAAUUGAUGGCCGCAGCUCCUUUUUCAAUUUUCCGUGGAUUUAGUUCAUCAAUUAUGAGCUAACUUUUCAAUCCUAGUCAAGGAGCGACGAAGGCUCUGGCUCGCCUAAAAAUUGUGAGAUCGUUUUAAUUCAAUUUUUUCCUUUUAUUUAUUGGUAUUCGCAUAUUUCCUGGUUACAGUGCUUAUGAUUGUUUAAUUAAUUGAUUGUCUUGGAUCCGGAUAAUUAGUUAAUUUGGUAAUCUAUUGUCAAUUGGGACGUUAAAUCCGUAAUUGUUUAAUUAUCUCAAAAUAGUGAUAACUGGCAUGAUUAGAUUUGUGUCAGGGGAAUACGCGGGCUAAUCUAAAAUAACCCUGGUAGUGCGUUAUUUGGUUAGAAUAGAACUUCUCUAAUACGUAAGACAAUUGGGGAAUUAAAUUCUACGGGCGUACCUAGGAUUAUUUCUCAAUUAGAGCAGUGAUUAACAGGCGUACCUUGAUCACCGACACAGUAAGGAGGGGUUGAUUGCCAUCGCUUGUUUGGUAGUUAUAACCUAUUUAUUGAUAAAUAAUUGGAAUUGGCUUACAUCAAUGAUCAAUUAGGUGAACCAUUGCUGAAGUUACUUCUUGGCUAGCUCCUUAAUUAAUAUUAUCUUGGUUUUAGUGAAUUGCCAUUUGAUUUUUCGUUGCCUACUUGAUUUUAUUCUUAAUCGUUUUCUUGUUUUAAUUGAUUCAGGCCUUUAAUCAUUGUUACUCUGAGUUCAGUGAAUUAUUGUUUAAUUUCUAGUCAGUUAUUUAUUUUUAUUUUCAUUUUCUUAUUUGAAUUUAUUUGCUUGUUAUCAUUCCUACAAAAUCACCCCCUGUGUUACUUUGGAUUUCUUAAGAAACAAAUAUACCCAAUCCCUGUGGAUACGACCCUACUUGCCCUGUCUACAAAUUCAUAAUUAUUUGUGAAAAAAAAUAACCAUUCCAUUCGGGUAUAUCGGAUCAAGCAAACUCUUCGGGAACAGGGUGAAUCAAGUAAUCCAUUGCACACCUAGAGUCCCUGCUCCAGUACUUGGAAUUGGGUCUUGGUCAUUUUAACUGGCAAUUAGGUUUAAUUUUUAUUAUUGCACAAGCUGAUGACCUGUCAAUUUUUGGCGCCGCUGUCGGGGACUGGCGUUAUUAUUUGUUUCUUUUUAAAUUCAUUUUUUUUGUCCUAAUUUUCUGAUUUUCUUCUAGUGUAUGCCUCGAUCUUCUCGUACAGGUGAUUUGAUUUUUGACCCUGAGGUAGAGAAGACCGCACGUAGAACGAGAAAGGAAACCAGACAGCUCAGAGAAGAGCACUCCAGUGCUACAUCUUAGAGACCCGAGUCAGAAGUUGAACCAACGGAUUCGUUUGGUAACACUUCGAGUGACUCUGACCAGGAGGAAGGCACUAUGGCUAAUGCACGAACAUUAAGAGAGUUGGCUGCCCCUAAUUUAAAUCAGCAGCCUCUAUGCAUUACCUGUCCCACCUUAAAUGAUAACAUUCCAUUUGAACUAAAAUCUGGUCUGAUUCAAGUUUUACCCUCUUUUCAUGGUUUACCAAGUGAAGAGUCGUAUAAGCAUCUGCAGGAAUUUGAUGUCGUGUGCAACAGUAUGAAGGCCCCGGGAAUCACAGAAGAGCAGAUAAAAAUGAGGACAUUCCCCUUCUCCUUGAAAGAUUCUGCGAAGGACUGGCUGUACUACCUGUCACCAGGUAACAUCACCACGUGGGACCAAUUGAAGAAAAAAUUUUUGGAUAAAUAUUUUCCUGCGUCCAGGGCUGCAAGUCUAAGGAAAGAAAUUUGUGGGAUCAAGCAGCAUCCAGGGGAGUCACUCUAUGAGUAUUGGGAACGAUUCAAGAACUUGUUGCACAAGUGUCCCCAGCACCAGAUAAGUGAGCAGUUGCUCAUUCAGUAUGUUUAUGAGGGGCUCCUUUUUAGAGACAAGAGCAUCAUUGAUGCUGCAAGUGGAGGGGCACUGGUGAACAAAACCCCUCAGGAAGCACGGGAGUUAAUAGAGGGGAUGGCAGAGAAUUCACAACAAUUCAGUACAAGAGAGGAUGUCCCAAUACGUAAGGUGAAUGAGGUAGAGACACCCUCUAUGCAGCAGCAGCUAACUGAGUUGACCGCGUUUGUUAGGCAACUGGCUGUGAGAAAUGCAUCACAAGCCAGGGUGUGCGGGAUUUGCACUGAUAUGGGUCAUUCUGCAGACAUGUGCCCAAUGAUUCAGGAAGAAACUGCAGAACAGGUGAACAUGGCCGACCACGCGCCCGCGCCAAGGAAGCAGUACGACCCUUACUCAAACACCUACAACCUCGGGUGGAGAGAUCAUCCCAACCUCAGUUAUGGAGGGAAUAGGCAACCCAACUUUACACUGAACAGGCAGUCUAACUUUGUGCCAAAUAAGCCACCAGAGUACCAGCAGCAAUACCAACCCCGACCACCUCCGCCCCCAAGCUCUGGUCCAUCUUUGGAGGAGAUAAUGAAACAAAUGAUGACAACCAUGGCGCAAAAUCAGCAAAGGACGGAGGCACCAUUAUGCAAAAUCAGCAAAGAACGGACCCCGAAAUGCAGGAUAUAAGGAAUCAGAUAAGUCAAAUGGCCACAUCAAUCAACCGUUUAAAGUCCCAGAACCAGGGUAAAUUACCAUCUCAACCUGAGUUGAACCCAAAGAAUGUGAGCGCCAUGACAUUGCGAAGUGGCAAGGAGAUUCAAAGGCCUGAGCCUGUGAUUCCUAAGGACAAGGAUGAGAAGAAGAUCGAGAAUGAACUUAAGAGGGAGGACAGCAGUGGUGCAGAUCCAAAAGUACUUCCUGACCCAAUAGUUACAGUUAAAACUAACCCGGCUCCUUUUCCUAACAGGUUGGAAAAAUCAAAGAAACAGGACAAGGAGAAGGAGAUCUCGGAGGUGUUUCGCAAGGUGGAGAUAAAUAUCCCCCUCUUAGACGCCAUCAAACAAGUACCAAAAUAUGCCAAGUUCCUAAGGGACUUGUGUGUCAACCGAAGGCGAUUGAGGGGAGAUGAACGGGUUAUUGUUGGGGAGAAUGUGUCAGCGGUCCUACAGAGAAAGCUCCCACCAAAAUGCGGGGACUCAGGUAUGUUUACUAUUCCCUGUAGGAUAGGUAAUACUGUGAUCAGAAGGGCCAUGUUGGAUCUGGGAGUAUCAAUUAAUGUCAUGCGUAAAUCUAUCUACGCUUCUCUAAAAUUAGGUCCAUUGAAAGAAACUGGAAUAAUCAUUCAAUUAGCUGACCGAACUAAUGCAUAUCCUGACGGGUUGGUUGAAGAUGUGUUGGUAAAAGUUAAUGAUUUGGUGUUUCCAGCUGAUUUUUAUAUACUUGAUAUGGAUGAUGAUCACUCCCCUGAUCUCUCACCUUUGUUAUUGGGUAGACCUUUUAUGAGCACAACACAGACGAAAAUUGAUGUUAAUAAGGGUACCUUGUCAUGGAGUUUAAUGGGAAAAUUGUGCAUUUUAAUAUUUUUGAUACUAUGAAACACCCUUCGAACUCCAACUUUAGCUCAGUUUUUUCUAUGAGUGCUAUUGACCCUGUAGUGCAGGAAGUGUUUGAAACUGAUGGCAGGGAUGAGCUGGAGGUGGAUUUAACCAAGCACCUCGAGUUGGAGACAACUCCUAAGGUGGAGUGGAGUGAGAAUUUAAAAUGCACAAUAGGUACAUUACACUCAUUGCCGACCACCUCAAAAAGGUAUGAAGUCUUGCCUAUUUUUACUCCCGAACCUCACUAGAGGGUGUUGCCAUCUGUGGUUCAGGCACCUGUACUGGAGUUGAAACCUCUACCAGAGCACCUGAAAUAUACAUAUCUGGGUGAUAAUGAGACACUCCCGGUGAUUAUUUCAUCGGCACUGUCAAAAAUCCAGGAGGAGAAACUGAUCCGGGUCCUUAGAGAGCAUAAAAAGGUGAUAGGUUGGAUAAUCGAAAACAUUAAGGGGAUCAGUCCGGCCAUCUGUAUGCACCGGAUUAGACUGGAGGAGGAUGCUAAACCUGUUCGGCAGGCUCAAAGGAGGCGAAACCCCCUUAUGAUGGAUGUUGUAAAGAGAGAGAUUUUAAAACUGCUAGAUGUGGGGAUCAUCUUUGCAAUAUCUGAUAGCCCUUGGGUGAGUCCGGUCCAGGUGGUCCCAUAGAAAGCAGGAGUGACGGUAGAGGCUAACCAAACGGGUGAGCUCGUGCCAGUGCGCAAACCCACUGGAUGGAGGCAGUGUAUAGACUACCGUAGGCUAAACGCCGUCACUAAAAAGGACCAUUUCCCUCUCCCUUUUAUUGACCAAAUGGUUGAACGUUUAGCUUGUAGAGUUUAUUAUUGCUUUUUGGAUGAAUUUUCAGGAUACUUUCAGAUAGCAAUUACCCCAGAGGAUCAAGAGAAGACAACCUUCACGUGCCCGUUCGGUACCUUUGCCUAUAGACGAAUGCCAUUUGGGUUGUGCAAUGCACCUGCAACUUUCCAAAGAUGUAUGGUAAGCAUCUUCUCUGAGUAUGUUGAGAAAAUAAUUGAGGUUUUCAUCGAUGAUUUCAGUGUAUAUGGUGAUAGUUUUGAUACGUGUCUAGAUAACCUGAAAUUGAUCCUGAUAAGGUGUAUAGAUACUAAUCUCAUGCUUAAUUGGAAAAAAUGUCAUUUUAUGGUUGAACACGGGAUAGUCCUGGAUCAUAUUGUAUCGUCUAAAGGCAUUGAGGUUGACAGGGCGAAAAUAGAUAUUAUAUCUGCUUUGCCUUACCCCGCGAGUGUGCGGGAGGUGCGUUCUUUUCUUGGACAUGCAGGUUUUUAUCGAAGGUUCAUCAAAAAUUUUUCAAAAAUUGGGGCCCCGUUGUUCCGACUUCUACAAAAGGAUGUGACAUUCGAAUUCAAUGACAAAUGUGAGAAAGCCUUCGACAAGUUGAAAGAAUUGUUGACUUCACCCCCAAUCAUCCAGCCCCUUGACUGGAGUCUACCAUUUGAGAUCGUAUGCGAUGCCAGUGACCAUGCUGUAGGGGCUGUAUUGGGGCAGCGAGUAGGAAAGGCAGCUCACGUCAUCUAUUAUGCGUCUCGUGCCCUGAAUGGGGCCAAGUUGAAUUACUCCACCACUGAGAAGGAGUUUCUUGCGGUUAUUUUUGCUUUAGAAAAAUUCAGGUCAUAUUUGUUGGGUGCUAAAGUGAUUGUAUUUUCUGAUCAUGCAGCGUUGAGGUACCUAAUGACCAAGAAGGAUGCCAAACCGAGGCUUAUCAGGUGGAUAUUGCUACUACAGGAAUUUGACUUGGAGAUAAGGGACAAAAAAGGCUCAGAAAAUCUAGUAGCAGACCAUUUGAGUCGCAUACCAGUUGGGGAGGCUAAUGAGCCAUUGAAGGAUGCAUUCCCUGAAGAGCAUUUAUUUUGCUUAAAUUCUCAAUUGCCUUGGUAUACUGAUUUAGUCAAUUAUCUGGUAACGGGUAAUUUUCCUGCAAGUUGGCCAAAAUCGAAGAGGGAUAAAUUGAAGAGUGACGCCAAGUAUUUCAUUUGGGAUGACCCGUAUCUAUGGAAGAAAUGUGCAGACCAAGUAAUGAGGAGAUGUGUAAGUGAAGUGGAAUUUCAAUCAAUUUUAGUUUUGUGUCAUACUUUUGCCUGUGGAGGUCAUUUUGGACCCAAGAGAACUGCUCAUAAGGUUUUGGAAAGUGGAUUUUAUUGGCCUUCAUUGUUUAAGGAUGUUUAUGUGUUUUGUAAGUCAUGUGAUCGUUGUCAAAGGGUAGGUAAUAUAGCCCGUAGAGAUCAUAUGCCCCAGGUCCCGUUGAUUUUUGUUGAAAUUUUUUAUGUCUGGGGUAUAGAUUUCAUGGGGCCUUUUCUUACUUCAUUUGGUUUUUUAUAUAUUUUGCUGGCAGUUGAUUAUGUGUCUAAAUGGUUGGAGGUUAAGGCCACUCGAACUAAUGACUCGAAAGUAGUUGCAGAUUUUAUCAGGUCUAAUAUUUUUGUGCGAUUUGGAAUGUCAAGAGCUAUUGUCAGUGAUAGGGGAACGCACUUCUGCAACAGAACCAUAGCUGCGUUGUUUCGCAGGUAUGGUGUACUGCACAAGGUCUCAACGUCAUACCACCCUCAGACCAAUGGUCAAGCAGAGGUGUCGAAUCGGGAGAUUAAGUCCAUUUUGGAAAAAAUGGUGCGCCCCGAUAGGAAAGAUUGGAGUCAACGGCUGGAUGACGCACUCUGGGCAUAUCGAACGGCUUACAAAACCCCCAUAGGGAUAUCGCCGUACAGGUUGGUGUUUGGAAAACCGUAUCACCUUCCAGUGGAGUUCGAGCACAGAGCUUUUUGGGCGAUUAAACAAUGCAACAUGAACUUAAAGGAGGCCGGUGCCCAAUGCAAGCUGGAUUUGCAAGAAUUGGAGGAGAUCCGAAACGAAACCUACGAAAAUGCACUAAUUUAUAAGGAGAGAAGCCGGAUAUUUCAUGAUCAACAAAUUUCAAGAAAAACCUUUGAAGUUGGUCAGAAGAUCCUCCUAUACCAAUCCAGGCUCAAGAUAUUCCCAGGUAAACUACGUUCCCGUUGGAUUGGAUCUUUUAUUGUCACUCACGUGUUCCCAUACGGUGCAGUUGAAAUUCGGAGUGCUAAGACAAAUGCCAAAUUUGUGGUGAACGGACACCGCCUCAAACAUUAUUACGAAGGUUUUCCAAGUGGAGAAGUGGAGACAAUAAGCCUAAACGCACCACUGUGUCAUAAUUAGUGGCACUUUAUCAUGUCUGGCCAAAGACGUUAAAGAAAGGCGCUCAUUGGGAGGCAACCCAAUUGUUUCUUUUCAUUAUUUGUUUGAUUUUGUUUGAGAGUUAAAAUAUGUUUUCCUUGAAUUUGACUGAUUUUGGGUUUUAAUUUUCGUUUUUUCUGUUUUGUAGGCGUUCUUCUGUCAUGACGCGCCCGCGUGAUGGCGCAUGGAACACUCACGGCCAUAGAGCUCUCUCGCUCUUAUGACGUGCCCGCGUCAUGACGGCCAGGAAGCUCACGGCCAGAGAGCUCUCUUGCUCUCAUGGCGUGCCCGCGUCACGUUCGCGAGAAAGGUAAGGAUUAAAAAAAAAAAGAAAAAUUUAAUGAUAAUAUAUAAAAAAAUAUAAUAAUAAUAAACAAACGAAAAAAAAGUUAAUAAUAAAAAAAAGAAAAAAAAACUUUGUGUUUUCUUCCUUAAUCGUAAGCUUUUUCUUUUCUUAAAAAAAAUUUCUUUUUCUUUUCCUUCUUUUCUUUUCUUUUCUUUCUUUCUCCUUUCUUUCUUCUUCUUCUUUCUUUAUCUUUUCUUUCUUCCUUCUCCGCUGCGUCUUCUUUCCCCUUUUGGCCGCCGCUUCGAAUCGCACGCCGCCUACUCACGCCUCGCUCUCUCCACUACCAGCUCGACCUCACUCCAGCGCAGCCACCACCUGUCCACCAACCUUCCUCACGCGACGCAGGCCGCCAGAUCUGCUCCCCAGUCGCGCGUCCUCCCUAUCGUGCACCGCCGCCGCUCUUCGACCGCGCACGCGCCCCGCCUUCCGCGCGCGGCUUCUCCCGCCACAGCUCUUUCCUCACGCAACCACAGGCGUACCAGCCACAGCAGCCCGUAGCUCCCUCUCACCCCAGCUCCACGACACUGCUUGCUGCUCUGUCUGCCGCCUGGCCUAGUGCGCCGCGCGCGCUCUGUUCCAGCUCGUCCAAGGCCAGCCCACGGACACCGCCGCAACCCCUCACGCGAUUCCGGCACACCUGACACCCACCACUGUCCCAUUUCGUCUGGCUACCAUCUACGGUGGAGGUAAUUUGCAGUUGCCGCCCAAUUUCUUAAUACUUAUUGGUACUGCCUAGGUCGUUCCAUAGUUGAUAUUGUUGACGGUUGGAGUUUACUUUCUCAAUUGGUGAUUUUCCACCAGUGGGACUGGUUGGAUUAUUCUUGCUUGGAAUUGCUAUUUCUUUUGGGUUGGGUUAAAUUGUACAAUUCAUUGGCCAACUAGAGCCAUUUGUUGAGACUUUGGGUGAGCUGAUUGCUGUGACUGUUUGUUAUCUUUGGAGGACACUUUGGAUCUCACGUUGCUUGUGGACAUUGGUUGACUCGUUGUGAAUUGCUGGGCAUUAUUUUGCUUGAAUUGCUAGAUAACUCGCUGAGGUUUCUUUUGGGAUUUUGGUUGGGUUAUUUCUGAAAUUGCUUGUGAAUUAGAGGGGCUGGCCGCAUAUUUGGAUUAAUUACUUGUAAAAUUGCUGAUUGGGAGGGGCCUUACUAUAUCGGGCUACUCAGUGACUGCUGUGGACUGGCAUACUUUCUGGGGUUACUUUAAUUGCUAUAGUCACUGAGAUCACCGCAGUUUGGUUGCCAUCUGUGGGGCAUUGGGCAUUUUUACUUGCUGAAAUUCUUUUGUUUGUUAUUGAUUGGGUUAUUACUGGGAAAUUCUUGCUUUGUUCUGCUGAGUUUCUUUUGCUUGUUGCAUUUGCUGGUUUCCAUACCUGUUGGAGCUUCUGUAGCUUUGAGCUAACUGUUGGGUGAUAUGGUGAGACCAAAAUCCUCCUCUAGGUCUAGGGCCUCUCGUUCUCAGCCCCCUUCACAGGCAUCUAUUUCUGUGAAUACACCUACCAACCUACCCUACUCUUCUAAUGUCCGAACCCGUUUGGGUAGUGGUAGGGGUGCUCAAGUAGAUACCCCAACUCACUUUGGAGGGCACCUGACCUUCACUAGACCUGCUGAUCAGCAGAGAUAUGCUAAAGUCUGUGAGCGGCGUAUCAUACCUUGUAAGACUAGUGACAAAUUAACCAUGAUGGGCCUAGGCAUACGAGAGGAGGUCGAGCAGAUGUUUACAGCCAUCGGGUGGCGCCCAUAUCUCGAUAUCUUUUGCCCCGCCUUUGUCGAGCUGACUCGGGAGUUUUAUUUUACCUUUGAGUUUGAGUUGCCCUCAAGGUUCACCGUUGCGACACCUAAUGUCAUUCGCUUCCGUCUGAUGGGUCGGGAAUUUAAUUUUUCGAUUACCCAAUUUAAUCUGGCAUUUUGGUUCAUUACUCGAGAGUAUGCUGAGACGAAGGAGUAUGGUGAAAGCGUCUGCGAUUACAUUGAGCUUUUUCUUUCCCGCUACCGCACUGUGUGGGAAGAAAUGUCCACCGAUCCGCAGCGCUACGACCCUUCUAGGUCUAGGAGCUCCUUUCUAAGGGAUCCUAGCGCCCGAUACGUCCAGCGAUUCUUAACCUACAGCUACUCCGGUCGCAAGGACAGCUCCGGCAUUCUCUCUCGACCCGAGUUUUUCUUCAUCUGGUGUAUGCAGAAAGAAUAACAUCAAGGUCAACUUGGAGUGUUGGUUGGCAGCACAGUUCAAGACCGUCUUGGCGAAAAAGAACAAACCCCUUAUCCUUGGGUCCUUUAUCACUCACUUGGCGACAGAGCUGGGGGUUCUUAACCUGGAGGACCACGACCUACAUUUGGCGUUCGAGAUGGAGCUCUUGGAUGUGGAUUGCUUAGAGAGGAUGGGAGUCGUCGAGCGCCUGCCCGAUGGUUCCUACCAGUUUACCCCUCCGGGACCAUCUCGAGCUCCGGGUACACACCCUUCGCCCCGAGCAGGGCCCUCUUCAUUUCAUGAGUCAGCCGAGGACACAGCUGGGCCGUCAUCUUCUGCACCACCUCUACCACGUGGGACUUCUGAAUGACAGCAACUCCGAGAGCAGGUUCAGACUUUGAGGGCUAGAAUGGUCAACGUUGACGCCAAUGUCGCCGACAUAGCGCAGAAUUUGGCGCAGUUUCUGCUUCAUUCAAGCUUUGCACCUCUGUUUCCACCUCGCCCUCCACUAUGACCCGAUUUCAGGGAAGUUUGGUUGCUUUCCCUCUCACUUUUGCUUCACUUUUAUUUUUUAUUUGUCACAUUGAGGACAAUGUGUCAUAUAGGUGUGGGGGGGAUCUAAGGGGGUGCUAGUGUUUUCCGUUUUUAGUGAAAAAUAAAAUAAAAUAAAAUAAGUUUUUAGUUUUUAGUAGUUUUUCUUAGUUUUAUUUCUAGUUGCCCGUUUUCAUUCUUUCUUCUUGGUGCUUACCUUUCAUGUGAAUGCCAAAAUUGAGAUGUGGACUUAUUGACUCCAAAUCUACUUUUGCCAAGUUUUUAAAAUACAAAGGUAUCGGGUUGAUGUGGUUGGAUCCAAGAUAUCUACUUGGUGAAUAUCGGAUUGUUUGGCUCUUUUGAUUUCUUUGUUAACUUUUCUAGGCGUUGGGAAUGACUGUUGGCAUUUUAAGGUGAACUGGUCCAAUAUUGACUCCAGUUCUCCAUGUUUGGCAAUAAUGAGGCGAGCUGCCCCUAUGCUUAGUUGCUAGUGUUGGUAUUUCGUGUUUUUGGCUUUGUUUGGCUGUGAAUAAUCUGGACUGUACUCCGCUAUUAGUCACUACUGAGUAACUGGGGAUCUGCACCUAAAAGUGUCGAUUCUCGCGUCAAAAGGUGGUACUUUCUAUGAGUACGUGGUCGUAUAGCGGUAGGAGCUGAGUAACCGGGCUCCUUCAUCUAAAAAUGUUGGAGUUCGCGUCAAAAGGCUCCGGCAGCUAGAGACUAAGUCUUCUUGUGUCAAAUAUUAUGAUUGCUUGAAAAAAAAAACGUAAAAAAAAGGGAAAAAAGAGAGAAUAAAUAAUAGGGAAGCUUGCUGGUUUAUGGACUUAAUAUGGGGACUUGUGUGAAUAUUUGGACCAUUAGCUGAUAAAUGUUGCGUGCCAUUCCUUUUCCUUAGAUUAGUUAAUUUGGAAAUUGAAGGAGUUUGUGGUAGAGGCUAACUGGGGGGAUGUUUCUCGGAUUUUAAUUACUAAUGCCCGAUAUGUGGUUCUUUCUUGAAUAUCUUGGUAAUUUGGUAGAUUGGGCAAUGACCAUUAUCAAAUUUUGGUGUCUUAUGCUUAAGGACAAGCAUGGUUUAGGUGUGGGGGGAAUUGAUAGGUUGCAAUUUAUCUAUUUAUUUUAUUAUUAUUUUCCCCUAUUACCUGACUUGAUGUGGAUUAAUUGCUGGAUUCUACUCAUUUUUCUUAAUUUACGUAUAUUUCAGGGAGUAGAACGAAAAUAUGAUAACAUGUGCCAAAUUGACAGGAAAAAAAUUCAGAUGAUAAAACUUGUCCCAGGGGCACUUUUGGAACAGAAGAUGUCACGCCCAUUUUGGUAAUUUUCGCAAAGGAAUGACGGACGGAGGGCUCCUCUUCCUGCUGUGAGCCGCCGCAAUAAAGAGAAGAAAAGAGGAUUAGAGGAGGGCUGGCUUUUACUCUUAGCUUUUCCGUCUGUAGCUUAGGAGAAAUGCUUGACUUUUCCCUUGGACCUAUUUUUAGCUUUAGAAACUCACGGCUCUGAAGAGGAGGCAUUUUGUUAGCCUUGAGCUUUGACUUUUCCUUUUUCUUUCUUUUGAAUCCUGCGGAUGGCAGGAGCAUUGGGGAGUUGCUUCCUUUGACUUUUCUUCUUUAGCUUGAGACGAAGUGAAAACUAUGAACUUUUGUAGCUUUUAAGUUGUUCUUUUUUCUUCUUCCUUUCGUAUGAGCGGACAAGCGAGGACAGUAAAUGAUACUCUGAAACUUUGCUGUGCUUUAUUGUUUUGACCGAGUUGAACUUGGGCAUUUUCUCAAUUGAUGGCCGCAGCUCCUUUUUCAAUUUUCCGUGGAUUUAGUUCAUCAAUUAUGAGCUAACUUUUCAAUCCUAGUCAAGGAGCGACGAAGGCUCUGGCUCGCCUAAAAAUUGUGAGAUCGUUUUAAUUCAAUUUUUUCCUUUUAUUUAUUGGUAUUCGCAUAUUUCCUGGUUACAGUGCUUAUGAUUGUUUAAUUAAUUGAUUGUCUUGGAUCCGGAUAAUUAGUUAAUUUGGUAAUCUAUUGUCAAUUGGGACGUUAAAUCCGUAAUUGUUUAAUUAUCUCAAAAUAGUGAUAACUGGCAUGAUUAGAUUUGUGUCAGGGGAAUACGCGGGCUAAUCUAAAAUAACCCUGGUAGUGCGUUAUUUGGUUAGAAUAGAACUUCUCUAAUACGUAAGACAAUUGGGGAAUUAAAUUCUACGGGCGUACCUAGGAUUAUUUCUCAAUUAGAGCAGUGAUUAACAGGCGUACCUUGAUCACCGACACAGUAAGGAGGGGUUGAUUGCCAUCGCUUGUUUGGUAGUUAUAACCUAUUUAUUGAUAAAUAAUUGGAAUUGGCUUACAUCAAUGAUCAAUUAGGUGAACCAUUGCUGAAGUUACUUCUUGGCUAGCUCCUUAAUUAAUAUUAUCUUGGUUUUAGUGAAUUGCCAUUUGAUUUUUCGUUGCCUACUUGAUUUUAUUCUUAAUCGUUUUCUUGUUUUAAUUGAUUCAGGCCUUUAAUCAUUGUUACUCUGAGUUCAGUGAAUUAUUGUUUAAUUUCUAGUCAGUUAUUUAUUUUUAUUUUCAUUUUCUUAUUUGAAUUUAUUUGCUUGUUAUCAUUCCUACAAAAUCACCCCCUGUGUUACUUUGGAUUUCUUAAGAAACAAAUAUACCCAAUCCCUGUGGAUAUGACCCUACUUGCCCUGUCUACAAAUUCAUAAUUAUUUGUGAAAAGAAAUAACCAUUCCAUUCGGGUAUAUCGGAUCAAGCAAACUCUUCGGAAACAGGGUGAAUCAAGUAAUCCAUUGCACACCUAGAAUCCCUGCUCCAGUACUUGGAAUUGGGUCUUGGUCAUUUUAACUGGCAAUUAGGUUUAAUUUUUAUUAUUGCACAGGCUGACGACCUGUCAUAUUCACUUAGAUAUUUAUUCCUUUAAUGAUAAAUAAAAGCAAGAAAAUUCAGGUCAAUUUUCUUACUUAACGUUUGGUUAAUUUACUUUGACGAAAGGGCAGAAAAAUGUCCAAACCCUUAUUUAGUUUAGUUAGGUUUAAGUAUGUCGAGAAUAAUAUUUUACGACUAACAAUUCAUUUAUUUUCAAACCGACCCAUUUACUAUCUAUUAUUUGAUUGACCAAUCCUUUAUGUUGGAAUGGGUGAAAGGUCAAAUGGCUUGGCAAUUUCUCGAGUAGAUGAAUCCAGAGAUUUUCGGGAUUUUUGUUCAUCCUUCCCCGUAAUAAUAUCUCAGGGUUUUCGGCAAUAAUUUGGUAUAUCUACUAUACGACUAUUAACUAAAAUAUGUCUAUGGUUAACUAAUUGACGAGUUGCAGGAAUAGUAUUGAUUAGUUGAUGUGAAUUUGGUCAGUAGAUUUAGUGUGUGUUGUAUAGUUAUGAAUCCUAGAAGUUGAUUCUCGUUUUAAUAAUCUUUCUUGAGUUUACUCAAUCUAACAAUUCUUUUUUCAGGUUGAUCAAGUAAGUCAUCUUCAGUAGUUGACGAGGCAACAAGUUAUAACCUUUGGUUACUAUCAAAUUUCAUAGGAUUGUGGGCUUAGGAGUUGAACUCAGAAGUAUAACAUUCAAUGCUAGCGCUAAGGUUAAGGUAUAAAAAUACUUGAAGGAAUAAAAAUUAAGAAAUAAAGUCAAAAUAUAAUAAAUUGAAUAUAAUUUAUAUGUAAUCGUUAUUUUUAAUAUUUUCUCCCCUUAGUAUCAUAUUAUUACUUGAGAUGAAAGUGUAGUCUCUAAUUUUCUCUCCUUAAUGUAUAUACACAAGUCUAUAGUUGUUAUAUUAGUGAUAUGAAGAUAUUCUCAUAAUUACCUUAAUAUAUACACAUGUUCAUGGUUGAUAUAUUGUUGUGAUAUGAAGAUAUUCUAAUAAUCUCCUAAUUGGUGAAUAUGCAAAAUGAUUUCACCAGCCAUGCCUUUGUAAUAUGCUUACUGUCCAAGCUAAAGACUUGGUUAUGAAGAUUUGUAUAGGAACUUUCCUUGAAUGACAUAUCAGGGCUAAUCUUCUUACGAGACUGUACAGAUUGUGAUUGUGUUGCUCUUUGAGAGAUCCUGAAUUAUAAAUUUUUAGAACAAAGACUUCCAAUUAUUUUUGAAAUAUUUAUUUUUAGACUUGUUGUUAGAUAAAAGGUCGAAUUUCUCUUAAUUCAGGAAAAAUUCAAGAAAUAGACCAACAUAUUUUUCCUUUAGCUGCAAGGCAAGCAUUUAGGCUGGGGCUUUUAUUUUAAUGAUUGUGAUUAGUUUUGACAGCAUCCAUUUAAUUUUGUUUUUCUCCUAAGAUGAAACAUUUUCUUUCUUUCUUUUUUUUUUGUAAUUUUGAAUAGAUAUUGUGCUUCAAGUUUUAGUAAACUUACCUUAUUAUUGAUUUUUAUCUUUUUCUUGGCUGAUAUUCUUGUCUUGGCUAAUAUUCUUGAAUACUUGUCUUUCAUAUACACCUUUUUUGUUAUUAUUUUCUUUCCCAAUUUUAUUACAUUGUCUAAAAUUUUAUCGUAAAUAUAAAAAAAAGAGUUGAAGAGCAGCUGAAAAUACAAGCGCGAGCUUCACUCCCGCGCCUCGCGCGAGCUUCACUCCCAUUAUUCCAAAAUGAAUUCCACAUAAGACAACUAUAGUAUUUUGUUGUUUUGGGAAUUUUGUUGUUUUGGGAAUUCCCAACAAUAUUAGUGCCUCUUGUUUGUGCUUAUCGGAAUAUGGUUAUGUAGCUACUGACUAACGCACCACACCCUCCCUCCCCCAAAAAAAAUUGGUUAAGCUAAAUUUAAAUGAUCGAAAUUCAUUCGUGUACAGACUCAUUCAGAAGAUGUAAUUUCUUAAUUUUACAUUAGAUCUCUACCACUGAAACACAUGACUUGAAAGAUGUGGCAAAAUCUUAAACAACAAUUUUUAGCAUUCGAAAUGCAAAGAACUGAGACCCCCUAAGAGUCAAACAGCAAUUUUUAGCAUUCGAAAAACUAAUUGCACAUGCAGACUUGGACGUAACAAAUUUUGCAGAAGACCACAAGGCAAAUUAUACAAGCAAAAUCGAGACAUGGUUAAAAAAGAAAAAAUUCAAGCCCUGUUUUGUUCAGUGUACAAAACUUGUACAAGGCAAUGCAAAUACUCUCUAGGUAACAUACUAUUGUAGCUCCUUUACACAAAUUUGAGCAAAUCCAAGAGACAUUAUAAUCUUCUCAAAUACACAUGGAGCCUAUAAAUGGUGACAACCUUCUCAUGUAGCCGUCCUUUACCCAUGGCACGUUCAAUUUGUAAACUCGAGCCUUGGAUCCUAGUCAAGUUCCCUUUAUUGAUUGUUCAAGUUUAACAGGUCUAAAUGAACCCAAAUAUAAAAUGGACUUAGGGCUUCCUCAAUCACUUUUUUUUAUUGUAGGGUGCAUUUUAUAGUGGGGAUUGAUUGAAUAUGAAAUUAGGUAGAUGAGACUGAUUGUGGCACAUAAUUUUUAGAGUAAAAUACACUUUAUUUUCUGUGGUUUAACAUUUUUCACAUAAUCCUCUAUAAUUUUAAAAGCUAUACACACUUCUUAUGAUUUGGUCUAAAGUGUUAAAAUAACGAAAUUUAUAUUUCAUAAUUAGCGUCAACUAAAAUGUCAAAAGUAUUCAUAUAUAAUGUUAAAAAUUAUUUAUUAACCAUAAGGGGUUACGUAUAUAUUUUGAAAACCAUAAUGAGGUUAUUUGGUGGAGCACUAAAUCAUGAGCGAGUUAUGUGAUAAAACAUAAAACUAUAAGAAGUUAAAAUAUCAUGCAUAUUAUGUUUAUAUAUUUUGGUCAUUUCAACCAUUUUAGUUUUUAAAUAAGGGAAAUCUCACAUUAAUGUAGGUUCCUUUACUAAGAAUUAUUUCUGUAACUUUGAUACUUUAAUCCAAAUUAUGAUUAGGUUAUAUAUAACUUUUAAAACUACAGAGGAGUUAUGUGAAAAUUUGCGGUAAUGCAUACUUUACCCUAAUUUUUAAGGAGUGUUAAAAUUUAUUGAGUUUUGGUAUGUUAUUUAUGUCUUAAUGGCUACAUCUGUUAUAUUUGUGCCUAUACUACAACACGCAAUUGGGAUUAAUAAUUGUAAAAGACUGCGAGGCUGUGAUCCGGUAACUUUUGGCAAACUAUAGUCACCCCCAAGAGAGUGAUGUGAAUGCAAUGAUCAUAGCGAAACCUUAAUUGAUUGUGCUGAAGGUCUUGGAUCAUUUCUGAAGGAACGUGGGUGUGACAUCUGAAAAUUCAGAAGAGGCAAAGGUAUCUCUUUCAUUGCUCAAAUUAUCUGAAAAUCCAGAAGUCAUUGCUUUGGCAGUACAAUUUGUCAGCCAAUAUAGAGAGUACAAAGCAAUGAUAUUACUGGCAUACUAUGACGGUAUUUCUGCAAAAUUUCCAAAUGGCAACAAUAGCAGUAAAAGAUAGACAAAGUGCAUCAUAAGGUUGAUUAUAACUUGACAUGCGCUUCCACGAGUUACCUAUAUGGCGAAUGCUACAAUUGACAAUCUCGGACAAUACAUCAUAUGUUUUGGCUUGGAAACAAAUGAUUAUUCAAAAGAGUCUAUUUUCAUUGCUCUGCACGCCGUGGGUUACAGGAGCUUUUGUCCUCACUUUCCUCAAGAACCAUAUGCCAGCGCCGAUUCCAAUCGCUCCAGCAACUGAAACUGCUGUUACCGUACCUGAUACAGUUCAGAUGUUUAUCAGGGAGAGUAAACUUGCCUUGUUAGAAGGUGCAGGUGCAGCAUAAACAGUACCAGAAUGCUCAGCUCACAACAUUUCUAUAGUAUAACGAGAUUAGGUGAUUGAGAAUGUAUUGACCUGCAACUACUCUCGAAUGCUGAGAAUUAUUGCGAUCUGCAUGAUGGAACGAAUUUAACAAUGUCAAAUAGCAGUCCAUAGGCCUGAUAGCUUUUGAAAUUUCAAAUACUGAGGUGAUCAAGCGGUGCAACUUUUGCCAAUAAAAAUACAAGAAACGAUCUAAUACAGUUUUAAGUAUAAAUUUGCCCUUAACGUAAUGUUAAUCCAGAGUUCCUGACAUCUUAUAUUGUAUCUGUUUAGCGAAUAUUAUUUAAUCUACUUAAUUUAAAUCUCAAUAAUAGCUUCUUUAAAAAAAAAAAAAAAAGAAUCUCAAUAAUAGCUAAUUAGUUCAAGUAGUAUUCUCCAUGAGUAUUUUUUUUGAACAAACAGAAUGGGAAAACAAAGAUUUCUGGAAGGGCCAUAACUAAACAUACCUUUACAGAAAGUGGUAACAUUCCCUUUCUGACAGAGGCACAAGAAAUUCUGUGUUUCUGUGUCAAACCCACAAAUACCACCACCCUUAGCCGUAUCCUGGCACUGAAGGCAACGCAUUGUCACCGGAAUCUCAAAAUCAACUCGUAUACCAUAUUCAGGGAUCUGAUUAAAUGGUGGAGUUACACCAAGAUUUCUCCAGUAGACGCUCGUGUAAGUUGAGCAAUGCCUCAGCAUCAACCUUAACGAUUCGGUAGCUUUUGGAUAGUAAGAGCAGCAUGAACUACUCCUCAAUGCGGAUGCACAUUCUGGAAGGUGUCGGCAGAGGUAACUGGAACUGUCACAAGCAGAAUCACAUUGCUCAGGGAAUCGCUCACAGAACAUAGGCUUUGGUUCCAUUAUCACAUAGUUUUCACUACAAUUGAAGAAGAGGUAGUCAUUUUGGGAUGAAAGUGUGAAAUGCGUGCUGGUGUCUAGACUGAACGGCCUGGUGGGACGAAAGUUGUUGCCAUCUUGGCAGUUCCACAUGAAAGGAUCUGUUAAAAGAAUAUGAGGGUCAGAAUAGGUUAUAUUUCGAAUUGGAUAUCUCCCUGAAGGAGUCAUGAACUCAAGCUGUCCUGAAGUUGAGCAGACAAAGAGGUGUCUGUAGUAUGGACUGCCACAGCCAUCAUCAAUGCCAAAGGGAUAGUUGAUUGGUAUAUCACCACAAGAUGUUCUGCAGAGCUUUGAUUGUGCUUCUGUAAGACCUGUUAAAGAUGGAAUUAUAAGUAAAGAAAGAAGCAAAAAAAUAAAGCAGGGAUGACCAGGGAGUAGUAAAUUGAUCAUAUCCCAUCUGGAUCUUCCCAUGUAUGUAGAAACCAUCUUGGAUAUGAAUUAGGCGAUGCAAAAAUUUCAGGGCGAUGACCUUAACUCUCUAGCAAGUUCUGUAUAGUACAACAUUGCUUAGGGGAGUAAUGAGUAAAGUUAACCAUUUACUUGGGAGGAAUCUCUCUGAGAAUUUCUUUUUAUACUUUAUGCUUUACCUUUUUCUUUUUCCCAAUACUAAGACUUUGUUCCCACUUCAUGUAAUUGAGUGCUUCUGCUUUUGCUUUCCAACAUGGGAAACUUUAACUGUAUUUUCACUGGAAUAAUUUUGAUUUAACCUAGAAAGAAACAUCCUAUAACAACAGUCAUGAGCAGAGAAGCAUUCACGUGAGGUGAAUGAAGUUUGAUAUUAUAAGCCUGGGGUCGCGCACAGGGACACGGAGCCAGAAAUUUAUUUUUGGGGGGGCUGAAGUGUAUUAAAAAAUUUUUUUUGUGACGAAAUAAAUAUAUUUAAUAAGUAAAAUUUAGAAUCAAUAAUUAUAAAAAUAAUAAAAACAUAUAAUUAUACAUACCCAAAAAUUUGUUAUUGAUUAACACUUGAAGUAUUGGUAGUUGUUGCACUCGAAUAACGAAGAGGAGGCAAUUGCAUUCUGCGAGUCUUCAUCCGUUGAAAACGCUGCAAUAUUUGCUCAUUUUCAAUUGUUGCAAAAAUAUCCUUCUCGAUGUAUACAACCAGACAGUCAUUCAUCCACUCGUCUCCCAUUUUGUUGCGCAAAUCAGUCUUGACAAUAUUCAUUGCAGAAAAUACUCUUUUAACAGAAGCAGUCGCAACUGGUAAAACUAAUGCCAACUGGAUCAGACGAUAAACCAAUGGAAGUUUGUAAAAGACCAUCAUGUAUUUCCAAUCAUUUCAAGCUUCCAAAAGCUUGCAUCAAAAAAGGGCAAGCGAAUUACGCUUACACCACUGCUUAUUCAAGAAGAGAACUAUCAGUAAAAGCAUGCAGUCCUAGUAGCAGUGGCGGAGAGAAAAAGACUGCAAGGCGUAGCUUCUUGUCUCUAGAAGAAGCGGGUUUAGUGGAAGUAUCCGGCCUCAGCCCUCAUGAGCGUUUUCUAUGUCGGUUAACGGAAUGCUUCUUCUCUUGGUACAAUUACGCAAAAGUUAAAAAGCAAAAAAAAAAAAAAAAGGGGUGUCCAUGCGAUUCAUUUAAUCUGAGCUCUGAGUGUUUUAAGUUUUAGCAGUAAUUUAUUUAGUUUACAAAUGAAAUGGUGCAGGUAUCGUCACUGAAUCUGCUAAAAGUGAUAGCAGAGCAGGAAGGGUGUGCGAUUGAGGAGCUGAAUGCGGGGAGAGUUUGUGAUUGGUUUUUAAAAGACAAGCUGAAGAGGGAGCAGAAUUUGGAGUCUGCGGUCCUGCAAUGGGCUGGCCGCCGGAAUCCCCUAUAUAUAGGGGGUUUUCCGGCGGCUUGGGGGGGGGCUUAAGCCCCCACCAGCCCCCCCUUAAAUCCGUGGCUGGUCGCGCAUCAACAGAGGCCGUGCUAAAAAAAUAUUGUUGGACAUCAUGUGCAUUGGUUGUACAAGAGGGCAGAUAAAGGAAGGGGCAAAUUACACUUUGCCCCCCUAUAGUUUAGCGAUUUUUUACAUAACCCUUCAUGGUUUUAAAAGGUAUACAUAAUCCCCUCAUGAUUUUGAUUAAAGUGUCAAAAUAAUGGAAAUGAUCAUUCGUAACGGAACCUUUAAAAAUAUCGAAAUUGCCCUUAUAAAUACAUGACACACUAAACCCAUAUGAUUUUAUAUUUUACUAUAUAUCCACAUUAUGGUUUAAUGCUUUACCAUAUAAUUCUCUUAUAAUUUUCAAAAUAUACACAUAACCCUCCUUGGUUAAUAAAUAAUUUUCAACUUUACAUAAGGGUAUUUUUGACAUUUUAGGUGACUCCGUUACGAAUUAUCAUUCCCGCCACUUUGACAGCUUAAUUUAAAUCAUGAGGGGGUUAUGUGUAACUUUUGAAACCAUAGAGAGAUUAUGUUGAAAAAAACUAAACUACAGGGGGUAAAGUGUAAUUUGCCCUAAAAAAGGUUUAAUUAAACUAAAAUUUUUCUUUGCCCUAAUUAUCGAUUAGAACUUUUAGCUUAUAAGAAUCGUUAUUGAUUUGAUAGCAUUACCAAUAGUGGAAGACUGGAAGCCGUUUUAUUAAUUCCAUUAUAUACGUAUCUAGGACGAGAAGUCAUUGAUAUUGUAUUUUUCACAUAUCUGCGUCCACGUUUAAAAAAUAAUUGAUAUUACAUUAUUUGCAUAUAUAUACAUAUAUAUAUAUAUAUAUAUAUUACAGUGUAGGGUGUAUGAAAGGAAAGAGAUUCACACAUGACCUGUUUUGCAUUCCAUUUUAAUUUUUAAUAUGGAUACUAAAACCAAUAACAUACCAAUUCGACCUAGAUACCAAUUAACAGAAUCUUAUUCAUUUUAUGUCUAAAUUAUGCCCCUAUUUUAAUGGAAAAUUGUAUCACCUUUUUGUACUUCUCCUAAUCUUAAUAAAUUAGUUUGGUACGCUGAUUUCAUCUUCCUAACCUUCUGAUGUUCAACCUCGCAUUCCUCAAUGCUCAGUUAGAAACAAAUAGUCACACUAGUAAUGUUAACUAUCACUCAUGAAAUGAUUACCUUUGCGGGAAGAGAAAUAUAUAUCUAUCUUCAUAUAAUCCAACAUUCGUAUUCAAUUUUAUUUGCACCAAAAGAAGUACACAAUCUUGUUUGUUCGAUGUUAAACUAACCCAAGACAGAAAAAUGUGUCGAAAAGCCAAUGCAGCAAACACAGAAUGCCAAUAUAUGUUAGUGCAAAAGCUCAGCUAGCCAGCCUGCACUACCAACUCUCAGGUACCAAAACUAAGCAAAUUAUGAGCCUCUUUUGGGAUCAGAAGCAGUUGGCUUCAAGCUUAUUCCUCUUCUUCAUCGUACGUCCUCAGCCUCUGCAAUUUCUUCAUUUGUUUUUACCCACGUUUCCACUGAAGUGCUCGACAUGAACAUAAGACGAGCAAACAUAGUAGAAGUUGUUCAAUGUACAAUUGACAGGCCAUGCAUCAAGGACCAAUUGAACAGAACUAACAUCAGCAGAACACAACGUUAAUGAAAGGAGAAAUACUUCAAAUGGAGAGAUUGAAUUUCAGUAAAGAAUAUUCAGGAUGAAAACAUAUAUAAAUUGCAUGAAAAACAACGCCUUCCGUUCUAUAAUACUCUUUCCCCGGGCGCCUUUAAUAAUUCGACCGCAGAAAGUGAAACAGCCAAGUACCAUUAACUACUAUGAUUACAGAGGAGGAUCUCGGUCUGGUUUGCAAGCUUGCGAGAUGGCGUGUGCACCCAAUCUACAAUAAACCCUUUUGGCCUACUGAUCUGACUAGAUAAAGGGGUGACCUAACACCUUUUAAGAGCCCCAGUCCGGUUGGUAGCGCCCAACAAUCUUGAUUAUUACCGAUCAAACAAUCUUCUCAUGUUUUUGGCAACUUUUUAGAAGUUUCAUUGUUAGCAAUAUAACACAAAAAUGUCCUCUUUUUUCAUUAAAUAUGAUACAGGAUAGGAAAUUCGGAAAAGAACAAAAGAGCACAAAAUUAUGAUUUUGAGCUUUUGGCUUAUUCGAUCAUCCAAUGAACCAGAACGAGCUUAAUAGAGCGAAAUUUGGGUUUAGCAUUCAGUUCUAAAGACCUGCCGCUAGCAUACGUAAUUUAACCUUAGAGCGGCUGCUACACCCGGUCAGGCUGCUGGUGCAAUAGUACCUGGCUACUUAGCAGACAGCCAAUUACGGAACCAGAAUUUUGCUUUAGGGGGGCAACCAUUACACAAACAUAUUAUAAGUUAAUACUCAUCGUAAAUUUUUGAGUUAUAAACUUAGAAUAAGAAUAAUUCUUUAAAUCUCUAAUAACUAGAAUUUAUGAUAUAACGAAAGAAAUUAUAAAGUAAUAUAAAACUGCCUUUAAAAAUUGGAGCUUAGUAAAAGAAUCAAUGCUUGUUAGCAAAGAUCGAUGCUUGAUCAAACAGAAACAAAAGUUGAAAUUUUUUAUAUUUAUUUUAAUUAAUACUCCUAUUUUUUUCUUUUUUUAGCUUAAGUAAAUUUACCAUUAAUAAUUGAUCCCUGUGGUUAAAUCUUCUUGUGCUUGAGUUUGAUUUCUUCUCUUAGUCUUGUCUUUCUUUUUCAUUUUAUUUUGCUUACCGAUAUAGUUUCUUAAGUUAUUAUUUUAAAGUUAUAAUAAUCAUAUCUAAUAAAGGAAUGAUUUGGAUAGCAAGUGUCGAAUGAGAGACUAGUUAAGAGGGGCCUCAGAUGAGAAUUCUUUUAAAAGGCGUAAUUAAUUUGUGAGUGUCGAAAUGCAAGGGUUAAAAUAAUUAUGAUUGUGUUUAUUCAUAUGGUAAGCUAAGCUAAGUAUAAUAUAACUUAUUAACUAAUACGCAUGGUACACCGGCUAGAAAAACCCAUAAAGAAUAUAGUAUUUAUUUAUUUAUUAUUUAAAAGUUAUACUAGCUACUAAUGCUAUAAAAAUAUUAAAGUGAAACUGAUAUGUAUGCUAAUAUAAGGAAACUAAGACUUGAAUUGCUAUAUAUAGGAUAUUUUACAAAGAAAAAUUAAAGGCGAUUCUUUAGUUUGCAUUUAAAAGUAGAAUACACCAAAAUCAAAUACUAAUUAUAUACUAAGAUUAGUUUUAUAAUAAAUUUAUAUCUUAUGCUAAUAUGAGAAAAAACUGAGAGUUGGUUUAGAUAGUGACAUUUAAGUAGAUUUUCUAAUUGAUAUCUAAAUAUGAUAAUGAUAAACAUGUUGAAAGGGAGGGGUAAAGUGAUAAAUUUUGAUUUAGAACUUAAGACUUCAUAUAUAAGUUUAGAAAACUUUCAAAAGCCUGCUUAAGGGUUUUCUAAUCUUAACGUGCACCUAACCUAUCAUAUAUAUAUAUAUAUAUAUAUAUAUAUAUAUACAUACAUAUACUACUAAUUAUUACUCUUCUUUGUAGUUAUAUACUUUCCAUAUUUAAUGUUACCUACCCUUCUUCAUAUUUAUUUACUUUUCCUAAUUAAUCUUAACUACCCUCCUUCAUAUUUAUUUAUUUUCUCUAAUUAAUCUUAUAUUUUCAAAAAUAUAACACCUAAAAUAUAUCUUAAUAAAUGUUCUAUAAACACCCGUUAGACAGACCCUAUAUAUAUUUUUUAAAAGUUUCAGAGGCUGCUGCCCAUGCAACUCCACGCGCUCGCUCCCCCCAAACACCCCCCCCCUCCCCGGCCCCCCAAGACACCACAAAAAAACCAAAAAAAAAAGAAAAAGAAAAAGUUAAUUCCGUCCCUGCAUGUAGCUGAUGUAAUGGGCCGGAGGCCAAGUUCAGUGUAUAAGACCAUGCCCUGGGUCACGGGGCCUAAACCUAGUGGCAUCUCGUAUGCCAUCUAGCAUGCCUAUUGUUUCAAUAAAUACCAACGGCAAAACCGACCAGUCAAAGUUUGCAGCUAAAAACACUUCAUAUGGAUGGUGAAAAAAGUGAUUGCAAUGUGAGAUGGAGUGCUGCUUGUAGGUUGAUUUCAGAAUAUUUUGUUUGAGAAGAUUUGUGGACUACGUCUCCUUGACCAAGAGAAAAGUAUGCCAUGAAACGGAUUGAAACGCCAAAAAAAAAAAAAAAAAAAAAAGUAAAGAAAAGCUAGUAUAGCAAUUGCUAAGUUGGUCUUUUUGACAAAAAAAAAAAAAAUUUUGUUAAGUUGGUCUUCCUCAAGAAAUGAAUAGUAUGCGUUUGAAAAAGGUGUAUAGAGAAUCAGAUGAAAUUCAAAAGUUAUCAACCGUACGUCGCCCGCAGGAGUUUGAUAAGUAUCAAUUCAAUCCCCUCUGAAGUCUGAAGAUGGCAGAAAUGCAGAGUCGAUCGAGUGUGAAAGGUAUCUUAGGCACGCAUACUGCAGCCUGCAGUUGGCAACCUGUGCGGAAUUAAUAUAUGGUUUUCGUUCCCUGCCCCUGGCGUAGUAGUGGGGUGCUUGCGGGCGUCAUUGAUGAUACAACAAGUCCACCGUUUUCCGUUGAUUAAGACCCCGUCGGUUUUCAACAAAUCGCCAUGCUUGUUGCGGUUUUCAACAUUACAGAUUUCAGAAUUUGAUGUCUCGGGGAAACUUGAAAAUGUGGAAAAAGGUUACCAGGCACGAAGGAAAAGUUUUCUGAUCUCUCAAUCAGGUUCAGACCAAUUGCAUGCAUGCAUGCGUGCAGUUUUCUCUCAUUUCAUUUUCAAUUUUUAACCUGAAGGUUAGGUAUGGAAAAUUUGUGGUUUUUUUUGACACUAGGGAUUGCUGUCCAUCUCAGAGACGGUGCACGCUUGCAUGAUACUGAUGGAUGUCGAUGUCAUGAAAGGGAAUUUACUUCCCUUGAACACUUAGACAAUGCAAUGAAGCCGAUCAACUUAGGAUCAAAUCAGUAACAGAUUAAAUUGCUGUUUACAGUACUCUAUCAGAUUCAUAUUCGUAUCCUACUACCUGCAUGAUUUUAUUGGUAUCAUAUGUAUCACAAAAUAACUAAUAUGUCUUGAAUUCGUACCAAAACAUGAUGACGAUAAAUGUACGUACAAUUAUGGGUGAAUUGCUUUCAACCCCCUUUGGUUUCACAGUUUAAUUUAUGUCCUGUCCCCUAAUGAUUUUAUAUAAAGUGAAAAAUGAUUGGUUAAAGUGAAAAAUGAUCAACCCCGUGUGAUUUUAUAUAACGUGAAAAAUGAAUGGAAAGUGAUUUCAUAAUAUGUAAUUUAAAUUUCUAAAAUAUAUUUAUCUCUUCAUUUAGUUCAAAUUUUAUAAGAAAAUACUUAGAAUUCAUUUUUUAUUUUUUUGACACCUAAAAGUUGCUAUAAAAGCAUCAAUUUUGGGCUUGUGUUAAAAGUGCUUUAGAGAUCAAAAGCUCUACAAUUAUUUAAGAAUAAUAUUUCAAAGGUUCUAAAUGUUGGAUAAUUGUCUCAUAGGAUAAGAGUAACUUGUAUUGAUUAACAUUCAUAAAAAUAAAAAAUUACGAAUUUAAAUCGCAACUCUAGUGUAGAUAUAUAUGUAAUCCAACAACAAACAGAAAAUCUUGAGAAAAGAAAAAUAAGAUGACAAAUAUUUUCUAGAAACCUCCUUACUUCUCAAUAACCAAAAAAAUAGAUCGAAUGGUCCAUACAAAUUAUAUGUUGCUUCAUUUAAUCCCGAAAGAUUAAACAUUUUGGUACACACAAAUUUUUUGGUAAUUUCAAAAGUAGCUUGUAUCUUCCGGUGCGAUUGACCAAACUCCUGAUUAUGUUAAUUAAAGAGCAGUCAUACGUGCUAAAUACCUUGUCAAGAGAAUCCAAGGCAUAUAUGCCUGUUGUGUUGAGAGUGUCAUUUCGCAGUUCCAAUGUCAAAAGAAUUGACAUUCUUCUAUUCUUCUCGUCCUUUUUUGGAGGAAGAAGCUUGGUGCUGCUGUCCAAUUGAAGAAAGAACAACUGGCAGCGUGGAAGUGGUAUUCGAUUCAUAAAUAAAUUAAGAGACAAUAAAGGAUACAGGUGGAAAAGAAAUUUGACGCCAAACUUUAGCCAAACGAAACAGGUUGAAAAGGAAUAGAGCGAGCAUGGGUUUGAAUGCGAUUCGUUUUGUCGGUCUCGGGAGGUUUUGGAAAAUUGGAGAAACCAUUUUGAACUUUGAAAGAUUAAUUUGGAACGUAAGCCAACGUUCUUUGACAAAAAUGCAAAAGUUGAGGGCGGCCUUUUUAGGAGGAAAACGCCCCCUCUAAUUUCCCUGAAAAGACUCUCUGCAUAAAGCUACAGGAAAUUUCUAGGAAAAGCAUGGAUAAAGACAAAUUAUGAUGGUUUCUAGAAAAGAAUUGUAUGGGUCUCAAAAUCCUUAAUGACACCGGGAAGAUAGCAAAGAUGAAGACAUGCCUUCUUCAUCCACGACAAGAUAUUUAAGUUUUCGCGAUUUAAUUUGUUCGAUGGGUGUAACUCACAAAAAAAAAAAAAUUAUGAUUGUUCAGUGACAAAUACUUACUAUUUUUGAGAUGCAGGUUCUUCACAUUAUGUAGACGGUGACCCUCAUUUAUAAGUUACAAAAUCAAUUGUGACACGUAAAUAAAUUUCAUGCUAUUGCUUGUGAAUUAAAAGUUAUAAUUUUCGUGCCUAUCACCAAUUUCAUGUCAUAACUACACAAGCAUGCUCACUAAUCAAUUUUACUAAUAAACAUCCCACCAUUUCCACGAGCAAGCAAAUAUUUUAUUUGUUGUAUGGUGUUGCUUUUACACUAGAGUUUCUAAUGUAGUAGGAAUAUGUUUCUUUUGUAGGUCAAUAAAAGGAGGUUAGUUUGCUCGAAAAAGAAAACGAAAAAAAGAAACAGAAGCAAGCAAAACCUUAAGCGUUCAAAAAUGAACAGCGAAGAAAUUUUAUAAAGUUGCAAGAAAACUGGCUCUAAAUUGGAGAAUUUAGAAAGGUUUGGUCAUGACGGGCACUUCGACAGAGACCAGCCAUGCGCCGUAGAGCUUCGGCAUGAUUCCUGUGUUUUCAGACUCGGACAGACUGGCCAGUCGAAUCGGGAACCGGCCAAGUGUUCGGUCCGAGUCGUGCUUCAAAAUUGGGUAAGUAAAAAUUCGGUCAAAUCCGAUCAAAAACUGGGUUUGAUCGGGAAAAACCGGAUUUUCCGAUUCAAACAGUUUUAAAAAAAAAAAAAAAAAAACUCAAACUUUUUCAAUAUUAUGUUUUGACCCCUAAAUUGUUAAAAAUUAUUAAUAUACCUCAAAUAUUUCAUACUUUAUCAAUAUUUUCUUAAAGUUUGGUAUUAUUUUUCAAUUAAGUCCAUAAUUUUAAUUCUAAACGUGUUAAUGCUUAUUAAAUAAUAUAAAUUGUUACUUGAUUGUUCUAAUUUCUUUGUAUGUUCUUGUUAAAUAUAUUUAAAACAUCAAAUAUAUAUGAAUAUACCUUUAUUAAUAUAAACAUGUUAUUAGAUAUUUUACAUCUAAUAUUUUAAUUUUUAAAUAAAUUUUAUUUAUGACGCCAUCCGGUUCAAUCUCUAUCGAAUACGGUUGAACCCAUUGACCCCUGAGUUUGACAGAGUCGAUACCCAGUCCAGUUCUAAAAACAUAGCAUGAUUCCAAAGCAUGAGCAACCCGGAGCCCCGAAUUUAUGCCAAAAUGCAAAAUCCAAAAUUUAGCGUCCGUAAUGACUCAGCAUACCUUGGACUUUGCCCCCAAUCUCCAUCAUCAUGUCAACAUUUUUUUUUUCUCAGCGACAGCAACAAUCUACACUAUUUCUACAGUAUGGAAGAAGAGAAGGAGAAGCCUAAUUAAACACGUAUGUAUAUGAAUAGAAGAGUGAACUACCAAACUAAACAGGUGCACUAUUACAGUCUCAUGUUCGUUAAAGAUAGCAAUGCUUAGGUACUUCGCCUCAUGAUACAAUUGCAAAAUACCAUAAUAAUGUAAAGUACGCAAAAAAAAGGGUAGAAUUGAUACGUUACGAGUUUUAGUAAAGUCUCUGUAGUUCUUGAGUCAAUGCAUGGAAUAGUAUAUAAAUUUAUCACGUUAGUUCUACUACAUUUUGAAACUGAUAAAUCUCUAGUGAAAGAAGAACUGAUAUCUAAAAGGUAAUUUGCCUGACCAUAGUAUUCUUAUCGAUUUUUGGUACUUUCUUAUUGCCAUGUGAAAUGAGAAAAACAUUUCCCUAAGGGGCAAAUAACCUAAUGAACCUCUUGUUAGAAUCGUGUGCCUGCAGCUUUUCCUUCCAAACUCUUGAACCUUGAUCUCCGUGGUCCAAUCAAAACCUAAUCUUUAUGCCAAAUUUUCUAUGCCAUGCAAGUAAGCCACGUUGGAGUUGGUGUAUGGUCAAGGGAAAUGAGUCUCAGUCAACCCUCCUUUUGUCUUCUCCAUCUUGCUUAAUUUUCUUUUCCACAGCUGCUUUGAUCAGAUGGCCCUACAUUUUUAAAGUUAAAAUAAAGUUUAAAGCUUCAAGAAAUCGUGGUUCAAUCUUCUCCAUUCAUGCUAAUGACAGCACGCAUUUCAUACCGACAGUCAAGGUCUCCCAUUAAAAGUAGUACUUCUUUUGUUACUUCUUUUUUUUUUUUUUUUUCACAGGCAGAAGAAGUAACAUAUACAAUUAGAUUAGAAACACUUAGGAAUCAUCGUCAAAUCGGACCCUAAAGUCAGUAUAAGGGGAUCCACAAACCAACACCAUUCAACUAAUUGAUGACAGGAGAUGCGGCUGAGAAUCUUAAACCCAGAGUAACUGCCCCACGAUCUUUCGAUGUGGGACGGAGUCACCCAUCCCCCCCCCCCCGAGCACACCCUCUCCAAUUACAUGGUUCUUUUUUCCAUAGACAGAAGAAGUAACACACACAAUUAGGUUAGAAACACUCAGGAGUCAUUGCCAAAUCGGACCCUAAAGUCAGUCUAAGAAGGACCCACAAACCAACACCAUCCAGCCAAUUGGUGACAGGAGGUGCGUCUGAGAACCUUAAACCCAGAGUAACUACCCCACGAUCUUUUGUUACUUAAUUAGCACGAUUAUUCUCUUACGUCUUAACUGAUUUUUUUUUGAUAAAAAAAAAACACAUUACCUUAUACACUAACUAGCUUUAUUUAUAUCCAAUUAUUUAUGGACGAAAAUUACAAGUGAUCAAAAACAAAUUAAAUUUUAGAAAAAAAAAAAGGGUAAGGAUUUAGACAUUUGAACUUAUGUCCCGUACGUGCUAUAUAGGGAUUUAAAUAACAUAUAAUCAGUAGAUAAUAAUGAAUUAAAUUUAUUAAGGAAUAAAAUAAUUCAAUAAUCUUAAAAAAUGACACGUCAAAAUAUUAGAAACUUUUUAAAAUAUAUCAACUGGUGAAUAAGCAAGUAUGUAGAUAGAUGAUGAGCUUAGAUAAGCCCCACCAGCAAGAAAUUUUUGCGGUUCUUGAAAAUCUGGACACUGAUUUCAUGCGUUAUCGUCACUUGAAAACGGAUAAUCAACUCAUGACAUCGUAUGAUGAAGACCUGGCAUAUUGACCCAUCUUAAGAAAAAAUCGAAAAGUAAUUCAAAGGCAGGACUUAAAGAACAGAGAAAUAAUUGAUCCAGCUGUUAAAUUCUCCAUCUAAUGUAUUUGUAAAAUAAUCCUGCUACUAUCAUCCGGUCCUUCAAUUUGUAGCUUGUUACAUAUAUUGAGAAGAUUAUUGGAGGAAACUUCCUAUAAAGACUUUUUCAUUUAAAAUUUCUUUUCAUUACAAGGAAGAAAUUCAACAUAUUUUUUUUUUAAACAAGUCAAUUUAUAUUUUAAAAAAUGCAUUAAAAAUUUUUGCUACUUGAACCGACAUCUAAAUCGCACCAAGAGAUCCUCCCUCUUAGUCUUUCUCUCCUGUUUCCCUUUUUUGAUGGAUUGGAUUUUCUUGAAUUUUUUUGUAGAAAAAUUACUGUAACGAUUUAAUAUAUGUGAGGAAAAAAGGUAAUAAAAAAAUAAAAUCACGAAAACGACACAAUUUUUCGACAAAAAAUCAAGUUUAAUUCGGUACUUCCAGUUUUCUUUUAAAUGCAAAUACUAGUACUAUUUUUGGAGCAUUCGUGGAAAAAGAGGAAGACAAAUGACCAAGAAAGACUUCCCUCACACAAUAGCUGCAAAUGGAGACCGCCGGAGCCGUGUAGGGUCAUUGUGCUUGACUUGAAAGUUGGAUGGAGGAAGAAAAAGGGAGCCUCACAUCUUUGACGUAAGAAACCCCACGAUGGUCACAGCCAGACAACCUAUUACCUGCAUCUGCUGACCGCGAGAUCAUAUCAUGUUUCCACAUUCAAAAACAAAGAACCGCCAGCUACUCCUUGAAUAAUAAUAGUUUUCAAUACUACGACAAGAGAUUGGGUCACCCGAGAGUUUUUGUCCAUUGCUUCUGGAGUAUAUAAUCAAAAUAAAGGGCCAAGCGGUGUUUACAAACUAGUAUUAUUAUUAACCUGAUCCCAUGAAAACGUGUGUGCCUGAUGGCCGCAGUUGCUUUUUGGUUGGUUGCAGCAAAGCUAAUAAAACUCAAAUCCUAUGAAUUCUAUAGCCUGUCAAACCACGAUUCUCUAUUUCCUACCCAAAUCAGCCGAAGAUAAACCCAAAAUUCGAUUUCCAAACUUGACAGUGGAGAGAAUUUUCAAACCUAAGCAAUCAAGAAAAGAUUAAAAGAACAUAAACUAAGGCGGGCAGUAGAAUCCUCCAACUAAGUAGGUGAGGCGAGGCGCGGCGCCUUGUUAUUCUGUUCACCGUGCAAACAAGACAAGGAGAUUGUUUUCGUUUUCUUUUUUAACUUUUCCACAUUUUGGUCGGGGCUCUUUUCUUUGAAGAUCCCGAAAAGGAUACAAAGUACACACUACACAGGAUCCAGCCGACAGGAGAGCACGCUUUGGAUGGCCAUAAACAAAAGAAUACUUUGGCAAAAUAUGUUUCUUUUGCCGAGGACCAAAGAUCAGAUGAUAUAUCUAAAACUCGAGUCUUUUUUACUAUCUUUUAAGGCAUUUCCUGUCUGAAGAUCGAGGAGGAGUUUCUUGAUCUCAAAACCUCAUAACUUAAUGAACGUUGAUGUUUCCGUCUGAACUUAAUGGCGACUGGUACAGCAGCUUCUCCUGACUGUCAUCCAAAUUGUCAAAUUGAGGCAAAUUAUCGCGUCUUAGUCACGGCAAAAUGCUAGUACUUAUUGAAAGGUCAAAUUAACGUGAAACUUUUUCCACGAGACGCCCUGGUUGGUCAUACUUGUUCAGAAGCCAUCGACUCUCUGUCUAUUCUGGCUCCCACUUGCUCCCUUUUUUUUUUCUCCUUCGUCUUGUUUCGUUAAUUAGAGAUUGUGGUCCGUUUAAUUACCAUAAAUGUUCAUUUUUUGUCUUGUCUCUCCAAGUCUUUGUAUACUCGUAUUGUGCGUUGGCUUUUUCGGUGCAAGAGUAAUUGCAGAGUAACUCGCUCGUCUAUCUAGAAGGGAACCUACCAUAAUAAAAGUGCCUCAUAGCACAAGUCACAUUUCUCUCCUAUUUGGUGGUUCAUCAUCUGUUGGGGUUUAAAGAAAUCCAAAAAAAUAAAUGCAAGAGCAAGUUGGCAGAUAUUUAGUAGUAUCUGACUGAAUUGGAAGACAGGAAGGAAAGGUCUGAAUGGCACUGUAAGCUAGUUUUUUUUUUUCUCCGCAAAACUACGCAUCUAGGGUCCGUUUGUUUCGGGUGAAAAUAUUUUCCUAAUUUUCCGUGUUUGGUUACACAAAAGUUACUGAAAACAUUUUUCUAUGUAAAAUAUUUUCACUCAUCUUAUGGAAAACAACUUCCCUUCCAAACUUACUGAAGUUGUUUUCCGAAAUGCAUGCAUCUCGCCUGUAGUAUGUUCCAAACUUACUGAAAACAUCUUGUAGUAUGUUCUUUUUUUUUUAGUGUAAACAGGAGGAGUCGAACCCAAGACCUCUUCCUUACACUCCCUCCCCCGUACCACCCAACCCUCCCCCUAGUAUAUUCAAAAUAAAAAAAAAAACCCCCAUCCUGCUCAUCCUAUGCUAGUAAUUAAUUAUGUAUAAUAGGGACAUUCUUUUCUAGAGAAUUUUUUAGCAGUGAGAGUGCAAGAUAUAUGUCACAAUAAGCGUUGCAUGUGAUUGAUAGUUGACAUUAAAUGGCCAGCAAUUUGUUUAUUGCUUAAGGAGAUAUUUUUUUAUUCAUAUAUACAUUUCUCCAAGAUUUUUUAAAGUUAAACAAUAAGAUAAAUUUUCUUAUUUUGUAUGGGAAGAAGUAUGUAGUUAUAAUGUGUAUAAAGUAAAGCUAGAGAUAAAAGUGAAAAUAUUUCAAAAGUUAAACAAACACCUGAAAAAUGAAGUAAGAAAAUAUUUUCAAUAAACUAAUCAAACACCUGAAAAUGAUGAAAGGGAAAUGAUUUUCAUGGAAAAUUACUUCCACGAAAAAUAUUUUCCCACGGAAAAUAUUUUACUUCCAACCAAACAAACCCCUAAUGAUAAAUUGGUGAAAAGCAAGGAUUGAACCCUCGGAUCAAAGGCCUAGUGGCUAUACAGUAAGCUAGCUGGUGUUGCAUUUUGCGCACUGCGUAGAUUUCCCUUAGUGUACUUCCUCACGUAAUUUUAUGUUUUGAAUGUUUAAUAAAUAGUAUUCGCUUAAGCAUUUUCUUAAGUUCAAUAUAAUAACAAAAUCAGAAAAUCUGUAUUUGAUGGAAGUUUCUCGUAGGAAUGGUUCACAUAUUAUUAUCUUAAACAAGGUAGGAGUUGUAAUGUUUUUUAUUUCCUUAAUGUGAAUAUUGACAUUUUGAAAAAAAAAAAAAAAAAGUCUCAAAGUGAAUGAAUUUGACUUUCAAAUAAGAUGUGUGGCCGACAUGGUCACGAUUUAGGUUCAAACAGGAAAAAGGUCAGAAUUGGAUUGGCGAUUUGGCAAAUUAGAAAUGGAAUUGGCUUUGGGAAACAGAAUCUGCCCAAAAUCGAAAAACUAACUAACAGAAAUUGAAAACAACAACCGGAAAGAACUGAACUAGAGCCUAGAAUGGAAUUGAAGAUUCCAAAAUCGUCACCGUAGUAAUUGUCCCUGCAAGGACCGAUUCCGAUUCCACCUUUCAAAGAAAUCAAAACCGAUGAUUUUGAAAUCAUGACUGCACCACACCCAUUGAAUGAAAAACAUCAAGCUAUGUAAUGAUUUGAUUUUAUACAAGGGGGGGGGGGAAGUAAUUUGUAUUACUCCUAUUCAUCGAUCAAAAAACUCCUACUCGGCAAAUAUUUCCCUAUCUCACAUUCCUUCUAAAAUUGUUCACCUAGAAUGAUAUGAAUCUUGUUGGCGUGAUUUUUAAAUUCUCAAACAAUAAAAUUAAAAAUUUAGGCUGUGUUUGGAUUGCAUUUUCCAUGAUUUUUCAUGGAAAAAAAUACUGUAGCGAUUUGAUGUAUGCGAGAAAAAAAGGUAAUAGAAAAAUGUGAUCACGGAAAACAACGUAAUUUUUCGGCGAAAAAUUGCAAUCCAAACAAGGCCAUUAUUAGCUAGUGAUGUUAAUUAGCAACCAGUUUAAUUACUAGGUAAAACUGAUGCCAUAAAUGAGAGAGACAGCAGUGCAUUACAUACAAUUAAAAUGGUUCAAUAAUCUGGAGUAUAUGCUUAGUCACACAAUUACUGACUAAAAAUUUCGACAUGAAAAAAGAAGUCAAAGAAACCCAUUAAAAUUGCACGCAAAGGGCGUAGAAUCUCAGUAAAUAGAAAUAGUCUGUGUGCGAGUCUAAGGACCAGGUCCCACGGAGGCAAAGGCAAAACUACAAAGUCUGGGAACCGCCCAAUCCCGAAGCAGAACAGUCAACACUUGGUUCCAAACCCACACGAUGUCACAGAUCCGUCCCUCCCAAUAACAAUAAUCCAUCCGGAGACGUGGCUGCUGCGUCCGCCCGUCCGUGCACACGCUUCUCAUUUUUCACGCACUCACACACUACUACUAAUUUUAAGCAACCAACCAAACCAAACCAAACCAAACCUUUAAGUCAGGACUCAGGAUAUACAUAUAAUAUAAAAAAAAAAAAAAAAACACACCCCACCUCAUCCAUCAUCGUCUCUCUCCCCCAGAAACCUUGGCCGUCAAAUCGGUUGACUUUCUCCUCUUACCUUUUCAUUUUCAUCACGUGGAACGCGCCGCACCCUUCGGGCCGGUGGAUUUCUCUCUCUCUCUCUAUAUUUCUUUUUUUUUUUGUUUUUUCGCUGAAUUCUAGUAACUAGUACCAGCUUUUUCCUCUUUUCCUUAUAAUAGGAACCAGUCAAACUUAGUCUUGACGAAGCACAGACGAAACCUUCCCUCAUUUUCCCGAUUUCCCCCUUUUUUUCAACUCUAUUUAUUGCUGAGAUAUUACUACUUUAUUUAUUCCAGUAGAAGUGGACUUUAUUGCCAUCUGGCACCAUUUCUGACGCAUCUCCUUACGUAAAUUUAUCAAAAAAUGAUCAAAUCUGAACAAUUUUCAGUCGACGUAACCUUGAAAUCAAGACACCCUCGCCUCACUUCCACCUCCUUAAAUACCCCUCCCCAUUCCACCUGUGAAAAACUUCUCAGACUCUCUCCUCUUUGGAAUACUGCAGCCUGAUUAACAACAAUCUUCUUGAUUCAUCGGAGUAGUAUUUUACUACUACUGUUUCUCUCUUUGUGCAAAAACACUACUAGUUUCUGGGGUUGAUAAACUUGAUAUUUAUGGACAAAGGAUGGGGCGUAACCGUAGAUAAUCCUGACAAAAUAGGAUUUUUUGGAAAUAAGCCGGUUUUUGGAUUCAAUUUGAGUCCUAGGUUGAAUCCUAGCAAGGGUAGUCUGAGUAUGUUUCCGGCCACCGAGUUUUUGGCCAAUCAGAACCGCCGGGAAGACUCGCACGCUGCUGCUUCGUCCGAUGGUGAGAAGAGGGUUGUUGUAGGCGAAGUUGACUUCUUUUCGGACAAGAAGAAGGCUAAUGAUAUCCUGAUCAAGAAAGAAGAUUGUCAUGGUGAAGACAAGAUGAAGACUAACAUGGAUGUUGUAAAUGUAAGCAUCCCACAAGACAGUAGUACUUUUUUUUUUUUUUUGUCUGUCUUAAUCUGAUAUAUCUGGUGAAAUUAUUAUCCAAUCCCAUUAAUCUGAUAUAUUCUGCCCUGUAUAGACUGGCCUCCAACUUGUUAUCGCGAACACUGGAAGUGAUCAAUCCACGGUGGAUGAUGGAGUUUCAUCAGAUAUUGAAGAUAAAAGGGCUAAGCUUGAGGUAAGAGGGUGACAAUUAACUUUCUUAUCGACUGAAUGAUGUUUCAAGUCUAAUUUGGUGAUUUAGUUAUAUUAGCUUUCACGUUUGGAUAAUAAUUUCCUGUUUUGCAUAAUUAAUUCAGCUGGCUCAGCUUCAAGUGGAGCUUGAAAGAAUGAAUGCUGAAAAUCGAAGGUUGAGAGAGAUGCUAAGUCAGGUUAGCAACAAUUACACUGCCCUGCAAAUGCACCUCAUGACAUUGAUGCACCAGCAACAACAGAAUGCCAAACCCCAAACCACACAGGACCAUGAGGUAGAUUUGUCUUACUGUUAAUUCGAUAUAAUAUUCAAUCAGAUAUGGAUUUUUUUUUUCACUGUUAAUUUUGGGAUGCUGAAUAAAUUUUGCAUCAUUCAGAUUGGAGAGAGGAAAUCUGAAGAAAAUAAACCUGAAAAUGGAGGAGUUGUAGUUCCAAGACAAUUCUUGGACUUGGGCCCUAGUGGCACAGCCGAGAUGGACGAGCCAACCAAUUCUUCGUCUGAGGAGAGAACCCUUUCCGGAUCACCCCGCAAUAAUAUGGAACUGUCUAGGAAUAAAGGAGUUGGUAGGGAAGAAAGCCCCGAGUCACAAGGCUGGGCUCCCAACAAAGUUGCCAAACUAAACGCACCAUCGAAGACUGUUGAUCAUGCUCAAGCCGAAGCUACCAUGAGGAAAGCUCGUGUUUCUGUUCGAGCCCGAUCAGAAGCUCCCAUGGUAAUUCAUGAUACAAUCCUUAACGAUGAUCAAGCUGAUGAUAUUAAGUACAUGUGAGGAUUGAUUUGUUUACUAAACCAAUUUGAUCAAAAUGGAAUACAGAUUACUGAUGGAUGCCAAUGGCGAAAAUAUGGACAAAAGAUGGCCAAAGGAAAUCCGUGUCCGCGUGCUUACUACCGGUGCACCAUGGCUGUUGGUUGUCCAGUGCGCAAACAGGUACGUAAAAAAAAUUACUAGAAUUUAGACACCAAGAAAGCAUUUAUUUUGAUCAAACGAUAAGCAAGCAUGUUUCCAAUUUCAAGAUCUGCACUGGCUAUAAUAUUUAUGAAUGAAUUAUAUAUUCAAUUCCAGGUUCAGAGGUGUGCUGAGGACCGAACUGUCCUAAUAACAACAUACGAAGGUACUCACAACCAUCCGCUUCCUCCGGCGGCCAUGGCGAUGGCUUCGACGACGUCUGCAGCCGCGAAUAUGCUACUUUCGGGCUCCAUGUCAAGUGCCGAUGGACUGAUGAAUCCCAACUUUCUAGCAAGAACCAUUCUACCUUGCUCAUCUAACAUGGCAACAAUUUCAGCCUCGGCUCCAUUUCCAACAGUCACACUAGACCUUACUCAAACUCCAAAUCCAUUACAAUUCCAAAGACAACCCUCCACCCCAUUUCAGCUUCCUUUUGGAACCCCUCCCCAGAACUUUCCUCCGGUGGCUAACCCACAAAUGCAUCAGGUUUUUGGCCAAGCAUUGUACAAUCAAUCCAAGUUUUCUGGUCUCCAAGUGUCCCAGGACAUUGAAGCUGCAGCAGCAGCAGCAGCACAAAUGCAAAACCAAGGGCAACAUCCACAGGUGCAACAAGGACAGCACCAGCCAUCAUUCGCUGACACGCUUAGCGCUGCCACGGCCGCGAUCACGGCUGAUCCCAACUUCACCGCGGCCCUUGCAGCUGCUAUCAGUUCUAUCAUUGGUGGUUCUCAUCCCAGCAGCAGCAACAAUAGUAAUCCAACCACAUCAACACCGCCAACUGCCAAUUUUCCUGGGAAUUAAUUUCAAGAGGCUUCCAUUUUCUUGCUUUUUUUUGUGGAGAUAUUUAAUGUUAAUUAAUUUUGUCUAAUCUUUCUUGUUCCUUUUUCCCUCACAUGUAUUUUGGCUGAACAUAGUUAACAUGUUCAUAUUUUUUAGUUUUUUAGGUCCGGGCCUGCAGAGGAAAAUGUUGGAACAUAUUAAAAAAAAUUUCUUCAUUUCGUUUUUUGCCACUUUCUGUAGUGAUAAAAUUUUAUUUGAAUUUCAGUAAGUACCGUAGAACCCAGGAAGAAUGAAGCGCCAAGAGCAAUUGCGCGUUACUCGGAGUGAAUUUGAAUUAUGUUAUUUCAGCUUUCUAUUUGGUUUAUUAAAUAUCUGCGGGCGAAGAAAAUACUGUGUGAAGAAGUAGUCGACGAAGAAGAAACGGAUAAUCAGACGCGUGAAAAGCGACAGGUAUAUUCUGAUUCGGUAGGAGGAGUGGUCGCCGGUCAAUAACUACGGCCAUUAUUUUUGACACGCAAUUGGAUAGACUUGACGGAGAUGGAGUAGACCACAAGAGACCUCAUGGCAGCUCCUUUUGAUGAUUCUUUAAAGCACGAUUCUCGUGGGGGGAUAAUGAAUGCAUCUCGUUGAUUAGGUUUACGUCUCUGAAUGGAGACAAUGGUUGAGCUGUAUUAUCAAUCCCACAAUAAUGAAUAAUUUUAAAAAAAGUUUUGAAUUUCUUUAAAAAUUAUUUUUAAUAAAAGAAAAAAAAAUGAGAUUUAAGAAAGUAGAGAAGAGGGAUCAAAGAUUUGAACGCAAAACUUUUAAUUUUUUACGAGAUUUCAUUCCCAAGGAAUGCCUGAAAUCAACGCUAUAAGAAAUCUUGGUUGGAAAAAAACAAGGGAAAAGUGAAUGGCCUACUUUGGCCAAACCAGCGAGGGGACCAAAAUUUUAUCUGAUAAGAUCAUCAUCAAGAACUAUACUUCUAAUGCCUUGAAAAGAAAGAACUAAUGCCGCAAUUCCUAAUAAUAAAGUUGGAAAUUGAAAAGAUCAUCUUCUUUGACUUGUUUGCAACUAUCCUUGUGUAAGUGAAGGGGUUAUGAUUCAUUUUCUCCGGAAAGGGGAAAUAUCAAAAUGAUCACUGUAACUCAAAUGACAAUGCGUGGAAAAGUAUCGUGACACGUAAUUGAUGAUUUUGAUAUGUGCGCAAAAAAAAUCUACCAUUAAGUUCUCUUCUUUCUUCGGAAUGGGACCCCGUCUAUUUAUGUUCUUCAACUCGAUCCUAAAAAGCUACUUCCCGUGUAAUUCCAAGAUAAGAGUCGCCCUAUGGCUGCUGCAAGCCUUUGAUGCUUCCUAUCAUCAAGAGCUAUGGUAUCAGAUAAAAACUCUUUAUAUUGAUCAAUCGAAAAGCAGUUUUGGUGAAGUUGAAUGUGGAAUUCUUUUGGCUUAACAAGGAUUGCUGAUAAUUGGGUAACCAUGCCAUUGCUUAGCCAACAAGUUAGCGGUCAUUGUUGUCCUUCAUUUGCAAGUCAAUCUCAUCUCCCCCUUUUAAUCCAAAUGGAGAUAGGAACUGCUUUUUCUUCCCUGUUUGGAAAGGGAUUUUCCACAAAAAAACAAAAACUCAAUGUUUUCGUGAACACAUUUUCUAAUUAUCUUUCUAUUUUACAUAUAUCAAAUCGGUACAGUACGUUUUUUUUUUUAUAAAAACUCUAAAAAAAUUGCAAUCCAAACACGAAAUUUCCUUAAGUUGUCAGGCUAAGGAGUUAGGGCUUGGCUAAUCAAGUACUCCCUGGCAUUCAGGUUACAUAAAUUCAAGUGUUAAUAUUUUAACAAGAGCAAAACUAAUUUGAGAAUGUAUUCAAUUGUAGGAGAGCAUUCCUAAUAAAUCUAAAUAUGUGUAUUCAACUGGUAAAUAUGAUAAAUUAGGUGUAACUUAAACAUGUAUCUUAAUGAGUGCUCUGGUUUACUAAAAACCACAAGAAAAUAUCUCUCCAUAAGAGGGGAGGAAACACAAUAAAAUAAGGUUAGCGGAACGUUGAUUUAUUUACUUGAAACCUUAUGAUUUGGACAUCACGAUAUAGUUCUGUUUCCUAUGCUCUUAAAUUCAUUGCCAAAGUUAUCAAAUAUAACAGGAAUUAAGGUUCUGAAUUGUGUUUCUUCAUAGAGUAAAUUUCUCUAGCUUCUUCAAGCCCAAGUAUUUAACUUCGUAAUUUUAAGUCAUCUUAUAGUUAGAGCUGUUAAAUGAAACGAGCAACUCGAAGGCUCGAUUGAGCUCGACUCGAUAAGGCUCGAGCUCGACUCGUUAAUUGUGAUAAACGAAUCGAGUUCGAGCUCGAGAUAUGCUCAUUUAAUUAACAAGUCGAAUAAGCCCGACUCGUUUGUUAUCCGAGUAGCUUGAUUAGGCUUGAUAAGGAAGGGUAUAUAUGUCAUUUCACAAUUCAAAAAUAUAAAAAUUAAAAAUUAUAGAUUUUUAUUAGGGUCAAUUUACACGAGCUCAAGCCACAUGUCCUAUUUGGCAAGCCGAGUCCGAACACAUUUCAAAGCUUGUCCGCCUAGUCGAGCAAGAUUGAGCUUGACUCAAGUUUAGGCUCGAAUUAAACUCGAGUAAAGCUCGGCAGCCACAUAUUCGGCUAGCUUAACAGCACUACUUAUAAGCACUACAAGUAGAAAGUUUCUAUAUGUACAAGAAUUUUAAUAUUGACAAAAUUUACACAAAAAUGUUAAAAAUUCAUUGUUAGGAAAUUGGCUUCUUUUAGAUAGGAAUCUUAAUUUGUGUGGAAAUAGCUAGUUUUCUAAUUAUUUUAAUUACUUAAAGUAAUAGUCAAAAAAAUUUCUAUUUAUAUGAGUUUAGAAAUUAGAAGUUAUUUCCUCUUUUCUAUAAGUUUAGAAAUUAGUAGUUAUUUCCUAUUAUUACUUGGGCCAACACCCAAGUAAUGUGGCUUAUAAAUAGGUGGGGGUUGACAUACAGCACAUAAUGAGCGAUAUAUAGCCUUAUACAUAGGGUAAAAGGAUUUUCAGGAGUUGAGAGAAAUUAUAUAAGAGUUGGAUUUGGGUUCGACUUAUAUUUUCUAUGGAAUUUAUUCUCUCUAAAUAAAAAAUAGGUUUCUCUCCACAGACAUAUGUUCAAUGAUGGAGUCAAAUCAUAUUAAAUCUUGUGUGUCGUUUAUCUUUUAUACCUGUGACUUAUUUGUUAUUAAAUUUUGUGUACUCAAUGUAUCAAUAAUAAUUUGUUCUGCGUCUAAAUCCCAACAAUCAUUAAUUCCAUAAUUUUGCAAUCUUUUAUACUUAACUCUCAACUUAAAAGAAAAUUUGAAAAUUAAUCUUUAUUGAAUUGUUCACUUGUUUGUUAUCAAAUUUCCUUUAGAUAUCUCCUAUUUUAUUUAUAGGUUUGACAAGAGUGAAACUAAUUUGAGGGAGUAUCUAAAUUCAGGAGGCAAUAAAUGCGAGCAUGUAUAUUCACAUGAUAAGCUAAAUGUAAUUUAGAAAGAAAAAUUCAGGGGACACAGACACUUCUAGUCGAUGCAUAGCUCUAAUGCACAUACUAUUAGAGCUGUAAAUAUUAUUUGAAAAUUGAAUAUUUGAAGGUUGAAAAUGUUUACUAUUUUUUGGUUAAAUUUAGGGCUUGGAAGAAGAUCUUUUUCCAUUUGCUGCAUCUUAUCCAUGUAUUUGCUAAUAUUGAUGAUCUCCUGGGAUCGAUGAAAUGAUCCUUGCUAUUUAAAAAAAAAAAAAGAAUUAUUUGUUUAUUUGUUAACGUACAUCUCCUUUCCUUGGGAUUGUGAAUGGUAAUGGAUCUACAGUCCCGUGAAUUUCAAUAUCAACUUCGUUUGGAUUGGUAUUUUUUUUUUAACUUUUUAUAAAAAAAAAUGUAUUGUAAUAAUUCAAUGUAUAUAAGAUAAAAAAAAAAGUGAUUAAAAAAUAUAUUCACACAUAAAAAUAUUUUUAGUAGAAAACUACAACCUCAUUAACAUUUUCUUGGGAUGGGAAUGGGAUCAUCACAAUCACAGAAGGGCUGCUUUGGCGACUUUGGUUGUUGGGCAAUAUAAAAUUGACUUUGGGCACAUGAUGCUUCCACCAAUCAUGUUUGUUCAAAUGGGGCAUAAAAUUUUGACAACAACCCAACUUGUGACUUUGUGGGUCGCACCGUACUUGAUCCGCCGUACAGCAAUGUUGACCAAACCAACGGCCUUAGCACCAAGUCCAAGUCCCACAUGCUUCCAUGUGAUUUGGUCGCGCAUCCAUCGUCCACCAUUACUUAUUUUUAUAAAUUAAUUUUGCAUCUACCAAUGACGUUUACACUGAUACUUUUGGAUACAAGUUCGAUAUGUUAAAAAUGGACUUUAAAUUUUAAUUGGAAUAAAGUGACAUCCAUCUAAAGGUACUAAAAUAUACAAAAUUAAUUUCACUUUUAGUAGCUCUUAGCUAAUUGAUUUUCUCUUUUUUGACAAGAUUGAGUAGCUUCAAGAAGAUAUAUAGUUAAGACUGCUGUUACAUAGUUUUUUUUAAUCCACUAUUUGGAUGGACAAUAUCAAAUUAAAAUAUGGAAUAAUGUCUAUCCUCUAGGAUGCAUGUCUGAAAUUAGGGGAAAGAUGAUUAGUAGAAAUGCAAAGGAAAAUAUGAGAAUCUCAACUUAGAUUUGUUUCUAUUGAAUUAUAUAUCUUCAUAAAUGUGUAGCAUAUUGAUGCGAACGCGCCUUGUUGCCAAUUAGCAGUAAUGGUGCAUUCUGAAACAUAAUUAUUGUAUGAAUUAAUCUUCUAUAUACUGACAGUGUAUGCACUCUCGCCAUUAGAUGCAUGACGCAUAAUUCGAAUUUGAAUUUGAAACUCAAAUUUUAUAUAUGUGUCGUAUAUCCAAUCGUGAUAGUUUAUACACCGUCAAUAUAUAUAAGAUUUACUAUUGUUGUAUUGUUCUUUAGCGAUAUUUUCUUUUUCUCUUUAUCCUUUGUUUUUGGGGUGAGGGACUAGCGACAUCACAAUAUUUGUACGAGUGUCAAGAAUUCAACCUAAAUUUGGCUGUGAUAAUGUAAAAGGAUUAUCAUUUGGUGGAAACAUACGUGUUUAAGCUGUAAUGUUGGGUCAGGCUAGCUUAAUUAUCUAGGGAAUGGCUCUAAUACCUAAGUAUACGCUCAAAAUUGAUAUGCUUGUAAAAGUUCAGAGAUUAGGUUAUCAUUCUACUUUAAGUUUGAAGGGCAAGAAAAAGAAUGAUGGAAGUUUUGGAGAACUAUACAGCAAUUCUGCUAAUAUUCCAACUGUACAAGUCGACCUAGUCAUUUAUAUCCAGUCACACCACAUAGAAGUUGAAGCUAUAAACUACCAAACUGUUAACAAUUCGUAAUAAUUGACAUCCUAACAUGUUUUUUUUUUUUUUUUGGAAGGUUAAAAGGCGGAACUUAGGACAUCAGAAACAGUUGAAGAAGAAUUCUCCAAGUUGGAGUCCACUAACACAUUAAAUGGGCUUUGAGCCCAAGUAUCCAAACGUUUGCCAGAAUGGCUACAGGUAUUGCCUAUUGUUUAUCGGAUAACUUUUUAAUACAUUAGUAAAAAAAUUUUUAUAUACAAACAGAUUUAGAUUAUGUCACAUAUCAAAUUUAAAUUAUAUAUAUGUAGCAUACAUCCAAAACUGUUAGUGUAAAAAUAUUAUUAUAUUGUUAGUGCAUAAAAUUUAUCAUGUCCAAAAAAUGUGGGAUCAAAAUUGCAAUUUUCUCAACUUCUUAGGGUGGAUAAGAUCUCUUACAAAGUAGAGUGUGAGGCAAACCUACAUACAACUGAGCCCCUCAAUUUUGUGAAUACUCUUUUUCCACAAUUGCCUCAAAAGCAUAUCUCAAGAUGUAUACACACAAUGACGGAGCCAGGGUUUUUUUUUUUUUUUGGGGCCAAAAUUUUUUCCUAAUAAAAUUAUCUUAAUAUAUUGUGUUCAAAAUAAUUUUCUUCUAUUUAAAUAUAUGAAAUCUAAAAAUAUCAAAUAUUAAAUUUAAUUAUAAAGGUAUGUUUAUUCAUAAAUAUGCGGUAUAGUCAUAACAAAAAUUAACAAAAAAGAUAACUUUUGAUUAAAUAUCUUAUAACAUCACAAACCAUCCAAUUUACACAUUAUGAGAAGAUGCUCUCCAAUAUAUCACCUAUGCAAUAUAUAUAUAUAUAUAACCAUGUAAUAUAAAUGUAACUAUUUUCAAUUGAAAAAAGAUAAAAGUUAUGUUAACAUAAUUUGAAAUUUCGAUAUCUUUUCUUAGAAGUAAAUUGAACUCUACGCUCUUUUAUAGAACUAAAUUCAUCUAUGAUUGAAUCACUGCUAAAUUUUUCAGCAACUUCCUUUUCUAUAUACACAGUUAGACAAUCAUUCAAGAAAUUAUCUUGCAUCUUGUUUCAGUGCUUUGUCUUGAUUAUUUUCAUAAUUGAAAAUGCCCGCUCUGUAGUUGCAGUUGAUAUAGAAAGACUAACAACAAGUCUAAUAAAUCUGUCAAUAAGAGGACAUAUCACUGAUUUUCUUGUCUUCACUAAGUCUUGACAUAACUCAUGAAUACCAGAUAAUUCUUGCAAUUCAUGAUGAUUUGGAAUGUCGAACUCAAAAUAUUGAAGUUCUAUUCUUAGACGUACUAGUUCUUGCUUUUAACAAUUAUGAAUUGGGUAUUUUUAUUCUAAUACAUCACAUUGGGUCAAUUUACUAUGGAACAUCACAUUAUAUGUUUAAUUUUUGAAAGUUAAAUAAUUAGUACAAUAAAAAAUAAAUAACUUUUUCUGAAGAAAAAAAUUAAUUCAAAGAUGACUAAUUCAUAUAUAUAUAUAUAUAUAUAUAUAUAUAUAUCUCAACUCUCAUAAUAUAAACUAAAAUUGUAAAAAUUUAGGGGGGCCAAUUUUAUUUUACACACAUAUUUACAUAUUAUGAAUUAAAAUUUUCAAAACUUAGGGGGGGCCAUGGCCCCCCUCUGUCUCCCCUUGGCUCCAUCAUUGUAUACACACACAUAUAUAUACAUAUAUAUAUAUAUGUAUAUAUAUGUGUGUGUGUGUGUGUGGACUUUCAAAAUAUUAUUCAAGUUUGGUUAGAAAAAUUUUCUUAAAUAUUACUAGCAUCACAAUUAUGAUUUUCAAUCAACUUUUUAUCUUCCCAUCAACUAUUUUAUCUCACAUGCAUUACAUCAUAAAAAGUAUUAUAGUAAUUAUUUUGAAUAAUAUUUCAAAUAAUCUCCCUUCCAAACACUCGACACGAACAUAUUUGAGUAUCUAAUUUUCGUAAGAAAUUUCUUAAUGAACGUCAAACUCUCUAGUAUUGUUGUAUAUGUCAAAAUAUAUUAUAAUAACAUCAAAGUUACAGAUAUCAUUGAACCAAUUGACAAUUCUGUUUGGAUUGCUAUUUUUUGAAGUUUUUUUGUUGGUAAAUAUACUGUAACGAUUUGAUAUCUAUAAGGUUAAAAAGCGAUUAGAAAAUGUGCUCGUAGAAAACGUAAAAAUUUUUUGGUAGAAAAUUGCAAUCCAAACACUUUUGCGACUAAAAUGUGAUUAUGAUAGAUUAAUCCAACGCAUCCAAUUUAAUAUACCUUUUGAUACAUCAACUAAUACAAAGCAUGCUACCAUAAAUUGUUAGGUUAUUUAUCUUCUAAUGCUUUAGCUUGGUUAUAAUUCCAAACUGCAAGCCAAAAUGUACCAGUAAGCAUUUAACUUAAGAGAUGAUGCGCAAAGGUGACACAAAAGCUACGACGAAGGUGGGCGACUGACUUCCGUCGGCGAAAAGUCUUUAAUCUUCAUUCCUUUCACUUCACCCUUUUCUUCAUCCUCUGAUACUUAACUUUGCCGCUUAGCACCGACAAUGGAUUAAAGCUUUUGAUAGCGAUGUGCCAGCUCGUUUCACUUCACUCUUUUCUUCAGUUUGUUUGCUGUAGCUGACUGGCUUCUUCUACCAUGGUCUAGAUCACUAAUCACCUUGUUACACUUCCAAUCUUCAUAGUUACUACAAAGGUAAUGACUGUGAUGCUUUUACUACGCAAACAAACACAAUAUCUAUUGGAUAAUUUCAGAAACCUCUCUUGAGAUUUCUAAUGAUUUCAUUUAGUAUGUUUGAGAUUUUAAAAAUUACAUUUACCUCUCUUAGCCAUUUAAAAUGAUAAUACAAGCCUUAACAUUAUAGGGAAAUUCCAUUGUUUGCAUUAUACAAAGGAUGGGUUUUAUAAUUUUUUUUCCUUUCUCAUUCUUAUUCAUUUCUCUUAUAAUUUAUCAGACAAUCCAAAAAACUAUCAAUGUUAUCCUCAACCUCUAUGUUGAUCAAACAUCAAAGUAGUAACAUUUUUUUUAAAAAACUUUUAAUAUCAUCCAAUUUUUUGAACUCUUUUUUUUUGUAUCAAAAUCAAGAAUAAAUCAACAAUAACUGAAAAACAAAGGCAUAAAAUCACUAUCAAACUAUGGUAAUUCUAUCAUUGAAAUAGUCCACAAACUUAAAAAAAAAAAGACAUUUUCUUCUCUAUCUCAAAAAGAAUCCAUAUUCUCAAUAAAACACUAUGAAAAGUAGCCGAUUGUAGUGAUAGAUUUAUUAUUAUAGUUAAUUAUCAAACAAUAAAUAUUGGCAUAAAAAUUUUGACACUCAUUCCAUUUGUAAUUGUGCCAAAAUACUUUAUAAUUGUUCAGAAGAAUAAAAUAAGCUUUAUAAAAUAAGGGCAUUUUAGGGUAUUCAUUGAAUUUUCGAUCCUAUUUUAAUGUUUGGUUACCAAAAAUGUCCAAUCAAAAAAGGUAAGUGUCAUUUUUAAAACUUUGAGAAAGUUAAAUGAAAUAGUCAAAAACCUCACAGGAGGUUUCUCAAAUUAUCCCUUUAUAAGAGUUCUAAGUUCUAACCUUAACAAUAGAUUGUGAGAGAAGUACCUUUAUUUUAGUAAUCUUUUUAGAAUGAAAUUUUACUACACAUAAUUUUUUUCACUAAUAGAUUUAGAUGAAUGACACUUCAUUUUCAUUCAAAUUUACAAUUCUUUCAUUUUACAUAUAACAUACACCUAUAUCUCUAGUACAUAUAAAAAAAAAGGCUUAUUGUAACAAUGUAAUAAAGAUUAAUUUAUACCUUUAUUGUGAGCAAUUAUUUAUCUUUUUCUUUAAUUUUUUUAGUAAGAAAUGAGCGAGAUUUAAGAACCGGACAGGGAAAAGAGAAUCUGAAACUAGGACCUCUAGAUCAUGAAGUUUCAAUUUUAACUAUUAGAGCAAAAUCUCUUCCAUAUAUGAGCAAUUGUUUUUUCUACUUGUUACUAGAUUUAGUUUUUUUCUACACUGACAUUAUAUGUACUAACAAGUUUAUAUGUAUAUAUAUAUACAUAUAUUAAAUAUUUAAAACUUAAACUUCAAAUUUAAAUUGAAAUUUGUUGUUAUGCAUCUAAACUCGCGAUGUAAGAACGAAAGGCGAAUCCUUCUUACUAUCUGAUGAACUUUGCAAUUAUCUUUUUUUGGAAGAUACAGAAGUGAACCGCGUGCAUCACCAGUCUAUCCAACCUUAUAGGGGAAAUAGUGAGGGCAGUGGCAUCUUUACCUCAAAUCGCAAGCAUAAUGCAUCAAUGCUAAUAUACUAAACCAACCGUUUGGCAUUCACCAUCGAAUGACAAUGUCAAUGUCAAUGACAAUAAAAAAUUCGUCGAUCACAAUGGAUUUUACCAAAACCUUUGCAGUUGUUUGGUAUUGAGAUUAUAAGGAAUGGAUUUUUACAUUUAAAUUUUUUUCCUUCCCUUUUUAACUUCUUUUUCUUCUCCACAAUUUCUUAUUCUUCAACCAGCACCACCAAUUGCAGCAGCACUGAGACUACUGCCGCUCCAAUUGGUUUCGCAGUAGGAGAUUUUCCCUAGGAGCUUUUGAAUUUGAUUCUUGGCAAGUUAUAUUUACUCCUCGGUUGCAUGCAAUUUGGAGCUGUAACUAUAUACAAGUCUUGCCAUUCAAUUUAUCUUAACAAGAAAUGCAGAGGUAUAGCAACUAUUUUCCAGGAACCUCACUUGCUCUUGAUUCUCACCGCUGAAAAAUGUAAUUUGUACAGCAAUUGUGAGCAUUUUCCCCUCAGUUUGUUAAUCUUCAAGCACCACCGUCAACUGGGGUGGCACCACCGUCAACUGCACCAAACAAAUCAAGAGGCAUGAAAAUAGGAUGGAACGGGGUAGAAUGAAGAAAAGACGAAGAAACUGCUGGAUCUCUUGCACUAGUGUUUUCUUGUUUUGAUUUUUGUUUUGGCUCUCGCUAAUGUAAAAUUCAGGAAUGGGAUGAAAAUGUCCAAAUUGUUUGAGCAAUACCAACUUUUGGAUUGUCCGUAGUAAUAGAUACGUACCCACAGGUACCUACCAACACCAUGUAUCGGCUGCCAAAGCUCAAAGCCCAUGGUAGAGCUGGGAUGCCAGAAGAAGUUGAAUUAAUUCGUAAGCUGGAAUCAAUUUCUCAUAAAAAGUGAUAGUGAUGUACCUGAAUCUUGUUUUCGAUGUAAAAACUGUGCUGAUGGACAAGCGACUAUAAUUCCGAGACAUUUGCAGAAAAGUUAAAACUGAUGAUGGAGAGGAAUAUUAACAUAAGUUGAAUGAAUUGAUAAGGACGGAUCAUUUUUCAAAAGCGAGAACUGUGUUGAUAGACAUGUGAUUAUGAUUCCAAAGAUAUUCUGAUAUGUAGUGGUGACGAAAAUCGAUUUUACGUCAUUUUUAUUUAUUAAAAAACAAAAAUUGUGGAGAGGUGAUUCCCCCAACCAAACACACAUCUGGCAAUAUUUUUUUUUUCUUAUUUUGGAAAACCUAUUAGUAAUACUAAACAAGAUAUGUCGUGGUCGUGGCAUGAAGAAGCAUGAUCAAAACGGUUGAACCCAUGUUGGAACACAUGUUGUUUUUUUGCCAGCAUGCAAAGCAAAUUUGGAAGGCAACUCCCAUCUGUUGGGACGGUCUCAACGUUUAUAGGAACUAGGAGGUAUAAAACGCGCGAUGCGCGUAGGCGACUAAAGAUAAUAUGCCCUGCCAAAUAUGCGAAUUAAGGAAGUGAUUGAAUUUUGGUGCAUUUUUCUUUUAUCCAACAUUGCAUGCAAGUUCUUUUUUUUUUUUUUUUUUUUGUACAUCAGUAUGAAUAUGCAUGGCAGUUGACAGAGAGAAAAAUAUCAUUGAGCUAUAUAGAUUAAGGUUGAUAAUCCAAAAGUCCAUUAAACUUCAAGGCAAUGCAAAGACUUCAAAUCCAUUGCAUUACAUGAAUUUGGCAACGAUGAUGAUAAUGUACCUGGCUGCUGCACUGGAUAGUAAAAUCACAAACUAUAAAGCGAGGUAUUCUCUACAUUUUCAGAAAACCUAAUAACUUGCAGGUUGAAGCUUUGUAAGUUGGUGCUAUAUCUUUUUAGAUUCAUCACCCGUGGCUUCUGAUGUAACCAAAGUUAUGAACUAAUCAAAAUGCUAUUCAGGCCUGUAGUCAAAAUGGAUAAAAAGCAGCCGCGUGUUUUUUUGUAACCAAAGUUAGCAUGAACUUUAUUGCUAAACAUCAAAAGCUAAUAAGUACAUUCCGUUCAAACAUCUACUAUCAAAGCUUAACAUCAAACUAAGGUAACCGAAGUACAUUCAUUAUUAAAGCUUGAUAAGUCCAUUAUCAAAGCUUGAAGCGAUAAACAAUAGUAACAACCUAGCUAUUACAUAAUUUCUGUGCUUGAGUCCUCCAACAACUAUAAUUACAUAAUACACAUUAACUAAAAAAUAUCCAACGAAACUGUACUCAUAAUCCAACGACAUGCAUGCCUAACACGGGACAGUAGAUUCCUUCCUCUUUACUGCUUAGCCACAUGAGCACUCAGUUCAGCAUUCUGCAGCAAAAAAAUCAGAAACAUAAUCAUAAAAUGCAUAAGCACAAAUAACCAAUGAAUUCCUAGUCUGUACACAUUAUUUAUUCAGUCAAAAGCAUUCAAAAUCAUUCAAGAAGAAUAAGUGUAAUCAUUUAAAACAGCCCUUACACAAGUAACUUAUAAAGAUGCCUUGGUACACAACACACCGAAGUAAAAGUAACAUCUUGCAGAAAGAACCAAACGCAGAAGAACAUCAUUUACAGGAUAUAAAACAGCAUUUGUCAAAACCUGAAACAAAAAGAAAUAACCAAUGAAUUCCUAGUCUGUACACACUGUAUAUAGUGAAUGGAUAGGUUUUGCUGGUUUAGACAAUCAAAUAAUCAGAAAUAAGAAAGAAAAACAGCCUAGAUUCAUAGUCUAAUGGUCUCUAAAGAAGUUCACAAACAGAUACAAAUUUCGGAAUCCAGCCCUCACAGCUUAAAGUAAGCAAGGGAUUUACAAGCAACUGACUACAUCAAUGAUAAAUGAUUUAUGAGCACAACAUUUUUUAAUACCUUCAGCAAGGUACUUUUCUGACAUUUUCAUGAAGCUAAUAACUCUAAUUGGUCAAUCAAAAUACACCGUAUAAGAAAUUAAGAUUCCACCUACCGCGCAGACUGUACAAAUAUACAGAGUGAUAUGAAGCCAUCCAGUCUGAAUCUUCCACUCCUCUUCUGAUCAAAACUCUACAAAUUACAAUUGAAAAGGGAAAAAUUAGGCAGAGCCCAUAAAGCACAAGUAAACUCUAGGUAAAAAUUAGUCAGAGCACAUCAAAUGCAAGUUGGCUCCGAACCCUCAGAUCAUUAAAACACAGAUCAUGAUAAGUGUUCAGAAACUGGAGAUUUAGAUAACAUGUCAAAUCAGUUGAGUGUCAAAGUGUGAGAUCAUUAAGACACAAAUCGGUUGAGUGUCAAAUCAUCGAAACACACACUGUUCAGAUCAUUAAAAAACACAAAUCAGUUGAGCAUCAGAGUACUUCAAAGGUAACAGGUUUGCUAUAUGCAUAUAAAUCUUCACCAUUCUAAGAGAAACUGGAGAUUGUAUAUAAAAUAGAAGGUAACAUACAUGAAGUUUGCUCAAUCUCCAUCUUAAUUAACUUUUUUUGGGGGGGGGUGCAGUUCAGAUCACCUCAUGAGUAAAUAAAAGAAUAUCACCAGAACUCAAACAUUUAUCCAAUUGUAUUGUGAAACUUACACCUAACAAUCAUAGUAAACAGUACUAUAACCUUGUAGACAUCGUCUGGAACAAGAUAUCCACGGCCCCUGCAGGUAAAUAGAUAAAAUAUCAUGAUUAGCCCUUGGGUCAGAGCAUAUAAGAGGAGGUACCUCAAACUGUGAAACUUAAACAUUCAUUUGACCCAAUAACUCAACCUGAAUACGUGCUAUGCAAGAUGUCAACAUGACCGUAUAUCUUAGGCAGCAAAACAAAUAUGCUUCGAUUGUUAGAUGUUUUACAUAUAAUAACACAUGCAAGGAUUUGACCUAUCAGUACUGCAUCAAAUAAGUUACUUUUGCUAAUAUCUAAUGAUCAAUCCUAAUCGUGCAUACUAAAACAACUACUUUGCUGAAAGAUCAGUUAGUUUCGAGCUGACAAACUUUUUAGCUCUCAUCAAGAAUAUUUGUAGAAGAAAAUGUUAAAAAGAAAUUCAUUUGACAGUUCUGGCCAAUUCCCAGCAACAAUAUAUUAUUUAGCCAAACAAACAUUCCUCAAAAGAAAGCCUUUCAGCAAUUUUUAUACCAUCCAAAGUUCAAAGGCAGCACAGAAAAAAAUUAAUAAGCAGCAUGCAAGGAAAGGAAUAAUAGCCAAGAAUGAAGGAAGAUAAAUUACAGAUCUUCAAGGAAGCCAUUGGAAACCCAAAAAAAAUCAAAUGAAAAUUUUAGUUAACAGUUAGCAAUAAUAAAAUAAAGCUGGAACUAAGGAUAGACAAUCUUUUCAAAUGGAAAAUCACCUCUCCAAGUCUGCAAAGGCUUGUUGAACCUACAAUGUAAAUCAUAGAGUAUAAAUUUAGCCAGUGAAUUCCUACUGCUUAGCCAAUGAAUUCCUAGUCUGUACACACACUAUAUAAUUAUUUAGAACUUGGCACAAACAAGUGAUUGCAACCCAACAAUUUAGGAAAAAUUAAUUAAUUUUGUUAUCAAAGUGGAUAGAGGGACCAUUAAUUUUUUUUGAAAAAUUUAAUUAAUUUUUUUUUCUCUGAAAAAAGAAAUUUACAGGAUAUAAAUAACCAAUGAAUUCCUAGUUUGUACACACUAUCUAUGGUUUCUCUGCUGAAUGACAAGACUGCGAUGCUUAUUAGGCAUUUUGAGCACUGUACAUUGAACAAGAGUGAACAUUGUCAUCAUGGAGCGGAAGACAUUUCAAAUUCAGUUAAGGAAAAAUAAUUGAUACAGCUUUUUUUAUUGCUUCCAUCCCACACAUAGACAUAACCAUCACAACCUCAAGUAGCAAAUGUACCAUAGCUACAAAUUAAAAUCAGUUUUGACACAGAACCUGGCAAAAAGCUAAAGGUAUUCAAUCAAUAGAUAAUUGUAAUAGAUCCAACUCAAUCAUUCAACAUAUAAUAAAUCAAGAAAAGAUAGGUCCACCAGUAAUGAUUCUUGGCAUUGAUUUUCCUUCUUAACAAAACCUGAAAAACACAUAAAGGCCAAAGUUGCCAACUUCCAAUAAAUAACUGGUAAACAAUAAUCUCUUUGUUGUGGAUAAAUAUAUAUGCAGCACUUAAAUAAGAUGAAAUCCAAUUUAAUUCACGAAGUAGACAAUGUCCCUUCCACCUCCAGGUUUCGGAUGACAUUCAAAAACAUACCUACACAUAUAAACCCUCAUGUAGUAGACAAUUAUCAAGGUCUACCUGUUUCAAUCUCAUUCAAUUCUUGACAUGAAAGAACUUCAUUUUGCUGGAAAGGUAUAUCCAAUCACAUUUAAAAGCUGCUUUGAUUGAAUAACAGAACAUGUUCAUCAACUAUAUCAAUUCAUGUUGAUACACUUAGUCUCAGGUUGGUACACUUAGGCGCAGGAAGUACAUCAUAAGUCAGCCUAGAGUAAAAAAGUGUAUAAUUUUUUCAACUUUUUUUUUUUUUUUGCUUUAACUGUUUCCUUUCUCUGUUUCCUCUAAGCAAGGACGGUUUGUCAGUCAUUGUUAUAAUAAUCCUUUUCUUAUGAUGACAGAAAUUAGAGAAAGAAAAAAGAAAUGAGUAAUGAGCUUGUAGAUAUACGUUGGGAAAAUGUUACCUAAUUCUGCAAAUUAAAAGAAAACCAGAUAAAAAAAUAUAUUUGGAGAAAAAUCUUACAAGCAGUAAUUUGAACUUCGACUGGCCAUCACAACAAUCAUCUCCGCAUUGUACACCUUGUUGUUGCUGAAAAUUGCCUCAAUCUACUCAAGGCAUGACAAAAUAAUCAGGAAGCAAUUAAUUUUUAAUAUAUUACAAAUAACAAAUAAAAAAAUCCAAUUACAUAUAAUUUGAAACCGAGUUGUAGUCAACAUAUCUUUAACUUUUUCUUCAACGUUUCACAGAAGCAAAUACUUCAAAAUAAUGCAGUAAGAGAUGCCGAGGAUAGUGAAGAGCUUGCAGCGGAUUUCAAAGUGCUCCCAAUGGCUGAGAGAGGAUCCGGCGAGAAUGAACCUGAACAGGAGGGAGGCAGAAGAGAAAUCCUAGGACUGGUAGGAGAAGGGAAACCCAUAAUCCUGGGCGUAGAAUAGAAGGAGCCGAUAAAGGAGAGGGAGCCGGUGUAGUGGUGGAGGAGGAGGAGGAGUGAACGGAUGAAAAAGCGGAAAAAGGAAAAAAAUGGGAAAAACAGAAGAAAAAACGGUUAAAAAAAGCGGAGGAAGGCGAAGGGGGGGAAUCCUAGGGCUGGUUGAGCAAAAUAGAUCUCUGAUAUUGGGUAGAGAAGAAGCCGAUAGAAAAGGACACGGAGACAGUGUGUCGGCGGAGGAGGAGACAAGAAAUAGAGGGACAGACUCUGAAGUUGCAUCUAACCCUAGAGGAGAGAAGAGAAAUAGAAAUAACAGAUAAGGAGAAGGAGACGGUGUGGCGGUGGAGAAGGAGGAGGAGGAGUGAACGGAUGCAGAGACGAGAAAAGAAAAAGACGGGAAAACUAAAAAAUAAGAAAACAGAAGAAGAAACGGUAGAGAACGAGCCGAUAUAGAAGAGGAGAGGAGAGGGAGACGAUGCGGCGGCGGAGGAGGAAACAAAGUCUGAGAAUGUAUCUAACCCUAGAGGAAGAGGAAAAGAGAAAUAGAGAGAAUGACAACGAGAAGAGAGGAGAAGCCAGUGCAAGGUGCUAAACAAACGAGAACUAAAGGUCACGUGAGGACGACGAUGGCACGCGCGGAACAGCACGAGGGCCGACGAAAACGAGGGUCGACGAAAACAAGAGCCUCAGACCAACUCGCUCUUAUUCUAUAUAUGUUGAUAAUUUUUGGCAUUGGUGGACUACUUUGGUGGAGGCUAAGGCAAGAACGGAAGAUAGGACCCAUAUUGAACUGAUGGUUAAUAUACUGUGGCAAAUUUAGAAAUCUAGAAAUCAAAUUCAGUUUAAUAAUGAUCGGAAAUGUCCUGGAAUUGUGGUGGGUAAGACUAUGCAAGAGUGACGGGAAUAUGCUGAGGUAUUCAAUGAAGUGGAUGGGCAGGAGUAUGAUGAACAGGAGGAAGUCUAUGGAGCAGGGAAGUGGUCACCACCACCCCAACACUUCAUUUGUCUGAACACUGAUGCCGCGUUGAGUCAUAAGGAUGGCAAAAUUGGCUAGGGUGUGGUAGCCAGAUGUAGUAGGGGUAAGCUACUAGGAGCCUGGGCAGGGAGUGAACAAAGGUGUGGGGAUCCUGCGGUGGAGGAAGCUCGAGCUAUUAGGAAGGGUAUGCCCAUAGCCAUGAAGAGUGGGUGGAGGGACAUAAUUAUACAAUCCGAUUGUAAAAGUGUGGUUGAGAAGAUCAAAUUGGAAAGGGUGGAGGAUCCUCAGGCCAGUGCUGUGUUAUUUGACAUCCUGCAUCUGAAGAAAGAGUUUCGGAAUUGCAUUUUUUUUUUUGUCAAACGGAAUGCCAAUGUGGUGUCUCAUUCUUUGGUAAGGUUUGCCUUAAACUUAGUUGUUGAUAUUGAUUGGAGAAAUUCUUUUCCUAGCUGGCUGCUUCGGUUAACCAACAUUGAUGUAGGAGCAGUUGCUCAAAGUGAUGUAAACAUUUUAUGAUUUGAGUGGAAUCUGUUAUCGGUUGGAAAAAAAAAAAAAACGGUUGAACCCCAGAAGCUGAGAAAACACAGAAAAGAGGCAAAACAGAGCCAGGUGUCGCGUGCAAGCAAGCCUCAUCCACUCCACAAUUGUUUGCUUUGCUGACACGUAAGCACUAAGUCUGUUACGGUUUCAUCUCCCCAGGUGUCAUUUUCCGUCACGCUACUAAAUCCUUGUCACCGACCUACCUCAAUCUAUCCGUCACUCUCCUUGCUUUCCCCACCUCACCCUCUCUUCACCGUCCGAUGAAAAUCGGACGAUCCAGAUUCGUCAACCCAUCUUAAUCAAAUAAGUCACGUCGCACAAAAUCCCGCUCUCAAAUGUUCUUUGCUUCCUCUGUUUGAACUUCCCACUCCCGCACACGAGCAUCCCGUGAAAGCGACUUGCUCACGAGAAUCAACGGCUCAGAUUAAGAAUCUCUUGAUCAAGAUCCAACGGCUGCAGAUCUUUCAUGAAUGGUUGUUCGGAAAGUUAGUUCAGCAAUAUAAAAUUCACGCAUUCCAUAUUUUUUUUUUGGCAAAACAAUUCAUCGGUUUCCACUCUGAAAUUUGGAUAACUUUCUUCCUCGUUAAAUUCCGGUAAGGUUUUACAUUUUUUUAAUCAAUUAAUUUUGUUCAUGUUGUUACUUUCUUCCUCGUUAUACUAUAUUGUGGUUUGAGGUUUAUCGGAUAAUUAUCUGGAUUCUUUUUCCUUUUUUUUUAUAGAAUGUUUUUGGUUUGACGUUUGUGUAUGUUAUUAAUGUUUGUGUUUGUUUGAUUCUGUGGAUGAUAUAUAUUUGACUAGGCUUUUGGGUUUUGCAAUUUAUUGAGUGUUGGUGAAUUUUUCGCUCUUAUUAUUUUUGUGAGGAAUAUGAAGGGUUUAUUAUGGUUUUAUCACUGACCUUUUUUUGCGAUGUUUAAAAUAUUUUUAUUUUAUUAUUUCUUCGAAUAUCUUUUGGUUGGAUGCAGCCAGCUUAUUUAGCUAGACUGAAACAGAAAUUGUUGAAGUUUGAGAAAUUGAAAGCUGAUACUCGUGCCAAAAAUGUAUUAUAGCUAUGUCUUGAUAUUAUGGUUUGAUUUAUUUAUUUCUUUUGCAUUUUUUUGGUUUUCAAAAAUUUUUAUCUGAAUGAUAACAAAGUUUUUCUUUUCUUUUCUUUUUUUAUGAAUUUUGUGUUGCAUUUGUUUUUCAGUUUUCAAAUAUUUUUAUCUGAAUGAUAACAAAAAUUUUUUUUUUUUUUAUUUUUUGCUUAAAUUUUUCUUUCAUGCAGCAUGAGUUCUGUAAAAAGGAGGAGGUGAAUUUUAACGAAGAAAAUUGUUUUUUUUUUGAGGAAAACGAUGGGAAAUUAGUAAAUUUUAAGAUUGAAAUGGACCUAAUUGUGGUUUGAUAGUAUUUCUUUUCGUUGGAGAAAUAAUAAACUUGGUAGUACUAAAUUCUUCUUUAAACACUCUGUAGAAUAUUAUGAAUGAGAUGGUAAUUUGGUGCACUUCUUGUAGGUCAAAAUGGGGAUCCGAAUGAAUGCUGUUACAGUUACUCUGUUCAUUUCGUUGUUGCUGCUUCCUCUGGCGUUUUCCUCUUCAAAUGAUGGACUUGUUAGAAUUGGAUUGAAAAAAAUUAAGUUUGAUCAAAACAACCGCCUUGCUUCACGGCUUGAAUCUAAGGAUGGGGAGACUUUGAGGUCUUCAAUUAGGAAAUACCACUUUCGUGGUAAACUAGGGGACCCUGCUGACACCGACAUUGUUGCACUAAAGAACUAUAUGGAUGCUCAGUACUUUGGCGAGAUUGGUAUUGGGACACCCCCUCAGAAAUUUACUGUAAUCUUUGAUACUGGCAGCUCUAAUUUGUGGGUACCUUCAUCAAAAUGCUACUUCUCGGUGAGUUUGAAAAGUCCUGAAGGAGUGAAACAAGGCAUAUCAAGCAAUUCUUAUGCUGGUCUCCUUGAGGAGUCUAUGGAAACUUUGAUACUUGUGUAUUUUGCUGCAGGUUCCAUGUUUUUUCCAUUCCAAAUAUAAGUCCAGCCAAUCUAGCACUUACAAGAAGAAUGGUUUGUUUUAUUCCUUUAACCAUUCUUUAUGUUUGUAUUAUGAAGAUAUUGUGACGUUUUAAUUUUGGAAAAAAUGCAAAUUCACUUCUUGACGGAGAACUUUGUAGAAAGUCAUUUGCUCCAAAAGCACAAUCCUGCAUUCUUAACUUUUAUUGAGCUGAAGUAUAUAAUUUGCAGUUUAAGGCUUUGUUUAGGUUGAGAACAUGCUAAAUUAUUAAAUACAUCAAAUCCAUGUCAUGUGAAUUACAUGAGCUUGAAUUGGAUGAGUAGACUCUUUUUCAUCCCACUUGGGCUCCAGGAAACCCAUAAAUGCAAUUGGGAGAAAACCAUUCUUUGAAUAGCUUUAAUCUGUCAAACUGGCAUCUGGAUCUAGGGUUCGUUUUUUAGGAGUUCAGUCUAUACUGGUUUUUUGGCUUGUAAUAGCUAUAUAUGUGCUUAUGCAUUCUGAGUUGUGUUCUGGUUACGGAAUAUUAAGCCUGCCCUUGUUAUUCUUAAUACUUUUUCUCUCAUUGUCUUUCCAGUGACUUUACAUGGGUUAACUUUAGGGAGUUAAAAACCUUUGUGGUAGAACAUGUAGAACCAUUUAAUAAGCAAUUAAGGCUCAAAUUUAAAGGAGAAAAAUGGAAGACAUCAGUGGAAUGCUGGAGGAACACCAAAGCUUCAGUACAAUAUGCAUGCUAUCAGAUUAUUGAUAUUUACUGUUUUUGUUUUGUUAUAGGGAAGUCUGCUGAGAUUCACUAUGGCACUGGAGCUAUAUCUGGAUUCUUUAGUCAGGAUAAUGUCAAAGUUGGUGACCUAGUUGUGAAGGAUCAGGUUGUUAUGGUUUUUCUUGCUUGUGUUUGUCCUGCAUUUUGGUUUAAGUUUUUAUGACUAAUUAGUUUGUUGACCCUAUCAGGAGUUUAUUGAAGCAACAAGGGAGCCUAGUGUUACUUUUCUAGUUGCCAAGUUUGAUGGUAUAAUGGGACUUGGAUUCCGUGAAAUAUCAGUUGGAAAUGCUGUUCCAGUGUGGUAAGUUUUCAUUAUGUUCGAAAAAAAACUAUAUACAUCUUUUCUGGUAAUGAGGUUGCUUUACUUUUUUUUUCAAUCAACAAUAUUGAGGAUUGUUUUGAGCUUGAUAUCUUGAAUCUUACUGAUGUUAUUACAUGACAGGUAUAACAUGGUUAAGCAAGGUCUUGUCAAGGAGCCGGUGUUUUCCUUCUGGCUAAACCGGAAGACAGAAGAAGAAGAAGGGGGUGAGAUUGUAUUUGGUGGGGUUGACCCAAAUCACUUCAAGGGAAAACACACUUAUGUUCCAGUGACACAGAAAGGUUAUUGGCAGGUUAGUUAUCUGGAUGGUAUAUUCUAGCUUGAAGUUGGUAUACAACUUCUCAUACUGAUCCCAUCUUUGUGGUGUGCUUUGCAGUUUGAUAUGGGGGAUGUUCUAAUAGAGGGUAAACCAACAGGUACGUAUUCAGUGGCUUGUUGUAUUACAGGUUGAGAAACCAUUUGAUGAGUCAACGGAAAAGCCAUGAUUGGAAUUCUUAUUUGUGUUUUUAAGUUUAGAACUGUUCUUAACUUUGCCAUGAUAUUAUUUGAUAUGAGUGUGAUUAGGUUACUGCGAAGGUGGAUGUUCUGCAAUUGCAGACUCUGGAACUUCUCUGUUAGCUGGCCCAACGGUAGGUGGCAAAAGACUCUGAACUUGGUGCACUGUGAUUAUUGCUGCUUUUGUUAAUUUUAUUGGUUUGCCGUGGUCAUACUCCUGUAGCCUCAAGAAAGUUGUCUUCGGCCAACUUGAUACUAUAUCUUUGUUUUUUAGUAUGCAUUUGUUUGUGAUACGUAGUACAUAAGCUGUGAAGCUUUUGUGUAAUAUGAAGAGGUUUGUUAAGCUAUUGUGCAUUGCUAACUUUUGAUCAAUUUUGCCUUCUGCCAUACGAACUCGCCGAUUUAUCUGCAGACUAUUAUCACGAUGAUAAAUCAUGCAAUUGGAGCUUCUGGUAUAGUUAGCCAAGAGUGCAAGGCUGUUGUGCAACAAUAUGGGCAGAAAAUUGUGGACUUGCUUUUGGGAGAGGUACUUUGUAAACCUAUAACAGAUUUGCAUUUCGAUUCUUGGUUUUUCAUUUCUCCCACUCUUUACUUUUCCUUUAUUUGAACCUUCCUUUUGGUUUCAUUGAGCAGUGUAAGAUGCAAAAUCAUACAAUGUUUUAUCCUGCAGGCUCAACCUAAGACGAUAUGCUCUCAGAUUGGAUUGUGCACUUUUGAUGGAACUCAGGGUGUUAGGUAUGCGUUGAAGUGCUGUGACUACAUGGACUAGUCUUUUCAAUUUGGAAUCAAUCUAGUUUUUUAGCCCAUCUAAUUAAUUGAUUUGAGGAUCACUACAAUUUUCCUGAUUUUGUCCAUAUUUUCAAUAGCAUGGGUAUUGAGAGUGUAGCGGAUGAGCAUGCUGGAAGAUCAUCUGGACUGCGUGAUGCUAUGUGCUCAGCUUGUGAAAUGGCAGUAGUUUGGAUGCAGAACCAGCUCAGUCAGAAUCAAACUCAAGAGCGAAUCUUGAACUAUGCCAACGAGGUGAAUUUCAGUUUGUUGUUUGUUUCCUAAGUUCAUACUGGUUUUACUUGCCUGACUUAAACUGCAAUCACCUUAAAAAUAUCAGCUUUGUGACCGGUUGCCUAGCCCCAUGGGAGAGUCAUCUGUUGAGUGUGGAAGCAUUUCUUCUAUGCCUAAAGUUUCCUUCACUAUUGGUGGCAAAGUUUUUGAUCUUGCUCCAGAAGAGGUACAGGCUUAUCUUCUUACAUGAAUGAUUGUUACAUCCUUCUUGGACCAAGCCACAGUGUAUCUUAAAAAACUUGGAAAGUAUAGAGUUUGUGCUAUUUAGACGUCCUAAUUAAUAUUUUGAUAUUAUGUAUCAUUAAGAAUUGCAUAUCAUAAACAUGCCCAUAGAUUGUAAGCCUACCCAGGCAGACGCUGUCCCCAUGUAGUAAGCAGUUAAACUUAACGUAAUAUAAAGUUUUUUUUUUUUUUUUGGUCGUUGUUGUUGCUAUUUUGUUUUUGGGGUAAUUUAUUCUGUCUUAGUUGUGCUAAGUGGGCUAAUUUCUUGUCUGAACAGUAUAUUCUCAAGGUGGGUGAAGGUGCCGCUGCACAGUGCAUUAGUGGUUUCACUGGUCUAGAUAUGCCUCCUCCUCGUGGACCUCUUUGGUAUUUACUUUCCUGAAUCUCAUUGCUUUCUGUAGAUAGUUCUGUCGCCGAUGUGGGAUUGGCAUGCCUAACUUUCUGGUUGUGCUACUGUAGGAUUCUGGGCGAUGUCUUCAUGGGUCGCUACCACACUGUGCUUGAUUAUGGCAAGAUGAGGGUUGGAUUUGCUGAAGCAGCUUAGAAUGUGAUCUACCAGCAUAGUCUUCCAUGGUCUUCUGGUUUGCUUGUUGCCUUUCUUAAAUAUAUCUAUCUGUAUGACUCGUUUUGAGUACACCAAGGAACAUGGUGCAUAAACCGGAAGUCGAAAGGCUUUAGACUUGGUGGAGAAUGCUUGUAUAUAUUUUGUGCUGUGUUCUUAUUGCACCUUCGUUGUGUUGUUAUCUUCGUUGUUUCAUCAUGUUCUCAUGUGCUUGUUUGAUGUGUGCUGCUGCGUGCGCAAUGGUUGGACAUCCCAUUUGGAUGUCUAUCUUGUUCCAAACCAGUCAGAGUCAGUGAUCACGAUGGUCAAAAUACUGGCUGCCACGGAAGGAUAAAAAAAAAAAAAAGAUUUAACGCCUGUAAAUUUUUUGUCUGCUCAAUUGUGUAAAAUUACAUGUCUACAACUGCCCCUUCAAUUGUGCCUACAAAUUACUUGGACCAUCCUUGUAUAAAAAUUACUUGGAUCCAUCCUUGGAUUUGAGUUGUGACACAACCAGUUGCACAACUGGUGGGCUGCAUAUCAUCAGCGCAUAUUGAAAACUAAGAAAGUCAAAUACCUAACUAGUACAUGUUACACAACUGAUGCAUUGUCAUAUAAGAACAGGGAAGGGAAUUGUUGUAAGUAGUUCUGAUAAUUGAGCCUAGUAUUUGACUGUCGAAUUUGACUCGAGCUUGUGCUUAGCUCGAGUCAGGCUCAAACUCGCUCAACUAAGCGAAAGAAUUUUAAAGUGUGUUCAAACGCGACUCGCCAAAUGGGACAUGUGACUCAAGGUUCAGUUCAAGCUCGACUCGUUUAUCACAAACGAGCCGAGCUCCAGGUCGUGCAAAUUGAUCACAAUAGAAAUCUGUCAUUGUCAAAUUCUAUUCUUUUGACUUGUGAAAUGACAUAUAUGUCAUUCCUUAUCGAGUAACUCGAAUAACAAACGAUUCAAGUUUACUCGACUCAUUAAUUAAUUGAGUAAAUUUCUAGUUCAAACUCGACUCGUUUACUAAAAUUGAUGAGCCGAGUUCGAGCCUUAUCGAGUUGAACUCAAUCAAGUUUUCAAGCUGUUCGCUUUGUUUAACAGCCCUAAUUGCAAGGCAUUGGAUAGGAUAGAUUCUAAGAGCAAAGGGAGUAGUGGAAAGGAAGAAGGGAGAAGCUCUAAAGAAAGAAACCUUAACCAUUAGAUUGGCACUCCAAAUGGCAAGAGAAGCAGGUUGGAGGAAAAUUGCAAUCCUAUCAGACUGCAAAACAGUCACCGACCAAAUCAGAAGCAACAAUGUGCAGGAUAGUCAUCUAGCAACCAUACUGGAGGACAUUGAGGAAUUAACACAAGGUUUUGAGGAUUGCACAGUUUUUUUUGUUCCUAGAACAACUAAUGUAGCAAGUCAUAUGCUAGCACAUUUUGCAACAAAACUAGUUAAUGACAUAGAAUGGGUAAAUGAUUUCCCAAUAUGGUUAAUAGAAGCAGCUAAGAAGGAUGAGAGUGCUGUUGCCCCUUUUUGUAAUUAACUCUUGUAUUAUCAAGUGUUAAUAUAUAUAAUGAUAUUGCCAUUUGUUGAAAAAACAGUAUAUGAGGUAUGUGAUUAUAACACUGAUCUCUCGGUGACGUAGAAAAUAUUGGAUCUUCAUUUUCUCUUCUAAUCAAAUAAUUUAUAGUAGUAUCAUAUAUAAACCGAAAUUACUUGACUGCAUAUAUGGUUGAGCUUCAAAUAAUCUGCAAUUUGCAGAAACGGUGAAUAAAGCCUCCAAAUGAGUGGUGAAACUGGCAGCCCAAUAAAUACCAAUCCGUCAUGCAUCUUUUACGCACAUUCUCUUAUGCAUCAGAUGGCAAUGAACAGCCAUGACAAAGGGAGGAAAUGAGUGAGGCACAAAGCUCCAAACAAGGGAGCAGGUCAAUUUCAAUUCAUAUGAAAAACGAGAGUAAAACUAUUCCUAUUUUGAGGAAACUUACCUAAAUAAGUUGUACAUAGGCAUAUCACAACUCUUAGCUGCUACAGAAGGUUAUAAGAUUCAGUUUACCAAGUGAGAUGGAAUAUGUUACUCUAUGAUAGACGCUUCCCAGAAAAGUUCCCUGUCAAUGGUGGUGAAUCGCACAAGCCAGAUGUCUGUGAUAAGGACAUGGUGGCUUCUUGGGCAGCAGCUGAUAUGGGGUGGAAAGAAAGUGCAGCUUGCUUGUUCACAGUUGGUGCAAUACACUACUUAGUAGUGUUCAUCACACUUUAUUAGAGGCUUCCGGGCGCUGAUCGUUUUGCAGCAAUACUACGACAUGUUUUUUUUUUCUGUUCGUUGCUGCAACAAGCGCUGCUAGCCUAGCUUGGAGCUCUAUUUCGGGGACAUUCAACAUAUCAUGCAAAAUGCUAUUUUUUCUGUCAAUGCUCCUACUUGUUUCAUUAGUAAGUCAGUCCGGCUCAUAUCUUGAUACGCUAGAGAAAAAACCUCGGAAAUAAUUUAAUGCAAAUGGUGAUAGACAAGAAGAAAUGAAGAAACUUAAAAGCUUAAGGCUGUAAAGAUCAUUUUAUUUUUAACCCAAUGGUCUUUGUUCGAAUUGCUUUUCAAAAAUUCGCUAGAGUUUGCAUUCCAACAUCUGCUAUAAUGUCUAAUCCUUAUUCUUCUUUAUAUUCAGGCUUCUCGACCUGCACUAUUCAAGAAAUCAAUGAAAAGGUACUAUGUUGCUUUGGUGGGUUUACUCAUUUCCUGUAACCUUCCUAGCACUAGCCUCAGAAGAGUAUGCACGGCAGAUUGAAGGCGUGACGGCUUCUGGUUUGAUGCUCUUCUUGUCAGCCACCUCAGUUCUUAUUUUUCUAGGCUUGAUGAUCAUUACUGCCUUCCAAACUGGACCGCUGCCGUGGGAAAAUGACCCUUACCGAAGGUUUACCAGCGGUCAAGUUUGAAAUUUUAAGUGCUGAACGUUUUGAAUUCAAAUCUUGAUUUUGGGUGACUUUCUUCUGACCAUAUGGUAGCGUUCACACCCUACCAUGGAUAUGUUAGUUUGUUGUAUUGAGUUGUAAAUUAUGCGUGUUGUUCCCAAUUUCCCAUUUUGUUCCUUUUAACCUUGUAUCGAAAUAAACAAAAGAAAGAGAAAGGUUUGUAAUUGAUUCUUGAACAAUUUCCAUACUUUCCACAAGAAUCGCAUUUCACCAGAGAUAAUAUAACCCCGUUUACUGGUCACAACCACAACUUUUUCUUGGCAACCGCAAUCAAUCUUAUAAUCAGGAAGACAAAAAAUAGUGAUUUCCAGGGGAAUCACCAUGUCAGUUGUUGCCUAGCUUAAGAGACGUUAUAUAAAAUUGGAUUACAUUAAGACAUCUGGUCAAGGGAAUAACAUGGUAGAUAAACCAGUUACCUCCCUUCAUUGUCUUCCAUUCAGAUAUCAAAUAGAAUCAAUCCAGAAUUUCCAAUCAGAAAAUCCAAAGAGAAGAAGAUUAUCAAUACCAACAGAAUUCUCAAUUCCUGGUUGUAUUGUCACGCCUAAUCCAAUUUGCGAAAUAGGACCCAUGACAAAGUCUUGAAUCCUAGCCUUAGUGGUCAAAUUUUCUCAAGUCUAACUAAGAGCAAUACAAAACAGUGAAUCAGUCUUUCAGAAAGAAAGAACGCAACCAGUACUGACUCGUUUGUCUAGAAAAAUUAGCUAAUGUGACAACACCAAAGAUCCAACACAUUCAAUGUCUUCCCCUUUCAACCUGUCUCCCGGCUUUUUCAAGUAUCAGGGAACCUAUAGCAAAAAGCUGUAAGAAAUGUAGAAACUAUUAGAUACUCAAGGAAUCGCAUUAGUCAUUGUUUGUUACAUAAUCUUCUUGCUAUCUGAGCGUGAGAUUCUCCUAUCCAAGGAUUGCAACUGACUUCGAAGGCUUUGAUUUUCCUCAAGCAACCGGUCAUAUUCAAGGAGAAAACCUUCUGAUUGCUUUUUCAAAGCCAAUUUAUUGGCUUCAGCACUACUUGCUUCUUUAGUCUUUUCAUCAAGCUCUGCUUCCAAGUUCUUAACCUUUGCCCGCAAUGCAGCUGAUUCUUCUUCCAAUGCUUUAAAGUCACCAUUCUUCCCAUCAUCAGAAAUCCGGUUUUGCUUCUUUCCAGCUUCCAUACUUUUCCUUCGUAUCCGCAGUUCUCUGAUAUAAUGGUGUAGCCUGUCAAUCAUGAAUGCAAGGAAAAGGGAAAACCCUGCAGCAAAAACAUGGAUAAUUUAAGUACACAUCAAGACCAGAAAAAAAGGCCAGUUGAAAAUUGGAACGCUGCCGGAAAAUUACAGGAGGUGCAGCAAAUAUAAAGCGAAUUGCAAUCCUCACAUUUAUUCUGAUUCUACCUUAAAAAAAAUUACAUUGGCUAGUAUGUCUGUGUUUAUUGGGUUUUAACAAGUUCAGGAAAGAAAAAGUCAACUUUCAAAUUUACAAUCAUGCAGCUUCAAAAAGCAACAAAAGUUUGUGAACUGGAGAAUUGUAAUUCACACAUAAAAGAACCAAGGAUUACUAGUCCUUCCAACUUGUAGAAAACACAUAGGAGUUCUGAGGAAAUCUUAUCAAGUACAAUGCAUCUCAAUCUACCAUGAAAAUUGAAAAGUCAAAGAUAAGCCUCAGAAGUUGGAUUUAUGAAUCAUAAAUGACCUCGAUUUAUGCAAAUAUCAUCAUAGCUUUGUGCGUAGAUCUGAUAGCUUACCUCAAUAAUGUUUAACAACUUGUGACUCGUGUUUUUCCUACAACAGCAUAACUUGAAUUAUAUAGCAACUUAAUGCAUGCAAUUACACAAUUAAAAAAACUUCAGAAGCAGACGUGUUUUAUAAACUUAUAAUGGAUUUAGUAAAGAGGAAAGUUCUGCAUCCUGGCUAGGUCUCCCAAGAAAAGCAUACUAAAUUUACCUUCUUUUCUUUUUCCCUGCAUGAAUAAUGUUUGUUUAAGUCAGAGGCCAUCCUAAAAGGCCUGACAUGUAAUUCCCCUGCUCUUCUUCCAACCUUUUCUUAAGCUUCACAUCUUAAUCCCACCACUAUAACCAAAUACUAAGUAAUCAUCGCAGAGCACUAGCACACACUAAAUCACUUGAUUAAGACACUCUGCACAAAUAUAUCAUAUGAGGCCGAAAAGAAUUAAAAAGAUAAAGAAAAAAAUAGAAAGACCGCAGCCAACAGCAGAUUUGAUUUAUCCAACUUCAACACCAUCAGACACCAGAUAAUCAAGUAUAAUCCUUACUCUUAAAAAUUUAAGGUCAUAAAAACUAAUACGAACAAGAUCACAUUUUUAUAGUGAUAAAAGGGGAAAAAUCACAUUAUCAGAAAUCAGAAAGCAUUGCAUAACAAAAACAUGAGACCAUUAUAUAAAGAUAGUAACAUGUUCACAAGUUCCCUGGCGAAAUCUACAACCCAACAUUACCACCUUCUUACUUGAGUAACACUUCAUUAUUUUUUCCUCAGAGUCAAAUUCACAAUCGCUUUCCCUUCGUUACCAAAAUUCUACAGCAUACACCCUACACAGAUAUGCAUAUUGCAAGGUUGUAAGGUAAAAUUUACCCAUAAGAGAGGCUUCAAGUAGGUAGUUCGCAAAAAGAAUCUGAUCCGUCGGAUUUAUAUCGGCAUCUUGAGACCAACGGUUGUGGAUCGCCACCGCAUUGUAGCCGCUGGACAUCAUAACCACAGAAAGGGUCCCGGCAACAGCCUUGACUACGGUUGGACCGCGACCCCUUUUGACCCGAUCGAUGCCCAUUAUCACCAACUUCCUCAAGGGGGUUUUAAAGACGAAGAUCACGAUCAAGGCCAUCUCUGCGAAUAUCAAACUAAACAGUAAUCGAAUCAUCUUUUCCCCUUCUCCUUGUUCUUUCUUCUCUUUCUUUUUUCCACUUUUUUCUCGACUUUAGAUCAUAUGAACGAAGGGAUUUGUUAAGUGAUUUGGAUUCAAGGAUUUCUUAAGAAUUGAAUCAGAAGAAUUAUUCAAAAAGAGGAAGAGAGAUGGACAUCAGCAGGGGAGGAAGAAGAUGGAAGCUCUAUUGGCUUUUGGUGUUUGGUCAUCAUAGUGAUGUGUGCCUCUUGAGAAUUAAAGACAAGUAGGAGGUUUGUAUUUGGCAACUGCUACCUUGGAACUUUUUUAAUUACUCUAAACCUCUAUCAACUUUUGGGUGGGUUGAACUUUAUCCGCCUCAACUUUUUGAUAGGCAUUUUAUUGACCCUGCAUAAUGUUCCUAAGGAUGGCAAUGGGUCGGGUUAGAGCGGAGUGCCCGUCCCCUGUCUCUCGUCCUCCACUCCUCACGCCCCAUCCCACCCCGUUCCUUUUUUUUAUGGGGUUAAUAAAAAUUUGUUAUAUAAUUUUAUUAUAGUUAAAUUUUGGUAAAUAAUUAAGUACUAAAAUAUCAACACAUCAUCAAAUUAUUAUUCAUUAUAAUUUCACAAUUGAAACUUACAAAAACAAUCAAACAAAAGUUAUUUGAAUACAAUCUAACAUGAUGAAAUAAAUACAAUUAAAGUAGUCAAGUUUUCACUUUUGGCACAAACACAAUCACUUUUGGCACAAGUACAAUAAUGAUUUAGUGAUUAUAUUUGUAUCAAAAGUAAAAACUUGACUACUUUAGUUGUAUUUGUUUCAUCAUGUUAGAUUGUAUUCAAAUAACUUUUGUUUGAUUGUUUUUAUGAGUUUCAAUUGUGAAAUUACAAUGGAUAAUAACUUUGUAAAGUGUUGAUAUUUAAGUACUUGAUUAUUUAUUAAAAUUUGACUAUAAUAAAAUUAUAUAACAAAUUUUUAUUAGUUCCGCUGGGGAAACACGGCAGGGCGAGGGGUGAGGGAAAUUAAUGGGCAGUGGGGUGGGGUCCCCCGCCUCAAAUCCGCUACGUUGCCAUCCCUACUCUACACAUAAUUUCUUUAUUAGUAUUAUUUUUGCGUCUAGUUUUUUCUUUUUUCUUUUUCCUUUAGCUGUUUUAUUUUUUUUCCUUUUCCUUAUUCCUUCUCUCAAAAAUUUCAAUUCUAGGGUAAGAAAAGACUUGCUCGAAUGAAAGAAAAAAAUGUAUAUGGCUAUUCUUGGCCAAUAUUUUGCGCACAACGUGGGAUAAAGUGUGAGAAAUUAUUGAACAAGUUACUAGGCAUGGAAAGGCAUUACUCGUGUGAAGAAUGUGCAAAAGUGUUCUCUUUCCUUCAAUAUGAGGCUUCUUUACUAGCUAGUUUAAGGGUCAAGUUAAAACCCUUGUCGAUUUUGCUCCAAUUAUAAUUUUGAGGCAAAUUUUUUUCCAUAUGAAAUAUAAGGGGAAACUUUGAUGUUCGGUUUCAUUUUAGGUGCAAAUUUGUAUUUCAGAUGACAGUAGUAUAUAUAGCCCUUUCAAGAGAAGAUAUUCUUACCAUUGCUGUUUUUGACUACACAUAGAUCAUUUCUCUCUACGCCUUGGUACACGCAUGGUGGAAUUUGCAGAUAGGCCUGUCAAUCGGGCCUAAUGAGCCGGGCUUUGAUGUGUUCAAGCUCAGCUCAUUUAAUUUGAGACAUUUUCGGGCUUCGGGCUAUGAGUUUCGGGUUCGUAAAUGUGAAGCUCAUACUCAGCUCACAUAAUAUUCGGGUUGUGAGCCUUAAUCGGGCUUAGCCCAAGCUCACUUAUUACUCCUGAAUUUUCUUAAUAUAAUUACUAUAACUAUUAAGUUGUAAAACUAAUUUAACAUUUACAAGACUAUAAUAUUAAAACUAAACAUGGACAAAUAAUAGUUCUUAAAAAGUAUAUAAACCAAAAUUUUUUCAACAAUAUUUAUAUGUAAUCCGUUUAAAAUGCAUGAUAAAUAGUAAUAAAACAUGCAAUCAUAAGCCAAUACAUCUUUAAAAGUUGAAACUUUUUUUUAUAAUCUUGUGAUUUAAAUCCAAAUAUGCUUGAUGAUUUUUGUGUUUGUAGACCAAAAAAAAAAAUCAACCAAUAAUAUGCCAAUACAAAAAGUUACUCAACCAAUAAGAAAAAUUAGAGAUUUAGUUAUGCAUUACUAAUAUUGGCUCUCAAGAAAGCUCAUGAAAGAGUUUUUAGAUGUGUUUUUGUGUUUUGUAAUUUAUAUAUAUAUUUAGUAUUUAGCAAAAAUAUAUUUGGAUAUAUAAUUAUACAUAAUAUCAAAAUAUAAAUAUUAUAUAUAUGUGUAAUUAAAGGGCCGGGCCUAUAUCGGGUAUGAGCCUAAUAAGGCCCAAGCUCGGCUCACAUUUAAUUCGGGCCUAAUUUUUAGGCUCAAGCUCAGACCGGCUCACUAAAUGAUCGGGCUCAUCGGGCUUUCUGUCGGGCCGAACGAACCGAGCUCGGGCUGGCCCAGCCCCAUUGACAGUCCUAUUUGCAGAUAAAGAGCGUUCACACAACUGUUCACUUUUGGCAACGUAGAAUUGGAAAUUUCUUGCAUUCAGAGAAUUCAUUUUACUUUCACAUGCAACUGCAUAUGGUUGUCAUCAUCAGUGAUCGUGAGUGUAUUCAUUAACAAUAUAAAAAUGGCAUUGUCCUCGAAUUAAAGAUUGUAGGUUCAGGAAGUCUUCUUUCUUUAACACGAUAGGAUAUAUUUGGGAGUUUCUUUAUGCUAUAAGCCAACAUCAACAUCAACAUCACCAGUUGACACCCUCAAUUUUGAAAUUUUGUUCAAAUUUGAUUUAUUUAGUUAUUGAAUCGAGCUUGAACGAUUUUUUUUUUAUCGAAUUUGAAAUUAUCGAAUAGAAAACAUUGUUUAAACUUGAUUUGACUAAUUAGCAAAUCAAGUUUGAACUAGCUCUUAUCAAGUCAAACUCCAUUCGAAUAUCGAGUAAUUUGGUUCAUCUUUCAACCCUAAUUACGUUGUAUAUUUCGUACGCUUUAUGAUAAUGACAGCACAUAAAGGGUUAGACUUUAGAAUUACCUACCCAACAGCUAAAGCAGUCCAAAGUCAGAUGGAUUUUGGUUGAUCAGUUCAAGUUUGAUAGAUUGCUUGGUUUACCUUUCUCCAUUUCGUUGCAUUAAUUUUUGAUUUGUUGGGUAAUCUACCAAGUUAUGCUUUGUGUUUUAUAGUUCAUUUUAUUUUAGUACAAUAUUAAGUUAUUAACACGUUGGAUGCGUUAGAGAUUUUGCAUAGUGGUUGGUCCUUAAUUAUUGCUUCAAAUAAGAUAAGAUAAGAUAAUCCUUCGUUUUUACGAUCCUCAAACUUAAGCAACUGGCAACGAUUCGUAUCUUCAAAUUACCCAUCUCCCCGUCCCACUUCCCUUCCCCUCCGGGCACCUUCGUUUAGCCCUCAUCAUCAUUUGCCCUACUGCAACAAAAAAAAAAAAAGGAGAAUUAAAUUGAACAGACCAUGAAAGAAAAAUAAAUAGACAGAUGCAGAGAAAUGGGUCCACGAAGAAUCAUGGCUACCACUCAUUGCUGGCUAGGCAGAAGCCUUUUUAUAAUUCGGAAUUUGGGAUUUGAUAGAAUAAGUUAUUAGGAGGAGCUGCCACCGGAGGGGUGGCGAAUCAUGAAUCAUGGAUGAUACGUAGCUAAAGUUUCCAACAAGUAUAUAGUACCAGUGAUAAUAAUUGAACUGGAAAAAUUUUGAAGAGAUCUGGUUAUUAUUUAAGAUUGAGAUUAAUUGUCUUUAAAUAGUGAAAUUUAAGUCGUUGGCAUUUCGUUUCUUUCUUUUUAUUUUUGAGUAAUAGGGUCAUCAUAUCCUAAAUCAACCAGCAAAAUCUCUCCAGGGGUCACUAUAUUUUGCGUUCUGAACUCCUGUAAAGAUACUCAAACGAAGAAACAUUUCAUCCAGCAGCAUAGCGGCAUCCCUUUUCAGGAUUCUGCCACAAGCAAAUGCAAAAUUCACUUAUAUUGCGUCUUCUCUGAAAUGAAUUUUCAUUACCUUAACUGGAGAUUAUUUUGAAUUUUUCAUUGUUUAUAUUGUUUAGUUAUUGCUUAUGCAACGCCGCACACGCGCGCGCGCGCACACACAUAUAUAUAUAUAUAUAUAUAUAUAUAUAUUAAUUUCAGGUUGCAAGCCAUAGUCUGCCAGCAACACUUGAAACAUAUUUGGUGCCUACAGGCUACCACACAAAAGGGAUAGUUGAUGUCUAGAGCUCAAUAAUUUGCAACUUUUCUUGAAGCUUUUGAGAUUCUUUCUCAAUUGGCGUGGAAGCAGGUCAAUAAAUUGCACCCUGCUGUGGAACAACCAGUGGAACUUAAAUUAAUUUAAAAAAAUGGUGGUAAUUAAUAAAUGUACAUAGUAUAUACUCCCUCCCUUUUUUUAUAACUGACGUUUAAGGUUUUGCACACCAAUUAAGAAAAAAUUUUCAUUGUUUAAAUCUAUACACUACUUUCCUUUUGUACCCUCAUUAAUUGUCCAAUUCACCCAUGUUUUUUCUCACUAGAGUAUUAAAUGGUGUUGUUUUACUAGGCCAAAAGUAAUGCAAACUAACUCCCACCAAUUAUGAAAAGAGAGAUAAAAGGGUAAAAUUGUGAAAAAAUAAUUAAUGCUGCAUGAGAAUAAUAAAACGACAGAUAAAAGUACUUAAGAGCAAAUUUCUUAAACGUCAGUUAUAAAAAAAGGGAGGGAGUAUGUAUGUAAUGGAAGCAUUUAAUGUAUUUCAUAUAAUUAAAAUAGAUCAAAAUUCUUAGAAAAGAGGAUGGGAGAUUGAGAGCUCUUUAGAGAUGGAAUCUAAAAAGUUGUCUUCAAAUGUACACAAACACGCUUUCAACAAGAUGGAUGAUUACUACAAUUGAUAAUCAUAAGAAAAUUAGAACUAGCGGAGAUGAAUAAACAAAAGAAGUAUUGAUGAAAAGUUUAACUUCUUGAUGUUUAACUUCACAAUUCACAAUAUAAUUGAAUAGCACCGUCCCACAUUAGCUGAAAAGUUUCAAGCUGCCUAGGACCCCACGUAAGUAUUGAUGUUGCAAAUUAAAUUGGAUAGGAGAUUUGACAAAUAAUGUGGAAAAGUAUUUCAUAAGAAAAUUAUUAAGAAGUUGCUGUUUUCAAUUUAACUUCUUGAUAUCUCAAUUAUUAAGAAGUUGCUGUUGAGUCUAAACCAAUUACUUAUAUCUAUACCCAGAAUCAACAUACUUAAAAGAAUAAAAUAAUUGAAUGUAAUAGAUCUGGUCAAUAGAAUUACAGAUUAAAAAAAAGUCAGUUAUACAAGUAUAUACACACAAUCAUUGACUCGAGUUCGUCCGGGUAAGAAAAUCCUGAUCUAUCAAAAUAGCUUGCUACCAAACUCAUUGACAUCUUCAACUUCGUUUGAAGAAGAAGAAGCAGAUGCAAGAUCUCUGAGCUCGGAUAAGCUCCUUCCUAGUUGCAAAGCUACCUUCAUUUCGAAUAAUUCACCAUUUUCUCGUCUCUCCAUCAUAUUGGAUUCUAUGGAUUCCUCCAUAAGUUUAAAGAACCCGGCAUUGCUCCUGUACAUCUCAAACACCAUUCCAAUUUGUCCUCCAUGCUCGAAUGUGUUGACGAUGCUUGCCAAUGCGCCGCCCACGACUCCAAGCAUGGCCGCCAAGAAACCAAUAUGAGAAGAAGAGCCCACAAAAGCAGAACCAAUGGCAGCAAUGCCAGUCAAAAACGGACCGCUUAUGGCUAACAAUUUGUUAAAUUUUAAGGCUUUCCCACCCAGCCUUAGAUAUUCUGCUUCAUCCUUAAUCCUUAGAACCUCAGCGAUUGAUCUCAUAUCCUUCUCAAGCUUCGAGCUCCAGCCAUUCGAUUUUGAACCCGUCUUGUGGGAGGAAUCGUUUGCCUGUUGAGGCCACCAAACUGCAGGUUCUACUUUAGAUGGGAAUUUUUCGAGCAUGACACCAAGGAGAGGAAGUGGAUAGGCCUUGUCAAGUGCCAAAACUUUCUCCAUUGCUUCCUUUACAUCCUUGUCUGUGGGAUGACCUAUCCUUAUAACUGUUUGGACUUCAUUAUGCAACUGCUGGAACAAUCUUGUAGCACUUCUUUGCUCCUCUACAAGUUGGGAGGGUUGAAUCUUAUUCAUUAUCAAUAGCAUUCCAGUUGCUGCAAGAAACAUUAGAGUAGAGGACAUCUUUAAGGCUGCCACAGGAGCACUGCCAACAGCAGUUGUGGCUGCAACUCCCGACAUCGUUGCGGCAGCAAGAGUAAUUGUAUUAAUGGACGACAAAAGUAGGCUGUUCCAGUUUUUUCGCUGCUCCCCAAUAUUUUUAUGCAUCUCCACUCUAUCCGCAACUGCCUCCAAGAUGGCGUAUAACUUUGCCAGCACCAAUGAAUCAGCUGAUUCAUCAGCACUGUCUCUACCAGGUCUAAUGGUGUUUGCCUGUUUCUUGAGAAGGGUACCGGUCAAAGAUUUGAUUAUCAAAUCUCUGCCCAACUCCAGCUCAUCUCCAAAAACUCUAGUUUGGAGAUUUUGAAUAUUUGUAGUCCGUGAUUUUGAGAUAGACAUAAAUGUGCCUUUCUUGCAUGGACUGGGGGAUACUGCAGAAUAGGGAGAUGAGUGUAGGAUGCCAGAAGAGUUAAGUGUUGACAUAUUUGUGCUUGUGAUUGAAGAAGAGGUUGCAAAGUGUUUUUUUGAGAAUUGUAUUUGUUGAAAACUUGAAAUGAUAUGAUACAAAGGGGUGGAGAAGAGGAAUAUGCCAAUAUGGUAUAUAUAGAGGGGGCUGUUGACAAUGAAAGGUUUGAAUGUGCUCCUAAAGUUCAACCUUUGAAUCGGUUCUUUGUUUAGACUGUUUCUGGUCUUUGGUUUAUUAGACAUUUAGACCAAGUCACUGAACCAAUGACGUCAGCCCACCAAUUGGUUGCUGAAUCUAUUGAUUCUCAAAAUUAUGAAUCCAAGAAAUAUGGAUUUGAAAAUCCAAUUGGGCAAAGAGGCAAGGUAGAAUUAAUUUGCCAAAUUCUGCCGUUCAUCAAUUUGUCUAGAUUAUUAAUACUUCAUUAUCUUUUGCAUGGUGGUAUUGCGAGGAUAAUGUGUAUGCUCUUGCAAAAUAUUGUGGUGGGAAUGCUCAAAAUUUUAUCUUAAAGAAUUAGGGCUGCGGUAAUAGCAACCUCAAAUAUUUUUACCAACAAGUUUCAUGGUUUCAUGAAUACAUGUUGGCGAUCAUACAAUUCAAGCACAACUUUUAUAAAUUUUAGAUUGUUUGUAUAAUCUCAACUUAGACAUCAAAAUAAAUUUGUACUCUCUAAUGUUUACUUUCAAACCAAAAAAAAAAAAGAAGUCCCUUAUUAAUCUUCAAACUUUUGACUUUCAGCAUUUGUCUUAAAACAUAUAUUUGCAGUACCAACAUAAGUUGAUUCAAUUGAUAAGAGUCAACCACUUUCCCACAAAAAAAAGAAUAUAUGUUCGAAUUUGGAUACAACUGUUAAUGUGAGAGUUAUAUUGGUGGACAAUAUGUAAGAACCCUCACAUCGACUUUGUUGGUGGACAACCUAUGGUCCAAAAACAUGUUCUAACACAUGGUACUGAUUGAAACUGAAUUCACCCACAUUUAAAUUUUUCUAAAUGAAUGAAGCCCUUAGGGCUAUCUCAUACUGUUCAACCUGAGGACAUAUUCAAAACCAAGAACCGAGUCCAGAAAUAUCCAGCGUUGUAAAAGCUGAACAUGUGAGUAUGACGAAUACAUGACUUCCAUUUUAAAACCAUUUUUCAACUACAACAAAGGUCUAUUACCUAAAAAAUGAUAUGUUAUCUUAGUCUAACGCACAAGUUCGCAAAACUUCAGAAAAGUUUGCAAGCAAACUCCUCGACAUGUUCUUCUCCAUUGGAAGAAGAAGAGGAAGAUGCAAGAUCUCUAAGAUCUGAUAGGCUCCUUCCUAAUUGCAAAGCCACCUUCAUUUCAAAUAAUUCACCGUUUUCCUGUUUAUUCAUCAUAUUAGAUUCUAUAGUUUGUUCCAUAAGUUGAAAGAAACCAGCAUUGGUCCUGUACAUCUCGACAAGCAUUCCAACUUGUCCUCCAUGCUCUACUGUGUUAACAAUGCUUGCCAACGCACCACCUACAACUCCUAGCAUAGCUGCCCAAAACCCAUGAGAAGGAGAUCCCGUAAAAGCAGAACCAAUGGCUGCUAGCCCUGUUAAUACAGGACCACUUAUAGCCAACACUUUGUUCAGUUUCAAGGCUUUCCCGCCCAGCCUCAGAUAUUCUGCUUUAUCUUUUCUCCUUAUAACCUCAAGAAUUGUUUCCAUUUCCUUCUCGAGUUUUACGUUCCAGCCAUUGGAACAUUCCAUCUUAGUGGUCAGCUCCUCAGCUUGCCCUGGCUGCUGUCGAAGCCACCAAACUGCUGGUGCUACCAUACGUGGGAAUUUUUCAAGCAUGACACCAAGGAGAGGAAGCGGAAAUGCCUUAUCAACAGCUAAAACUUUCUCUAUUGUUUCCUUCACAUCAUUUUCAGCAGGAUUUCCAAUGUUUAUAAGUAUUUGGACUUGAUUGUGCAACUGUUGAAAUAAUCUUGCAGCAUUUCGUUGCUCUUCUGCAAGUUGGGAUGGUUGGAUUUUAUUCAUUAUCGACAGCAUCCCAGUUGCUGCAACAAACAUAAUAGUAGACGACAGUUUUAAAGCUGUAACAGGAGCACCGGCACCAUCCGCACUUGUUGCGGCAAUAGCGGACAUUGUUACAGCAGCAAGAGUUAUUGCAUUGAUGGAUGCCAAAAGUAGGCUGUUCCAAUUUUCUCUCUGCUGGCCAAUAUUAUUGUGCAUCACCACUCUAUCUGCAACUGCCUCCACAAUUACAUAGAGCUUUGCCAUUACUAUCAUAGUAUCAUCAGAGCCAUCAGCAUCAGCAUGGAUGUUGUUCAAUUUUCUGUUAUUAUUGGAGCUGGCCUCAUGUUUCUGAUCAUGAGUAGUUGCAGUGAUCAAAGACAUAAAGUCCCUGGCCAGCUUCGCCGCCCCCGAUUGUCCAUUGUGGCCGUUUGAUGACCCCGGUUGAGUGACAUGAUUAAGAAUCGCCUUUACGGUUCGCUUCUGGUGAAGCCUGAACAAAGGAGAGGGUGAUGUUGAGUGGAAUAUAAAAGCCGAAGCUUGAAGAGAUGCCAUUGUUUGUUCUAAAGCAAACCUCUUGUGGCUGUCCAACCCAAUCCAAUGCAGUAUUUUUGUGAUGUGAACAAUUUUAAGUAGAUGACUGAAAUCAGACAAUAUAUAUCUUGAUUGAGUUUGAAGUAAGAUCGAAGGUGGUGUUUGAUACUUUAAUAUAUGUAAUUGUAGUCUCUGUAGAGGACAAUAGACAUAAGAGCAGAUAUAGUAGCGCAAUAAGCUGUUACAGUAGAAUUGGUUGAACGUUGUUUAGACUACUUCUCCUCAUUGAAAGACUUCCUAAUGAAUGGACUGAGCCGCUUGGAUUGAGUAUAACCAUAAUACGAGAGAAAUCAACUAGUAUUAGUAUUUUAGUAUAUGAAAACUUUGAAACAGCCUACCCACGAGGCAAGACCAUUCGAUUGUUAUCCUGCAACAUUAUUUUAAUGGGAUUACAAGUCUUUUCAGUAUUUCAUCAAAAGAAAGAAAUAGUGAUGCAUAUCUCAGAACACCAUCCCAAGGAUGCAACAAGUGCCAUACAAAAUACUCUUGUUGAUUAACCUGGUAUUCGUUUAUAAAAUAGUUAGGUACGAUUUACUGGCUGACUUUUGAUUCAUGUGGAAUAUUCAAGAAUCACUUAAAUUUUCUAAUAACAUUAUUCAACGUAAUCGGUAUCAUUUUUCUUUAUCAUCAUAAGCAUGUAUCUCUUAGAUCUAAUUCGUGGUCUACAAUUAGGCUCACAAUCCGAUCUACAUUAGCAUUUCACGUUUCUUCAGUAUUUCAAUCCAUCUCUUAAAGCAUUCCGUUUUAAGAUGUAUAAGGGAUUAAUGCUUUUUCUAAAGUAGUAUAUUUUUCGAGUUGAAUUUAACUAGAAAUAAAAUGGAAAAGAAUGGCUGAAAAUUUAAGUAUAGCCCUUAAACAAAAAUUGAGCAGUUUAGACUUGAAGCAAACGUUUGGUUAAGGCAUAGAGCUUCGAUGCACAUAUGUAAUACAUGUGCUAAUUACUAUUCUUACUCAUGAAUUAUACAAGAUUUAGGCAUUUGAAUGCACCUAAAGCUCAACAGGAUUUUACGGAACUAAGCAUUCGUGUGCACAGUACCUAUGACUUUUUUAAGUUCACCUAAUGGUUGUGGAGGAAACUUGGCUUCAUUGCAUAAUUAAUGCAAGCAGGUCCGAAUGUCAAUUAAAUUCUGGUUUCGAAAGGACGCUUAAUCAGACGGGAAUUCAAGUUUGAAGAUGCAUGCAGCCUAACGAAGAGCUCGAGUGAAAUGGUCUCCGAGUUGUUUUGGUCAAAUCGUACGAUGUCACAGUGACUUGAAAUAUAUAUUAAUUACAGGAAGGAAACCCGACAAUGGCAAUAGGAUAAACCAAUAACCUGAGAAAGUCGAUGCAAAACGAAAAUAAAAAUGAGACAUCUGGUUGUAUCUUGUUUGAACUGAAGCAAUUCAUGCCAACAAGUCAAAAUUAACAAUUAGAAAGAAUUAAAAGAAUCACCACAUUUGAUUAAUAAUUCUAGUCAAAAAAUUAUACAGAUUACAUUUCCUAUUCAGAAAUGUAAAGAAUUAAAAAAUUUUUUACCACAUUUGAUAUUAGUAAUCCAAGUCAGAAAAUAUACAGAUUACGUUUGCUAUUCAUGUGUGUACAGGAUAAAUUUACAAGAGUUUGUCAAAUUUUGACAACAACCUAUCAGAAAAGUUUGCUUGCAAACUCCUCCUUAGCACCUCCUUCUUUGUUUUCUGGAGAAGCUGCGAGAUCUCUCAGCUCUGAUACGCUCCUCCCUAAUUGCAAUGCCACCUUCAUCUCAAACAAUUCACCAUGUUCCCGUCUCUCCAUCAAGUUAGACUCUAUAGAUUCUUCCAUGAGUUUAAAGAAACCGGCAUUGCUCCUGUACAUCUCAAACGCCAUUCCAACUUGUCCUCCAUGCUCUAACGUGUUUACAAUGCUUGCCAAUGAACCGCCCACAACUCCAAGCAUGGCUGCCAAGAAACCAACUUGAGAAGAAGAAGACACAAAAGCAGAGCCCACGGCUGCUAGCCCUGUUAAUAAAGGACCACCUAUGGCUAACCAUUUGUUCAGCUUCAAGGCUUUUCCACCCAAGCUCAAAUAGUCUGCUUUAUCUCUUCUUCUUAUAACCUCCACAAUCGAUCUCAUUUCCUUCUCAAGCUUCGAGUUCCAGCCAUUCGCUUUUGAACCCGUCUUGUGGGCGGACUCUUUUGCUUGUUGAGGCCACCAAACUGCUGGUUCUACUUUAGAUGGGAAUUUCUCGAGCAUGACACCAAGGAGAGGAAGUGGAUAGGCCUUGUCAAGUGCCAAAACUCUCUCCAUUGCUUCCUCUACAUAAUCAUCUGUAGGUUUGCCUAUGGCUAUCGUUGUUUCGAUUUGUUUUUGCAGCUGCUGGAACAAUCUUGCAGCAUUUCGCUGUUCUUCUGCUAGUUGUGAUGGUUGGAUUUUAUUCAUUAUGAACAACAUCCCGGUUGCUGCGAGAAACAUCAUCGUGGAAGAUAGCUUCAAAGCCGCCAAGGGAGUGCCGGCUCCAACCGCAGUUGUGGCCGCAAUACCGGACAUUGUUGAAGCUGCAAGAGUAAUUGCAUUGAUAGACGUCAAAAGUAGGCUGUUCCAGUUGGCUCGCUGCUCUCCAAUAUUCUUAUGCAUUUCCACUCUAUCUGCAACUGCUUCCAACACUGCAUAAAGCUUUGCCAUCACUAAUGAAUCCGCUAGCACAUUUUCAUCAUUUUUCUUUGUAAAUUUUUUGUGGCCAAUGAAACCUCUAGCCAACUCCAUCUCCUUCACCAAUGGUCCAGCUUGUUGGAGAUUGUGGAGGGGGAUAUUACUAGUCCUUGAUUUUGGGAUACCAAGAAUCGCUGAGGUGGUGCGUUCUCUGCAUAUUUUAGGUGAUGAAUAUUGCAAUAAGGCUGAAGAUUGAAGGGUUGCCAUGUAAUUGGUGAUUCUAAAGGAACUCUUAUAGAUAAAUUGAAUCUAUUAGACAAUUAAAAUCGCCUGAAGAUUGAAGGCUUAGUUAGGGAUAUCUGACUACAAUUAAUGUGUCUAUGAAUUGAGAAUAUGGAGAUUUUGAACUGUGAAGUAGUACAAAAAUAUGUUGUGAUAUGGAGAGGAUUGAAGGUGGCGUACGUAUAUAUAGAUAGAGAACAGUACGUAAGAGGGACAUGCAGUAAUAAAGUUCAACCUUUGAAUUGAUUCAUCGUUGUUAGACUGUUUCUAAGGUUGGAUCUCUCCCUCUGAUAAUUGGCUGCUUGAUUGACUUUCAACGUAAAACUACCAAAAUAAAGUCACAAAUUGUAACUUUUCUUAUACUAGUGUGCCGUUUUGAAACGGCCCACGAGGCCAGGAGACAGGGCAAGACUAUUUCUUAGUAACAAGACAAUGGCAUGGCUAGUCUAUUUAGUUAUGAUGAUUAUUGCCAUGCAAAAUAUGUUACGGCAGUUGAAGAAUAAAUUUCUCGAUCUAUUAGCAAUAAAAAAAAAUUCAUAUAUCCAGCCCCAGAGUUAUUAAGUGACAAAUGUAAAUUAAGUCCAUUCUUGAAUUAUAUUCUACACUAAAAAUGCAAAAUAAAAAAAAAAAGAAAGAAAGUAAAAUGAUGCAAAAGAUCUUGUGUCCCACUUCUUAUCCAACUCUCUAUGCCACCUUUUGUCACAUUGUUAUUUGACCUUCACAAACAUUUGAUUAAUUCUUUUUUUCCCUCAAUUCUAAUAACUAAUAGCAGGGUAAAAAAAUUACAGUAAGAUAGUAACAAACUAAAAAAAGUGGAGAAAAAUAGAAUUUAUGAAAAUGUUCCGUUGUAUUUUAUAAUUUUCUAUUUUAUUGUGUUGGUUUAAUAUUUUAUUUUUUACCUUGAAAUUAGUUAUUGGAACUUAAAGAAACCGAAAAAAAAGAAUAUGAUUCUUUCUAAAGAGAAAUGGCAAGAUAAUGAAACAUGGGAUAGGAAAUGGGUGGGAAGUGAGAGAAGAUCUCAUGCUAAGCAUUGUUUUGAAACCCGAAUCGUUAAUUGAACCGGUGAAGUGAUCAGAUUGAGAUUCAAUUGAUCGGACCAAUUCAAUCCUGGUUCGAUGAUUAUAUAAAAAUAUAUAUAUAUAUAUAUAUGUGUGUGUGUGUGUGUGUGUACACACUUGUGUACAAAAUAAGAUAUCCCAUGGACCAAUCUAAGACAUCAUCUAAUAAAAAGUUAUAUAUUUUUAAGCACAAAUAAAUUUUUAAAAUUGUAAAUUCAAACAAAUAAAUUCAUCUCAAUUUGUACCUACUAGGAAAAAAAUUUUAAAUCCUACACAAACCAUAACCGUAUUCUGAAAUUAAACAAAAUGCAUUGAAACUUUUGAAAUUAAACAAAAUGUAAUAGAACUACAAAAUAAAACGGUGAUCUUUGAGUUUGAGGGUGAGAAUAGAAGGUUCAACAUAUGAGUUUUAUGUUUAAAACUAUAGGUUCAUUUUUUUAAAAAAAUGGGAAAAAUGAAAAACUGCGGUUCAUGGGUCAAUUUGGGUAAAACAGUCCAAUUGAUUUUUUGCAAUUUUUAUGAUAAAUCAACUCUAAUAGUGAAUUGAAUCGAAAACUUGUCCGAUUCCUGGUUCGAUCGGUCGAACCGGCCGGUCCAAUUCGAUUUUUAAAACAUUAAAUUCCUUUGUGAAUUCCUCUUUAAUUUCUAUCUCACGUCUUAUCCCACCUUCUCUGUUUGCUAUCACCUGUGACCCUAUUGAAACUAAUACUAUCUCCAUGUAAACAUAUUGGUCACAAUCGUUUGUUAUAUUCAUUAACUAAACAGAUAAUUUUACCAUUUGCUUGCCCUUAAAUAGGUAAAAAUCAUAUUGCUAAUUAUCAAAUGAAUUUGACGGAGAGAAAUUGGGAUCUUUUACACCACACAAGAUUUGCAACAUUGGACAAGCAUCCAGAGUCCAAGAUAACAAAACAUAGAAAAGAUUGAUUAUAGACCAAUCCUGGCAGUAAUCCGAAGAUAACAUCAAGUCCUGGCAGUAAAUAUAGACCAAAUCAUCCCAUCAUUAUCCUCAGGCAAUCCGAAGACGAUGUGGAUUAUGCGGUCUCAAUUUCAAAGUAAAAAAUAAAUGAAUAAAUAGCUCAAUGUAUGAGAUGAGUGACGGCAUAUUCAGACCAGAAAACGAAUGGUGAACAAAUAAUAUCAGGAAUCUUAAAUGCUAGUUUGGAAUUUCUUCAUUGACCAUUAAUGCUUUUUUUUUUUUUCUCCUAACACUCAAUUUGAAUGUGAAACGAAAAGCCCUUAGACAAUAAUUCAGACCCUCCACUCCAAUUGCAACAAAUGAGGGUUUCAGACAACCAAGUCAGGAGCACCUCCAAAGCAGUUGGUGAUCAACUGAUGAGGAAAAGAUUUCCAAAAUGUUCAUGAAUUUAUUGAAAUGCUAUUUGAUUACCAAUAAUAAUAAUAAUAAUAUCAAUGGAUUGUAGUAUGAUCACGUAUUGACCCUCCCUAGAGCGUUUGUGAUUUACUGGUGUCUUCUUAGAUUGGCAGUCGACGGGGUCAGUGUCAGCAGCUGAAGUUCCAAGAAGUGCGAAGCUUAGAGGCCAAGAGCGCGCGUGAAAUGGUCUCAACUCUCAGCCCGUGCCGCGGGUUGGUCAAAUUGAAUUGAUCGCGGUCCCCAGACGGGACCGGUACCAUGACCCGAAACAUUCAAUGCUUGACCAACUUCAAUUCCUCAACCAGUCGUCAAGACAUCGUCCAUCUCCCCACGUACACGUCAGACGAGGUCUAUGUUUGCAUUGUAAUAAGUUUUUCAAUUCAAAAAAGUUUUAUAAUUUUACAACCAACCAGCUUCCAGUCUCCUAAAAAAAAAAGACCAAAAAAAUAAUAAUAAUCAAUCUGACUUUUUUUUUUUCUUUUUUUGUGUUUUGGGCUUUUUUUCAUUCUUGUACCUCUGGAAAUGUAUCAAUAGGUUCUGGAGUGAUGCAAAACCAACAACAGGGGUGAACUCCGAGUAAGUAUAUCGCCUGGGUCAGAACUCACAUGUGUGUGGACGUAUGAACCUGGGACUAAAUGGGUCACCAAGUUAGCCAGCCCAUUUAGAGUAGGAGAAUGUAUUAGGCUUGGCCCAAUUUUGUUGUAUCAUGAGCGUUUAGCCCAAUAAUGCUAACAAAAGCAAAUUAGGAUUUAGGCUUUUCUUUUUCUUUUUAUCUCUUCUUUUUAAUUUGAAUUAUGGCAAUUUUCAUAAUUGAAAUGACAAGAAGAAUUUUUCUAAUCAAAAUGUACCUAGACUUCAACGCACCAUGAACAAAUUAAGGUUGCUUGAAUUUUGACUAGACUGACAUGCAAUCACUAAAAUACUCAAUAAUUUGGAAAAUUGAACAAUUUUCCAACCAAGAAUAAGAAUAGAUGCUUCCCAAUUCGAUGUGGUCAUACAUUUUUGGGUUCCAACACAGAAUUGAUGAAGAUGACUUGGAAUGCGUUUGAUAAAACUGAAGUAAGAACUGAAAUUUGAGUCAAUUAAAUUGUUAAAUUGUUAAGUACUAAAUUUAAACUUUAUGUUAUAUUAAGUGACAAGCGAUUAACUUAUCAUUUACUUUUAGAAACAAGUUUUGCCUAAAAAAUUUAGUUCUACUUAAUUAAUUUAGAUGUUCAAUUUUUAGUUAUCAAAUGCAUUUGAACAUGUUAAUAUCUAUCUGAAUCCGUUAUAUUUAAGUACUAAAUUGAAUAAUCAAACAGGACCUUUGGAGAAUGAACUUGUGAAAAUAUCACAUUGAUAACCAGAAGACAGACAGCUAACAAUUCUUAGUCUUGAUCCCACACACACGACUACGUAGAUUCAACACAUUUGUACUCCAUGACUCCACAAUUAAAAGCUAGCCAACUUUUGCUAACAUGAUCAAUGUUAAGCAAGAAAGAACACGGGCGACGACAUGAAGGAAAGAGCAAACAAUGCAAGAAUGUCCCAAGGAUACAUUCCUUUUGUUUCCUCUCAAAAGUAAUAAGCUCCAUAGAUUAAUCUCCCUGACCUAAACCAUAUGCUCAGCCUUUCGUCAAUGCCAAAGACCUUGCUCGAAGAUUCAAAUAUAUUCCCCUAAAAUGGUAAAACAGGAUUAACACCCCAAAUAGUGAUGGAAAUCAAAUCAACAGAGCAUAUUCCAUCCCCAAAAUUAGAGGUAGACGGCAGAAAGGAAUUACCAGCAAAAUGCAACCAUACUCUGGAAGACAACUCGCAACUCCAGUGGUAGAUACUGGUGAUUUAUCCAUCCCACCACGGGCCAGAACUGCAAAAUCAUUUGUUCAGUUCAUUCUGCACACACUUUGCCAUUUUUAAUGAUGACAUAUAAUAUAACUGCAUUUGCAGAAAGAUUAUCGAGGCAAAUGGCAUACCGUCCAUGCAGUAUAUUGCACUGUUGGAUAUUCCUUCUUGAUUUUGGAUUUCACAUGCAUCCAAGGUCUUCCUGUGCAUUUGGAAUUGCAGCAAAUGGCAUGUUAAGACUCAAGGGGAACACUACCCAGAACACUGCCAAGUAGUUUAGAAUGAUUUCCACAAAUUGCCAAGCUAGUGAUGCAAAAGAUCGAGCAACAUUAUUAUGGCAGUUAUCCAACAUCAGCUGUUGGCUCGAGUGUAGCUAAACACAAUGUUGUGACAGAAGCUACCACUAUGUCAACUUCAAUUUACAAGUUGCGUUUCCAAACAAACAUACAUAACCCCCAACCCACCAUCAUUUGAAGCUUGGUAGAUUUCACAUAGCAACUCAAACUUUUAGCCCAAAUUUUACAGUCUUGCAUCUACAAAUCCCUAUAACUAUUGCUCCACUUAUCUCAAUGCAAGUACACCAGUUCCGAGCCCAUCCUAUAACUUCUAAAACCAAGAGCUGUCAGAAGUAUUUAAUCUUAUGAAGGCAGAAAUAACCCCUGCAGAUUGGAUCUUACUUCUAGAAGUCUCCUUUGUUAUCCCUGACAUUUUCUUUGGAGAAGUAGGCAUCUCAUUGGAAGCAAAUCAUUUCUUUUUGGUGUAAAUGCAGGACAAACAAAUUAAGAACAAGUUGAGAGGUUACACUACAAACUUACCCUCAAUUGCCAACCCAUAGAAAAUCAUGAAAAACAAGUUGUUCCACGGUGAAAUAGUAACCUGUUCCAGCACGACCUGAAAAAGAUUUUGGGCAUUCGACAUUUUGUUACACAGGUAUAUUUUGCCAUUGUCCUUUGUUUCAUCAUUGUUGCUAGUAAUCUUAAUUAUAUGACAGUCAUGGAUAACAUGCCCAAUGCAAGUUAGCAACAACAGUAAUGAUUCAUGUCAGGUUAAAAUGUAAGAGAGUCCAGUCACUUAUCCAGAUUACCACUUAAAGAUCAUACUUGCACAUUAAAGUGAGGGAAGUAUAACUAUUUUCAACAGACUGAACUAUUUGUGCACACUGGAAUACCAGGAAUUUCACAGCUGUAUCAUUUAUGAGAAUAUCAAAUUUUCAGUUUUUUAUAUCAACCAUGUCUCCAUAAAGUUUAUGGGGGGCAAAGAAAAAGAAAAGGUCCAGAGGCAGAUUAUACCUUCUUGGCAACCGUUUUGGUGUCCUUCUUUCCUUUAAAAAGCUUAUCCAGAAACAUGUGAAAGUAGUGCCCCAGUGGUCCAAGAUAUGCAGCUCCAAAAAUCUGCUUGGAAGAACAUCAGAAAAGAGAUAUCAGUAAUUAGUGCAACAGGAAACACUGCAGAUGCUGAUGCUCACUUGUAAAUUUAGUUCAACAAGGAUCAGAUGUGCACGAUCAUAUUUCCAAGUAUAUUGUCAAGUCGAGCACAAGUUCCAUCAAAGAUGCGAAAAGCAAAGCUUCAGAAACCAAGUCACAUCAAGCACAUAGAGAAAUUUGAAUCUGAGAGUCAGGGGUUGGCUGGGAAACAUACAAUGUAUUUGUAUCCAAAAAUUAUUAAUAUGCAAAUGUUGAGUCGAGUCAUUUGUAGUAAAUUACUCUAGUAAUACCAAGACAUUUAAUUUUUCCUAGGUUGGUGAAUAAAAAUGUAAUAAAAGAUGGAUUUGUUCUGAAAGCUGACCUCUAAAAGUUGAUAAAAUACAACUACAGGAAAAGGACCAGAAAUUGCACAAUGGGCAACAAUGAAUCAGCUUCUUUAAAUUGAGAAUAGAUGAAAAUGAACUGAAGAUCUUCCAGGGGUUUCUUUCCAGCCAACUAGCUGUGCCAUUGAGGAUAAGGACUAUGCGUUCAAGUAUAUAUUUGAUAUUCCAUAUAGAUGGAUUCAUCCUACUAAAAAAAGUUCAACUUUCUAAGCGCACGCUAAAAUGCAUGUCCUUCAAACUACUAAUCUCCUAAAGAUUGAUUUAGCAAUCUUAUGUGCAUCCACAGCUCCCAUAAGCAUGUUUCUUACUAACACUAAGCUAAUUAACAGUGCAAAUGCUAUAAAACUCCCAACGUGAGAAAGUAUCAAAGGAAAAAUCAAAGUUCUUGAAAACCACCAAAAUUUCCUAAGAAUAUGAACUUCAUGGAGAUAUCAAAGGUCAGUUACUUUUAAGAACUUAAAAGUAUGAUGGAAAAAGAGGUUAAUAAAAGACAUUUUACACGUCCAUACAAUUUAUGUAAUACUGGUGCAGAACAAAAACGCAUCAAAUUAACAGCAGGUAUAUCCAGAUGAUUGCAAGAGUUAUGUUUAAGAGCAAGUCAUAAAAAGGAUUAGGAAUAAAACAUAGGGUAAACUUACAAGCCAUCCAAUUUAAAACUGCCCGCUUGUAAUAUGCUUUUACAAUAUGAUUUUACUCUGAAACCUCCAAAAGCAGGAGCAAAUGCCCUCAAACUAAGCUAGGUGGUUAAAAAUUUUAGAUAUGUAAAUCCAGACACCAAGAUGUUAGCAUAGCUAAUACAGAGCAAUAUGUUAAUGCAGAUAGAAUUCAUCCUAAAAUCGAGAACAGUUCAAGGAAUUCACCAAGCACUUCGAAAAUAUAUUUUCCUCAGGAUUCAUUCAAGUAACCAAACCAAAAGUAACAAUAUUAAUAACGGUUCAAAACUUCGAGUCCAGAUAAGAGAAGAAAAUCUUCUAACAUGUAUUAGAAUUGAUAGGGGAUCCAAGUUCGAGUUAUCUAACCAAAGGAAAGCAAGAUCUAAUCCAAGUGGUUGAGGCCUUCUAACAUCAACAUGACAACAAUGUUCAACAUCCCAUUCUGGCAUCCCCCUUCCUCUCCCUACCCUUCUUAAAUUUUAAAUUUGAAUUUCAAAGAAAAGAAAAAAGUCAAUUAGCCAACUUCACGUACAUAUUCCUACUGCAUAUUUUCAUUUUUCUUGAAGGGCUUAGGACCAUCAAAUGUGACCUUAAUUAAGUCAGUCUCAUUACCUACAUAACCCAUCGCGUCAAAGGAAAAACAGCUAUAAUGAAUAGUUCAACACAUUACCACUUUGAGAAGAAGGCGUCUGAGUUGAAGCUUCUGAAUACCAGAGAGCUUUUGAGACACUAUAUCACUCACUGCUGAUAAAACUCCUGCAGUGAUCGCCUGAGUUUAAAGUGGAGAACCAAGAAAAAUGAUUAAGCCCAUAUCAAAGUCAACACUUUUUUUAAAAAAAAAUAAAGAAGGAAACUUCACAUACUAAUAUGCAGUAAAUUGCAAAAAAAAAAAAAAUUCAAGAAGAGAUGAAGGGAUGUUGAAGAUUAAACCUUUGUUCGUAAUGGGUGCUUUUGAAGCUGAAACAGAUACUGUUCCAAACUCUUUUUCGCAACUGAUCCCAUCUUUUCUCUUUCUCUACUCCGGACCCUGAUUGAAAGAGAAAGAGAAAGAGAAAAGCGAGGAAAACUGUAGUCGAAGUACUGGUCAAUCCGUACUAGUUUAGCCCUCUCUAAGAUUGGUCGGAGAGUUAGAGACUUUCCAACGAAAAUAUCUUUGGUCAAGAUGCACACUACAAUUAUAUAGUCGUGCACCGUAUUUUGUUUACAACAGUCUGAACUUUGAACAGGGGAGACUCUAUGGGGUUGUUAGGUAAAUGGGCGUGAGAAGGCAUAAAAUGAUGGACCAAUGUUGUUAGGUAACUUAGGAAAAGAAAGUGAAUAGAAAGAGAGCCAGAGGGGACAAAGUUUAGUUAGGUGUGGCGGAUUCUCCAGGAGAUUAUGCAAAAGAAUCUUAAAGUAUUGUGACUUUGUGAUUGAUGACCCAAAAGCAUAUUCUUGUACCAUCUUGUCCCAUGUUUGGGGUGGGCUUGGUCUCGUAUCAAGUUAAUGUGGAUGCUGGACUAGGUCAAGUUACAUAAAUUGUAUCCAGCUAUUUUAAGUACCAUGAGGUGGGGGGAGAAAAUUACAUAGGUUGGUCGCAAUCAAUCCUUAGGCACAUGAGGUGAGGAAAAUAAGUUGCCUGGGAAUGAAACAAUUCAGUUUGUAGGUGAUUUAAUCCUUAAUAUGAUAUGGAAGCAAGGGUUAAUCCGAGUUACACAGACAACCUUAGAUAUUGUGCCAAUACACUCAAUCACUUGCAGCACCUGUUUUCUUUCCUUUACCUCCUUGAAAUAUAUAUUGAAGACAUCCACUGUAUAAAUUAGCCGUCAAUAAAGCAUAAUCCAUCUUGCUUUAAAGAGAAAACAAACAAGGCCUCGCCAAUUUAAGGCAGAGUGAUAAACAAACAUCCAUAAUCCCAGGAUCAGAAUUAGAUUCAUCUGUGAGUAUUCUGCGUUCACAAAGAGAUGUUCAAAAGGGACAGGGGAAGGGGGCAACUGUAAAACUUGGAAGGUUGAUGAUGUAUUAAAAGAAGAAAUUAUGAUGGCUUGUAGUACUUUGUAGGUACAAAAGGCAUUUUUGUAACAGCUCCAUCAUACGACUUCCCUCGAACCACAAUCUUUACUUUGGUUCCAGCCUUGUGGUUUCCAGAUUUUACAUACCCCAUGGCUAUGUUCUUCUUAAGGCAGGGGCUAAAUCCUCCACUGGUGACUUCUCCAAUAUUGUCACCUUUCUCAUUCUGAAUCUCACUGUGACUCCUGGCAGGUGGUCCGGAUGAGAAAAGUCCGACUCGCCUGACCGGUGGACCCUCUUCAAGUUGUUUAAGUAUCACAUCAGCGCCAAGAAACCCUCCUUCUGCCCUUCUUCUUUUCCCUAUAGCCCAGGUGAGUCCUGCCUCUACGGGUGUGGUGUGCUGCUCCAUGUCAUUGCCAUACAAGCACAGCCCAGCCUCAAGCCGAAGACUGUCUCGAGCGCCUAAACCUGUCAAUCUAACCUUCCCUUCAGACUUCUCCAAGAUUGCUUUUGCAAGAUCAACAGCAUUCUCUGAAGGAACUGAAAUUUCAAAUCCAUCUUCACCGGUGUACCUGUGAACUCGAGAUAAUACAACUAAUUAAUUCAUAUUCAGUCUCGGUGCCAAUUCAUGAGUUCGGUGGGAAUAAAGGAGAAGAAAGUGCAAACUAUUCCUUUCACAAGCGUUGAGAUGUUUUUCACUUUAACAUUCGUCGUACCACACUACUGCUGCUUUUAAAAUUCAACCUAAUUUACUGGUAAUUACAAGACGAUGACCAAAAAUUUUCAAAUUUCUAAGCUCAGGUCAGCAGAAGGAAACACAGUGAAUCAAGCAUGCAGCACUCAUAUUAAUCACUUAACCUCACUCCACCUUCUUGUUUCUGUAUAACUACCAACUUUCAGUAGCUUUUAAACGGUUAGAUAGCUAUUUUACAACUCACUCCCAAAAAAUAACUCGUAAGCUUAUGUUCUAACAGCUUUUAAGUACUGAGUUUCUAUAUUACAUCAACUGCAAAAAAACAAAAUGAAGGAAUAAUUAGGUUCAUAUUCAACAAGUAGAAGUUCUUAUUUUUAGUUUCCAUACGAUGCAUGCUGAAAUGACACAAAGAGAUACAGUAAGAAACAGCAUACCCUGUCCUUGUGAGGAAGCAGGUUGCCCCAUUAAUAUCCAAGAUCCGGAAUUCCCCAAAGUAAAGCUUGCUUAGAUCAUCUUUUGUCAGGUGUUGAAGAACUGGGGUAGCAAGAGGACCCUGCACCGAACAUAUUGAGGAAACACCACCAAGUAAACAAGAAUGUUUUGAAACCUAUAUCCCUUUAAAAUUAAAAUGACAGGGACCAAAGUAUUGUGUGGACCAAAGAGAAAAUGAAAAGGCAAGGAGAACAAUGAAAGGUGUAACAAAUCUUGCCACUAGUGAGAGAGACACUUGCAAACUACAAAAGUAAAAGGAGGAACAGUAAAUACACAAAACUACAAAUUACAUAGGCUCAUAGCCUAAAGCAGUUAAAGAGUCCAAGCUGAUGUUUAUUUGCCUAACAAAUUUACCAAUGCAUUCAAGCAAAAGAAAAAUGAAAAUAAAAAAAAUAAGAGGAAAAAAAUGUCUAUCUCAAAUUAGAACAAACAGCCAAGGGACAAUGGUGGUAGUAGAGCGAGCAGUUCACAAUGAAUCUAAUCAUGGAUCUGCUGGAAAACCAUUGGUGUAACCUAUAGUGGCAGAAGCUCUCAACAUAUGAUACUUCACCACUUUACAAUUGUUUCACCCAAUCCGUUUCUUGCUGUAAUUGGGCUAAUGAGAAGGGACUAGAAAAUACUAAGGAAGAUUGUGUGAAUGCUUCUGCUAAUAGAGUUCAUGAACUGUGAGAUCACGCAAUAUGCUUAGUGACAGAACUGAACAAAAUGAACCAUUAGAUGCCAGUGACAACCUACCUGAAGGGCAAGUAGAGACCGCUCAUCAUGGAUGUGCCAAGACACAUCACCACCUUUCGAUGUGAAUGACUUCAUAUGCUCCUCAAUGUGUGCAAGAUCCUUAUCUCUGCAUCCUGCAUUUACAACCAGGUAUAUAUGCUCAUUUGUCACCUUGGUAAUGACCGAAUCAUCAAUUGCGCCUCCCUUCUCAUUGGUGAAUACAGUUAAAGUUCCAGUCCCAGGGUCAAGUCCAGCUACAUCAGCAAUGACAAGUUUUUCCAGAAAAGGAACCGUGUCCUU
rnacentral:lncRNA from 1 species